rnacentral:lncRNA from 1 species
GGGCUGUAGACAAUCAAGUUUCCAGCAUACUUGUGGUCUCCAAUGUGAGAGCAAGCAGUAACAAAUACCUGAUUUGUUAAUCGUCGCAGCUCAGCCUCCUCUUUGAACUUAUCAAUGAGGACAGGUCGACAAACUCCACAUCUUUUAUCUCGACUACCAUGUGCACAUACAAAUACAUGGGAGCCAGUCAACGCCUCUUGCACUCCGGAAGCCCAUGGUUUGUCAUUCACAAGGACAUCAUCAACAAAGCUUUCCACAUCCGACUCUUUCAGGCCCCUUUGAUCAAGAAACAACAAACACCUCAGAAUCACAAAAGGAAUUUACAGGAAACAAUAACCUAACACUCUUUAAUUCCUUGUAAGGCAAGGGAUUAGUCGUAAACUGAGCCAUUAAAUUCAAUUUCUAGAACUAAUUUCAGAAGCUAACACAUAUCUAAUUAUCUAUUUAGUUCAGUAAACUCAGCACAAUCUCGUAAUCAAAAUAGAAGUUGAAACAGAAAUAAAACACUAAAUGCGGUCACAACUUGCAUUCAAUCAAUUUCCAUGAAAAUCACGAGAAAUUUUUCUUUGUGCCGGGAACAUGGCCCGAUACACAAAGUGUAAUAAUACAAUUGGUUGGAAACCACGCCGUGUUACCGGCACCCAACCUCUGAGUAAACAAGGAAAAUUUCAAGGUAUCAACACCAAAACUAGUCCAAAACACACUAAAUUAGCUCAAUUCGAGACUUCGUAAAUUGAAAUCGGAAAAUCAUAAACUCUAUCUCUAGUUAGCAAUCAUUGAAAUCUCCAAGUCAAAUAAAGCAAAUCUGAAGAAUCAAACACCACUCACUGGUUAAUUAUCUAAAUCCUAUAAAUUUCGGUUAAAAUUAAGCAACUACAGAGCAAAAAUCUCAAGAAAUGAACGUGAAUUCACCUGUAUUUGAUCAUUUGUGGGAAAAUCAACACAUCACCGUCGGAAAACUCAGUUCCUUCGCGUCCUUCAAUUACUGUCAGCAAAGUCUAUCAAAAACCAAGAAACAAAGUGAGUAACGGAGUCAACUCAGCUCAACACCAGAACUCAGUAGCUCCAGGAAAUAAGAAACGGUAAGAAAAAGCGAUCAGCAACGCCGACGAAUUGAGCUGAAAAACGGACCUUAACGGCGAAGUCGUUCUUGCGAGCUUUGAGAGCGGAGGCGAAGAACUUAGGUAGCAGAGGAAGACGUGGCGGUCGUAGGCGUUGACGGUACCGGCAAGUUUUUCCUUGAACAUCUCCUAUCUCUUGAAACCGAAUUUCUCGUCUUCGGCGGCGGUGACGGCGGCAGAGAGGUCGUCGGAGGCCAUUGCCAGGGCUCGGAGAGGAGGAAUGAGGGGUUUAGCGGGGGUUGAAGUUGAAAACGAUGAGAGCGAAAAGAUGAGAGAGAAAGAACAUUGUUGUUUGGAGUUGGUGUGGGUGUAGGUGCGCAAUGCGCAUACGGCGCACGAUAGGGUUUCUGAGGCGAUCUGCAGCCAUAGGACUCGUUGUAGUUCUCUAGCCCUCCAAAAUUCUUCAAGAUAUUAAUAUUUUAAUAAACAAUACAGGAUCAUAUUUGUCUCCGUCUCCAACCGAGGGUCAGAGGGCUAGAGGGCUCGUUUUAGCCUUUUCACAAAAAAUCAUCUCCAACCGAGGGCCAAAGAGCAAUAGGGCCAAACAUAAUUUAUUAUUUAAAAACUACAACUUAAAUAGACAUAAAAAGGUUUUAUGUUUUUAAAUAUUUUUAAAAAUGUUGUUUAAGUUUCAUGUUGUAUAAUUUUUAUGUUGGUUAAUGUUAUUUAAUGUUGUUUCAUAUUGUUUAAUGUUGUUUCAUGUUACUUAAUUUAAUUUAAUGUUGUAUAAUGGCUUAGGAAGUUAUAGGAAAAAAAAUAGAAUUUAAAAAAAAUAUGAAACAAAUUUUGUGAAAUAGAAGUUAUAGGAAAAAUGGAAUUUAAAAAAAUAUGAAACAAAUUUUGUGAAAUAGAAGUUAUAGGAAAAAAAUGGAAUUUUAAAAAAAAAUAUGAAACAAAUUUUGUGAAAUAGAAGUUAUAAGAAAAAAAUGGAAUUUAAAAAAAAUAUGAAACAAAUUUUGUGAAAUAGAAGUUAUAAGAAAAAAAUGGAAUUUAAAAAAAAUAUGAAACAAAUUUUGUGAAAUAGAAGUUAUAGGAAAAAAAUAUGAAAUAUAUUUUGUGAAAUAGAAGUUAUAGGAAAAAAUAGAAGUUAUAUGAAUGUAAAAAAAUAAUAAUAAUAAAAUUGUAAAAAAAAAAAAUCAAAUGCAACGGCUACUAGCCGUUGCAUUUGAAUUUUUUCUUAAGAAAUCAUGUCGGUUAUAACCGACAGAAAUACAUGCUAUUAUUUAAUAUAAUGUAUUACUAUCGGUUAUACAUGCUAUUAUUUAGUAUAAAUGUAUUAAUGUCGGGCUGGCUAGCUGCAUGCAGCCCUCCAGCCCUCUCCGAUUUCAUGGGACCCUUCCAGAUUCCAGAGCUCUCUGGCCUAGCCCUCUGUUGGAGACGAUUUUCGGGCUAUUUUCGACUCUCUGACCCUCUGGAUCCUUCGGUUGGAGAUGGCCUGAAGGUCAGAGUGGGGACGUGUGGGGUUUGAUUUGUAGUUCAUGUAUUUACCCCUUUUGAUAUCUCUGAUCAUAUUGGACGGAAGCUAAAAGAUAAUUCAUGCACGCAAAAAUGGAAGGCCCUACAAACGGAGGAGGACAAUGUCUGCACGGAAAAUCAUCCUCUCUGAAUUUCUUUCUCCUAAUCUAACAAGUUCGGGAUCUGAAUCGUUAAAAUUUGAUCCAACAAUUAAGGUUAUUAUAACUUUUAAAGUGGACUUCUGUUUGUAGUCGUUGAAUCAAAUUUUAACGGUCUGGAUCCCCGAACUUGAUGGAUUAGAAAGAAGAGAUCCUUUCCUAUCUGCACCCAGGAAGUGGGUACAAGCGCGUGGGAUUUAAUUUUGUGAUUCAUUGCUGCCUGAGGAUUUUUUGGCGGUAGGUUGGAGGGAACCGACUGAGAGCAAAAUUGUAAAAUCCCCUAAACUCGGUGACGUGGCAACCUGUAAUUCUGAAAGGGUUCCGGAUCCUUUCGUUCUAAUAUAUCAAGUUCGGUGAUCAAGACCAUUGAAAUUUAAUCAAACAACUACAAAGAGGGACUCGCUUUAAAAGUUAUAAUGACUUUAACCGUUAGAUUAAAUUUCAAUGAUUAGAUUAAGAAAAAAAAAGAUCCGAAGAUAGAUCUAUUUUCAUGUAAUUCGGCCUUUACAUUCUGUCAAGAAACAGGCCGGUCACUUCGUUGAUUAAGUCAAGCCGUAAGCCUUGGUCCAACGUGGACAACUUCUAGAUGUCUUGUUUCUUUCAUUAAUUUAUUUCUUGAGAAUGACUUUUAAUAUUUGAUUUAAUUUUUUUGGUUAAUUAUUGAAUUUAAUUUGUCAAUGGCUCAAUUUUGGGGUGGGAUCAAAAAACCGAAAACCAAACUGAACCGAAACCGAAAAAAUCGAACCGAACGAAAAAACCGAACCGAAUUGAAAAAACCAAACCGAACCGAACUCUUUUGGUUCGGUUCGGUUUUGGUGGUCUAGAAAUCGAACCAAACCGAACAGAACCGAAAUAAUUAAAUUAAUAUUUUUUUAAUUUUAUUUCUUUAAUUAUUUGAUUUUAUUAUAUUAGAAUAUGAUACUUCAUACUGCUGCUUUGGUAGGAUUUGUUUGCUUUCCAAUUCAAAUUGUCUUCUCAGCUUCUCCAUCUACAACAAAAAUUAGAACUUAUACCAUUACAUGCAAUAUUUCUAGUUUAUAUCAUUAAGUGCAACACAUAUAUAAGAACACAUAUCUCAACUGCACUGCAGUUGAUUAGGAAAAGCAAACAGCGUAUAAAAGUCUCAUGAGUUUAUUAAACACUACGAGAUCAAAAACAAAAUUCAAACUUUCUCACCUAUGGCCAAGUAUAGUAGCUUCCGCGGCCUAACAAUUUUGAAAAGUAUAUCAAUAUAUUCAAAAAUAUUGAUGAACACCUCUUCAAAAUUUGCUGGUGGUAGAAGCUGAACACAGAAUGUAGAAAUUAUAUUAUGUCACCACAUUUAUGGAUAAAAAAAAUUUGGAUCAUAAAGAUAAAGAAAAUAUCAAAAAUUGUUACCUAGACAAUAAUCAAAAUAAAUAGUAUAUUAUAGAAUGUUUAUCUUAUUGCUAGUGAAGAAUACAUGUGUGUGUGUGUGUGUGUGUGUGUGUGUAUAUAUAUAUAUAUAUAUAUAUAUAUAUAGAGAGAGAGAGAGAGAGAGAGAGAGAGAGAGAGAGAUUGAGAGAAAGAGAGAAAUGAAUAAGGUCGUACUCCAUCAUCAUCGUCUAAAAAGAAAUCUAUUUACAGUUAAACUUUAAACCCAAAAUAUUAAAAAAAACCUUUAUGUUAUAAUUCUAUUUGAACUUUAAAUGUUUAUUUUCAUUAUCUUUUAAGUCUAGCCGGAAUGUUUAUGUUAUGAUUGUGUUGGAUAUGUUAAAAUUUAAGAUUUCAAAUUUUUUCAUUUUUUGAAAAAAAAUCGAAACCGAACCGGAAAAAACCAAACCGAUUUGAACCGAACCCACCCCUAGCUCAAUUUGCCAAUUUGUCAAUGAUACAAUUUAGGAUGGUGCUAUUCACUCAACUAUUUUUACUUCUCGAGUAUCUUCUUUAAUUUAUUUGAUUUAACAGCUAAACAUUGAGAGGGGUGUGUGAAACGUAAAAUAGUUUUUUAAUAGCACACCCCUACAAUUUAAAUACAAAGGAGUGUAGAUUUCAAACAACGAUUGAAUUUUAAGAUGACGCAUUUUGUUGAUUUUUCACAUUUAAGUUUGAAAUGAGCCGUUUUCGUAAUCUAUUAUAUUUAUUCUUGUGAUGCGUGUUUCAGUUGAAAAAACUAUCGUUUUCCAAAAAAAAAUAAUAAUAAAGAAAUGUAGGGUAAGGAUAGCAUUUAAAUAUUUAUGUUGAGAGUAAGGAAAAGAUAGAGAUGUGUAAAAUUCAUUUCCAUUCAUACAUUUUCGUGUUGUUUAUGUUGGUCUUUCAAUUAUUUAUGUUGAGAGUAAGGGAAUAAUUUGUACUAGGCAGUGUCAAAUUACAACCCUAAUUGAAAAACAUCUUGUUCGCCUGACCUAUGAAGGCCUACAGUGGAUACCUAGGCAUCCAGAGACGAGGAAGGGCAUAGUAAGCGAUGAAAUGCUUCAGAGAGUUGAAAAAUAAGCGUGGAUCCAAAUAUUCCGAAAUAUUUGACUGUUUCGAGCAAUAUGUAGGCCAAAAGACGGACGAUACAUAAACAGAUUAUUCGAAGUAGGGAUUCAUAAACAUCAAGUAUACAUUCUGUUGGAUAGUGGCCAAAUUAGUGGCCAAGUGGCCAAAAGCAUAUAAUAAAAAAUGAAGGAAUAAUGAUGUGGGAACAUCAUUAUGACGAGACAAAUGAUUAUGUUUGUUGAAAAGAAAAAUGAAGGUCAUGAUGAUGUUUGUAAAGGAAUGAUUAUUCAUUUACUUUGGAUUUUUUAUUGGGUGCUUUUGUAUGGAUGAAGGUUGCAGCCGAAUGAGGCCUUUUGGUUAUAUUAAGGCAUUCGAUUAUGCCUUUGGUUGUGUGGUGGAGCAGCAUCAGAUGAGAGCCAUACCAAGGAGAGCGUUCGGCUCUCCUAUUUGAAACAGUGUUGCUCAUUUCCAUUUGUUAGUAAUCCCUCAAUCAAAGAUGUUGCUGCUACAUGUUGUGUAGCUUUUGGGAGAGAUGGUAUUUGAUGUGUGUCCAUCUUCUCCAAUUGUUCUUUGUGAGAGUGAGAGUUAUUAGGUGUAUGUGGGAUUUGGGUUUGAGAGUUAAAACUCUAUUUGUAAUCUCCUUUUGAUAUUAGUGGAAUUUCCUCGCCAUCUCGGAACUGGACGUAGGCUUACUCCGAAUCAGUAUAAAUCCUUGUGUCAUUUGUCGAAAUUGUCUUAUCAUAUUUUGCUGUUGUAGCUUAUUGGUUUCAUAUUUGAUACUUCCGCACAACAAGUGGUAUCAGAGCUCCGGAUUUCGACUUGGGGGCUUUGUACAUGUAUGUCUAUGAAACCUUCGAAUAUGUUGGUGAAAUAUGAUUGAAAAAUUCGACGGGAGGAAUGACUUUGGCAUUUGGUCAAUUGGAGAUACAAGUUUUGCUUGCAUUGUUGCGAAAUGCGUGGCAUUGAAGAAGGAUGGUAAGGGAUCAUGCUGCAAUCCCUGAGCUCGCAGAUUGGAGAAUAGUUCCGAAAACAUCAUAUUUGCUGCAAUGUUGUUGAAGUGUUGGUGUUCGAAGGUUGCAGGUGUAGUGUACUGUUUUGGUAGAUUAUCCGUUGGUCAUCGCUGCAUCGACAGUGUUUGUGGGCUGUUGUCGACAAGUUGAGUGGGAAGGAGAAAAAGUAGAAGCUGUUGAGAAUUGAAAAGAAAAUGUUGGUUCCUUUUCUUUCGGCAUUUGUUUUGGCAGAAGGACAUCAUGAUGACAAAUGAUGUUGUUGGCUGAAAAAAAAAAAAGGUUAAGUUUUCUUCUCUUUGGCAUUUUUUCAACGGUAGAGAAUUUUUUCUUCACUCCCAUUGGUUGCCUUUGGAGCAAGUUGAUGGAAACAUUGGAGGAGUUUGUGAGGGCCAAUUUGUUGAGUUCUGCAAUUUUGGAUAGUGAGGCACCACACUAUUUUGGAUACACCACAUGCAUUGCAGAACAUUUGUGUGGAACCCUCUUGUAGAAGGCAAGUUAUAUGCUUUCUAACUUUGUUUGGUCUAUGGACAUUGGUUGGAUUUGUUUGCCACUGAUAUUUGGUUUGUUGGUCUCUAGCAUCUGGAAUAUGCUUUGUUGAAGACUCAUGUUGAGGUAUGGUUUUGGAUCUCCUACUGAUUAUUUGAAUUUGAAAUAUUUGGUUAUCCUAUUGGUGCUCAUGUGAUGAUGGUAAACUUGAGUGAAGGGCAUAAUAUUGAUAUUCAUAGGAUCUGAAUUUGGGUGAAAGGUUUUGUAUGUGGUAUGUUAAACAUUGUUGCCAAAUUUUGUAAUCAGUUUUGACUUGGAGAAUGUGCCCUGCUAUGUGAAUGAAUCUAUUGGUGCAGUUUAAGACCAUGGUGUUUGUAAGCAGGUGGAGUUCGUUAUGUGUCCAACUUUGGUAUGGUGUGCUUGAUCUUUUGUCGGUGAUAUUAAAGAAUUUCAGUUCUUCGUUUGAAUCACCUUUGUUUUGAUCAAGGCACUUAUGGUUUGCAAAUCUGGAGAAGACGGUAGAGAAAUGGUCUACUUUUGUUGGCUCUGGUACAAUUUGAAUUGAGGUGGAGAUCAUUAUAGUACCGAAAAGUUAGGGGAAUUUGAUUUAGUUCCCGUUGUCUUUAGUUUGUACUUUGGGUGCUUAUGGUGAUUGUUGAUUCGAUUCUCUGUGAUGUUUUCGAAAUUUGGCAAAGGUGGAGAUUGUUGGAUAGUUGCCAAAUUAGUGAAAAAGUUGUCAAAAGCAUAUAAUAAAAAAUGAAGGACAUAAUGAUGUCGGAACAUCAUUAUGAGGAGACAAAUGAUUAUGUUUGUUGAAAAGAAAAAGAAAGGUCAUGAUGAUGUUUGUAAAGGAAUGAUUUACUUUGGAUUUUUUAUUGGGUGCUUUUGUAUGGAUGAAGGUUGCAGCCGAAUGAGCGAGAGAAGGUAGAGCCUUUUGGUUAUAUUAAGGCAUUCGAUUAUGCCUUUGGUUGUGUGGGGAAGCGGCAUCAGAUGAGAGCCAUACCAGGGAGAGCGUUCGGCUCUCUCAUUUGAAACAGUGCUGCUCUUUCCCAUUUGUUAGUAAUCCCUCAAUCAAAGAUGUUGCUGCUACAUGUUGUGUAGCUUUUGGGAGAGAUGAUAUUUGAUGUGUGUCCAUCUUCUCCAAUUGUUCUUUUUGAGAGUGAGAGCUAUUGGGUGUACGUGGGAUUUGAGUUUGAGAGUUAAAACUCUAUUUGUAAUCUCCUUUUAAUAUUAGUGGAAUUUCCUUGCCAUCUCAAAACUGGACGUAAGCUUACGCCAAACCAGAUCCUUGUGUCAUUUGUCGAAUUUGUCUUAUCAUAUUUUGCCGUUGUAGCUUAUUGGUUUCAUAUUCGACGCUUCUGCACAACACAUUCCUCAAAAUUUUCAAUGCAAUUGGAUUUCCUCAAAUCUCAGGAACUACCAGAUUGUAAUGCUUGCAAUGGAAAGGAACCAUUGUGUACAUGUAGUAACCACACGAAUCAGUUGGAGACUUGUUUUUCAUCAGAGGAAAACAAAAGGCUAAGAAUCAAAAGAAAUCAAUCUCUAAAUAAUUACCCGAAGGCUUCAAAUCAACGCCCGGCAUCUUCCCGUUCAUGGGUUCUUUCGGUGUAUCAGGAGUCUCCAAUAUGUAGUGCUUUGGCACCUGGGGUGGAGUUGUACAGCGAAUCAGUGCCCAAUUCACGCUUUGGAAAAACGGAUGUUGUUUAACUUCUGUUGCUCCCCGCCUAUACGCAAGACGAUGCUGUGGCUCCUUGACAAGUAAACCUCUGAUCAAGUCCCUGGCUGCAAAGCUGACAGAAGGCAACUCUGGAAAUCUUAAAGGCUGGCCAACCACAUUAAACAAAGUAGCCCGGUUUCCUUGCCCCUUGAAUGGAGUUCUUCCGAACAAAAGCUCGUAGAGAAAGAUCCCAAAGGUCCACCAAUCUACAGCGCUGCCAUGGCCUUCACCUUUAAUGAUUUCAGGCACCAAGUACUCGUGUGUUCCCACAAAGGACAUUGAUCUAGCACUUGUCGGUUCUGCAACGAGUUCAGGGAGAGGGCUCACUUGAUUGUAUACAUCAUUAUCAUUGUUCUUCACCUUGAUCUUUUUAUCUUUCUUGGGUUUGCCCUUGAAAAUGCGUGGACCAAAACAUGUGGGCGUAAUGCAAUCCGGCUGCAUUACACAAGUUGGCUGGAUGCACGCAGGCUGAACACAAUAUGCUGAUUUCUUUGUCUCCAAACUUAAGUUUGAAGAUCUUACCAGGGUGGGGGAAACGGCACAUCUUAAAGAAAGGUCGAAAUCUGAAAGCAUUAUAUGUCCAUCUUCCCUCACCAAAACAUUCUCUGGUUUGAGGUCUCUGUAAAUGAUCCCGAGCAUAUGCAAAUAUUCCAAGGCAAGAAGAACUUCAACCACAUAAAACCUGCAAAAACAAACGGGAGAUAAACACACGAGAAUUAUUAUCUUCAGCAUGUCCCCAGCACUGGCAAAUAAACGUGUGCAAAACACUUGAUGUCCUUCUAGUUUAUAGGUUUACUCCUGCCUUUUCUCUGCAGGCUAUUGAAAUAUGAUUCCUAUUGUAACCUAAACUGAAAUGUGUAUGUGCACUAAUCAAAAAGUAAACUGAAAGGAGAAGUAUGAAGGAAUAUCUAACCUAGCAGCAUGCUCCGAAAAAUGCUUCCCAGGUUGUUUUUGUCUGAGUGCAUGCAGAUCACCCCAGGGACAAAACUCCAUCACCAAACAAGAUACCUUCUCCGUCUCAAAGUGUGUAUACAAUGUUGGCAGGAAAGGAUGAUCCAGAGAUUGCAGUAUUUCCCUCUCUGUCUGAGCCCUAAGAAGUUUUUUCCUACUUGCCAGUAAUGCUUUAUCCAUAACCUUCAUGGCGAAAUAAGUUUUAGUGCCAAUCAGUUCAGCCAAAUAAACGCUGCCUAUAUCUCCACAUCCCAGUGUCCUCAACAACUUGAAAUGCUCCUUACCCAGUGUUCCAUCAUGAUGAGAUCGCGCAGCUUGCACCGCUUCCCAACUAAUAUCAUUUGCCUUGUGGGGCUUGUACAUGGCAUUGCUCAAACUACUGGAGCUGCUCUCAUCGCUAACAUCGCUGCCAGUGCUGCCUCUAUAGAUGCUGGUCGUCCUGCUCUCAAUAAGAUCACAGGAAUUAGUAACUUCACUGCUUUCAACAGACUUCUCCACACUGUUGAUACAUUCACUGACUUCUGUAUUGGUGAAACUCUGCUUGGCUUCACAAUAUAGAGAGGCAGAAUAUAAACUGUUCUGAGGGCUUGCACAGUGAGAAAUGAGGUGGCUAUUUGUCUGCCCGGCUACUCCUUUAUAAGGAACCAAACCGUGAUUUCUAGAUUCCAUAUAUCUACUCGAAUCACAAUCAUUAACCGGAUGCUUGACGCUUGAUUUUGCUUCCAGCACGGAAACCUUGUUCAGAUAAGAAGUUUUGGCUGAUUUGUUAAGAACAUCAUUUGGGCCUCCAUGCUCAAGUGUUCCUGUUAAGUUUGAUAUUUCUAUAUAUUCAUACUGCUGCAAUGGCAGCAUUGCUUUAUACAUUGGAUACGUACACGCAUGCAUUAAACUAAAUAUAAAUGAAGGUGGAGUCCUCGCUGCCCAUAGUGCAGAAACUGCCCAUAAAGCACAAACACAGAUGCACAGCCCACGUGGGCAGUUUAGCUGUCAAGGCAUGUGUUGAAACCAUGUGCAAUAUUCUUCUGACAGGUUUGCUCUUUAACAUUCCCCCUCAAGUUGGAAUGGAUGUUGAUUAUUCCUAACUUGUGGAGCAAAGUCGUAAAUUGAUGUAAGCUCAGUGGCUUUGUGAAGAUGUCAGCUGGUUGCUUCAUGGUUGAAAUAUGAGACGUCCUGAUCAUACCACUUUGAAUCCUUUCUCGUACAAGGUGGCAGUCAAUUUCUAUGUGUUUGGUUCUUUCGUGAAAGACCGGAUUCGAAGCGAUGUGAAGUGCUGCUUGAUUAUCGCAAUACAACUUGACUGGAUGUUUAUGUUUGAUGCCCAAGUCUUGUAAAACAUAUUUCAGCCAAGUGACUUCACAACAAGAUGCUGCCAUUGAGCGAUACUCCGCCUCCGCACUAGAACGUGACACAGUGUUUUGUUUCUUGCUUUUCCAGGAGAUUAAGGAUUCUCCAAGGAAUACACAAUAUCCGGUGGUAGAACGUCGUGUGUCACGACAUCUGGCCCAAUCUGCAUCACAAAAGGCAUUCAGUUGGAUUGGACUUCUUGCAGAGAGAGAAAAAUACCUUGCCCUGGUGUAUGCUUAAUGUAUCGUAAGACUCGGUGGGCUGCCUCCAAGUGUGGAGUUCGAGGCUUCUCCAUAAAUUGACUAAGAAUGUGGACAGCAUAGACCAAAUCAGGGCGCGUGAUUGUCAGGUAGAUUAGUCUCCCAAUAAGCCGUCGAUAAGAAGAAGGAUCAGUGAUGCAUUGUCCUUCGUCCUUUCUGAGUGAUAAGUUUUUGCUCCAUAGGAGAGGUGGCUACUUUUGCACCAAGGUAACCUGCAUCCUCAAGUAUUUCAAGGGCAUAUUUUCGCUGUGAGAGAGCGAUCCCCUUACUAGAGCGAGCAAUUUCGAUGCCCAAAAAAAUAUUUUAGUUGGCCAAGGUCUUUCAACUUGAAUUGCUUCGUAAGGAAAGACUUGAUAUCCUCAAUUGCUUGUAUGUUAUUUCCUGCCAGGAUAAUAUCGUCAACAUAUACAAGGAGAGCAGUGAAUUUACCAUCAUGGUUUCGGACGAACAAUGAAUAGUCUGCCUUGGAUUGUUGAUGAUAACCAGCUUUGCUAAGAGCACAAGAGAGUUUGAUAAACCAUUGACGAGAGGCUUGCUUAAGCCCAUACAAAGAUUUAUGAAGUUUACAAACUCGUGUUUCCCCCUUUCGUCCGAAACCAGGGGGCAAGGACAUGUAGACAUCUUCUUCAAGGUCACCAUGAAGGAAGGCAUUGUGAACAUCAAGUUGGUGAAGGUGCCAUUGUUGGACUGAGGCAACGGCAAGAAGUAGGCGGACUGUAGUCAGUUUUGCAACCGGAGCAAAAGUCUCACGAUAGUCUAAGCCUUCAAUUUGGCUAUAACCUUUGGCAACCAAGCGUGCUUUAUACCGCUCAACUGAUCCAUCGGAACGAAAUUUGAUUUUGUAGACCCACUUACAUCCAACCGGCUGCUUUCCAGGGGGGCAAUGGUUGAAGAGACCAUGUCCUAUUUGCAGCAAGGGCUGCCAGUUCUUCUUCCAUGGCUAAACGCCAUUGGGGGUCGCGUACGGCCUGUGAGAAUGAACUGGGUUCUAUGGCAGCUGAAAUGGAAGUGGUGAAAGCACGAUGGCGAGCAGAUAAGCGAUCAUAUGUGAGUACAUCAGACAAAGGAUAAGAAGUACCUACCACUGUGGUCAAUGCUGAGUGAGAUGAAGGGACGGACCGAGAAGGAAGGUUAAUGCCAACGUGAUAUUGUUGAAGAUAACCAGGUGCAUGAGUGAGGCGUUUAAGACGAGGUGGUGAAGGGGAUUGGUCGACUGAAGAGGAUGGAUCGACUGAAGUGGAUUGGUCUACUGAAUCUUGUUCUAGUGGAAGGGACGGAUGAAUGAUGGUGUCAUCACAGUCAAUAUCUUGAGUAUAUGGAAACACAACAGGUGAGACGGCAACGGAAGAAGAAAAAGGGAACACAUUUUCAUGAAAAAUAACAUCACGGGAAAUAAAAAUUUUACCCGUUUGAAGGUCGUAAACUCGAUAUCCUUUGGUGCCGUAUGGAUAGCCAAGAAAAAUACAACGUGUGGCUCUUGCAUCAAAUUUGGUUGGUCUAUGGUGGUGUGUGGAAGAGAAACAUAAACAACCAAACACUCGCAAAUGUGCAUAUGUUGGCUGUUUGUGAUGAAGGAUUUCAUAGGGUGAUUUUCCGUGAAGAAGAGGAGUGGGAGUCCUAUUAAUGAGAUAAGUGGCAGUUAGGAUUGCAUUACCCCAAAAUUUCUUGGGAAGAUGAGAUUGAAAAAGCAAGGCUCUAGCAACGUUAAGUAAGUGGCGGUGUUUACGCUCUGCUACCCCGUUUUGUUGGGGAGUAGAGACACAACUUGUUUGAUGUAGAAUGCCUUUAGAUGAAAAAAAAUGGGUCAUAAAAAAUUCUAGACCAUUAUCACUACGAAGAACCUUAACUCGUGUGGAAAAUUGUGUUUCAACAAGGUGGAUGAAUGUGAUGAGAUAUGAUCGUGCAUCUGAUUUGUGAUUCAUUAAAUAAACCCAUGUGCAUCGUGUGAAAUCAUCUACAAUGGUCAAGAAAUAUUGUGCCCCUGUGAUAGUGGGAACAUGGUAACCUCCCCAAAUGUCAACAUGAAUUAAUUCAAAAGGAGCUUUUGUUUUAAUAGAACUCAAAGGAAAAGGAGCACGUGUUUGUUUGGCUAAGGGGCAGAUCAAACAAUCAUCAAUGCUACAAAAAUUCAAAUUUUUAAUGCAAGGGGAGAUAGCCCGUAAGGUUUUGUUGGAAAGAUGGCCAAGGCGUUGAUGCCAAAGCUGAGAAGCAGAGAAAGAGUAACAACUGACACUGAAUUGCACCUGGUUUUCGUCACAUUAUCAAGGUAGUAGAGGCCUCCUUGUUCAGUUCUCGUCCCAAUCAUCUUCCCCGAUCGUUGGCCCUGAAGUAGACACUUUUUAUCAGUGAAGAUGACAAAGCAAGAUGAGGUAUUAGUGAUUUUGCUGACAGAAAUUAAAUUCAGUUUAAAUGAUGGAACACAAAGCACGUUGUAAAGGACGAGAUCGUUCGAGAGACGAACUGUGCCAAUAUGUGUGAUAUCGGCAAGUGCAUGAUUGGGUAGGUGCACUUGUCGAUUGUAUACCGGAACGCUUGUGGUCAUCAAACUUGGUGAGCAAACCAUGUGGUCUGUGGCGCCAGUAUCGAAAAUCCAGUUCCUUCCCUUAUUGAGAGGAGAAGCACAAAGAACUCUACCUGAUAAAUCAUUCAUAGUAGAGGUGGUACCGACAUGGUUAGAUGUGGAUUUAGACUGGCUCUUAUCAAGUAGUGCAAGCAGGUUGUGGUAUUGCUCGGGAGUGAGGCUGUAGGAUGAAGGAGAUGUUGCUGGAGGCGUUGGUUUGAUGUCAACGUGAUUAGCCUUGGAGUUGAACCCCUGCGAGUUGGAACCCCUGCGAUCUUGAUAAUCUCCCUUAUCGCUGUUGUCCUUUGCCUUUUUCAAUUUGCGGCAUUGGUCUAUGGUGUGACCUCUCCAAUUACAGUAGUCGCACUUGAGGUGUGCACACGACAGGUUUCUGAAGUAUGUCCGGUUGCAUCACAACGGCCACAUUUUAAAUGGGAAUUUCUAGGAGAAAAAUUCCUACCAGAGUUUCGCAUGUUGUCCCGCACGGCGAAAGCUGCGGCAUCAGUGAUUGAAGACCUUCCAGGAGCAUGUAUUGAGACUGCUCUCUGUUUCUCAUCUUGAAUAAUGAGUGAGAAAGCUUUGUUGACAGCAGGGAGAGGAUCCAUAAGUAAGAGUUGCCCACGAACUGCAGCGUAGGAUUCAUUGAGACCCAUGAGAAACUUCAUGGUUUUCUGACUUUGCUGAAACUGCAUCAAUUCUUUCGCAGCUCCACAAUGCACAGGUUGGGAGAGCGCACAAGGCAUCACGUUCAUCCCAAAAACUUUUCAGUUUGGUAUAAUAUGCACCAAUGUUCAAAUUUCCUUGAACACUUCCAUGUAUCUCUUGUUCGAUAUGGAAGAGAUGGACACUGUUUGUGUGAGAGAGAAGCGUUCCUUCAACUCAUUCCAAAUAUCAGCUGCAACAUUGUUGUAGAUGACACUUGCACCAAUAUCUUUUGAGACAGAGUUGAGCAGCCAAGAUUUCACGAGGUUGUUGCAACGAGUCCACUGUUGGUAUUCAAUUGUGGACGUCAACUUAGGCCUUUGAAUGGUUCCAUUGAUGAAUCCUUCCUUGUUCUUGGCAUUGAGGGCCAUGGUCAUGGCUCGGCUCCAAGUGGAGUAAUUUUCGUCAUUCAAUGGUUGGUUGUGUGACGAGAAUCGCUCCAGGCUGAUCGGAGUGAUGAAGAUAAAGAGGAUCGCUGGGAUCUUCGUAUUUGGUGUGUUUGCUGGAAGAGUCAGUUGCCAUGUUCACAGACAGUGUGCAGUGGCUGUGCUUUGCGGCUGUGCUUAAUGGCUGUGACAGGUAGAGCAGCGACGAUGGCUGUGUAGCGGUUUUGCGACGGCAAGGCAGCGAGUGUGCAGCUUGCAGUGCACUGGUUGCUGCAGUAGCAGAUGUCGCUGUUCACAGUAUAGCAGCGAAAGAGUGAAGGCAGAGCAGAGCAAAGGAUUACCUGCGCUCUGAUACCAUGUUAAGUUUGAUAUUUCUAUAUAUUCAUACUGCUGCAAUGGCAGCAUUGCUUUAUACAUUGGAUACGUACACGCAUGCAUUAAACUAAAUAUAAAUGAAGGUGGAGUCCUCGCUGCCCAUAGUGCAGAAACUGCCCAUAAAGCACAAACACAGAUGCACAGCCCACGUGGGCAGUUUAGCUGUCAAGGCAUGUGUUGAAACCAUGUGCAAUAUUCUUCUGACAGGUUUGCUCUUUAACAGUUCCUUUAUUCGAAUUGUGGUAGUGUUUCCCCAUAUGAAGAAACUCUUCCUGCUGCAUGUUAUGAUUAGUUGCCUUGUUGGGGUUCUUUUGAUUAUUUACAGAACCAUUUGAGUAGCUGUCUGUCUUCACCGAAUAAGUAUGCGCAGUCACGCAGGAUGGCGACGAAACCCCUUCGCUUCUUGAUUGUUUUGGAGAUGAGGGCUGAGAAGGACGAGGAGUCCCAGUUGUGGAAGGAGGGUUCUUGCCUACCUCAGGCGGUGCAGAAUAGCGAAAUUUCGGCAAAGAAUUAACCCCAUCAACCAGUGACCCCAUGGCUUUCACACAGGCACUGUCACUGCAAAAUUCAACUGAGCACUAUGAUAAUAUGAUAUGUAACAAUCUUACCACUAAAGGCAUUAAGUACAGAAUCAUCAACUUGAAUUGUCUUCCAAAAUUCAAAUUAACAAGGCAGAGCCGUCAAUUCGAAACACAGAAUCAACAAAAAAUCUGCAACAAUAUACAGUCAAAGAAAAUCCCAGAUGAACCGAAAUUCAAGAUACAAGCUUUAAUUCACAAUCUAAUUAAUGGCAGCGCGAAAGGGGAAAAAUAUAUCAAAAAAGGAUCAUUUGACAAAAUUUUCAACAAAAAUUUAUCUUUUUAUAAAACCCAGAAACCCAAAUUCUCCAGUGAUUGAACCCAAGUUCUAAUUUUGAUUCUUUUCAAAACCAAACACGACUUUCAUUUUCUUUUCGUUUCCCACAGUUUCUCGGCAACCAAACAACAGAACAACGCAAAAGAACCUCAAAGCAAAGAACCCAAUUAGCCAAAGAGAGCUUAGAAAAAUUACCUGAUCAGAGAAGAGAGAAAGCAGACGACAGCAAGCAACCUCGCAUGGCUGGUGGGCACAAUGAGAGAGAGAGAGAGAGAGGAGAGAGAGAGAGAGAGACCCAAAGAGCGAGAGCUCACAGAGAAAGUGAAACAACUUAGAGGGGGUCUCUGUUUCUGUUUUUCAUCUUUUGGAUUUCACUGAAGAGCUUCAGAUCCGAUCGAACAAGAAAUCCAGAGGAGGAUCAAGCAACAAGACAACAAACAAAGAAAAAAAUAUGAAUAAAUUUAUGAACUUUUAACUUCUGGGGAGAACAGAAAGUUGGAGUUUCUCUGGUUUUUCUCGUCGCGGUGUGGACUUGAGAGAAAAACGAAGCCAAAAUUCGCAAGCAAAGCGUAAAGCUUAAAAAGCCGUCUUUGUCUUUGGAUGUUUUUUUUUCCAAUGUAUUUUGUUCUCUGAGAAGAAAAUAUGGUGGAAAGAACGUCUCUUCGCUUUGUUCUUGUUGUGAAAAAAAAAAACUUUUUAACAUUUUAGUUGUAUCAUGGCUCAUGGCGCACGAGAGAUAUUUCAUUAUGUCGAAAACACGGUCUGAUGCGAUUAUAGUGUAUCAAACCGUGUUAUCUUAAAGUAUGUAGGAAACAUGAUUUGAUGCGCUAAGUGUCUUAAUAUAAUUUGUUGAAAAAAAUUCAUAUGAUAUAUAAUGUAUCAAAUCGUGUGCCCCUAAAAAUGUAUUACGAUAGUUGUUUUCAAUUUGUUCAUUGAGGUAUUUUGGCAAUUACAAUAAAAACAACCAGCGCAAGAAAUCUUUAGGGACCCGUAGCGUCAGUAAUUGAAAAAAAAAAUGCCUCUCUCUUGAGAAAUUUUGAAUGUACCCCUAACCAAUAGCCCGCUUUAAGAAUUCAAUCUUUAAAUGAAUGAAUUGGUAUUGUGAAUGUUAAGAAUUAUUAGCUGGUGAUCAGACUAGUGAUACAUUUUUUUUUUCUCAAUGUUUGAAUUCCCAGUACAAUAUAUUUUGUAGCACUCAAUCGAACCUACAUGGCAAGGAUGUAGAUUUUUCAAAUGUAUAUUUUUAAGAUAUGAGGAAUUUAAAUGAAGAAACCAAACCCAAAUCUUGUAGCACACCCUUAUUCUACAACUACAUACUCAAAUGCAAUGUCAUACGUAAUUGUACAAAUAUCAAACUCACUUUUUUUUAUUAAUUUUCAAUAGUUAUCAUACUUCGUCUUUCAAGUGUAACUUAUUUUUCGAGCUCCCAAUAACAACUCCAUUUACAUUUUAUAUGAGCAAUGUAAUUAUCGAUAUCACAUGACUCCUACAUUAUUUUCAAGGCAAUUAUGUCCAAUGACGAAUGUACAUUGAGACCAAAGUGGUUUUAGGAUCACCAAAAGUUCAGAAAAUACACAUGUGAAUGUCUUUCGAGAAAUGAUUGGUAUUGAUCCUUCUUGUGCCCAUUUGAUGUAAUGCAUGCCAGCAUAUCUUGAGAUGAUGCGUCGAUAUCACUCAUCAGACUGUUUCAGUGUAUGUCAUUAUCUAUUGACAUGUUUCUAUCUAAAAAAUUAACAUUAAAACCCUCAAUGAUCCUAAUCUUGAAUUCGCAUCUGAUUAUGUUAUCUGUUUUAUCCCAUAAGUAAGAGCAGAGGUCCUCAACAUUGUCAAAUUUUCAAGCAUUCUUUCCCCUCAAAUAUUAUUUUAUUUUCUCCCUAAAUUCCAAUAAUACAAUGCUAAUAAUAAUUUUUUAAUGGAAUCUAAUCCAAAGAGUGGAAAAUAUCCAACAUCUAGAAUGUAACUAGACAAUGUUUUGAUUGACCACAACACCAAAAUUCAGGGAGCAGAUAUAGGACUUAAUUUUCAUUUUUUUAAACAUUAUUUAGGUCCAAGAUAAUUAAAUUAAAUUAUAAUUAGUCGUAAUCACAUGGGGAUUAAGCAACCGCACAAAUCUCGUUAAUUCCUUUCGCGGGAACCAGGAGGGAGGCCUCACAUGCGCGCACGUGAACACCAGGACAAAGCACGUGGGCGGCUGUCAUGCCCGUCGCAUGAAUCUACGGUAGGCCCGCGGUGAAACUAAAAGAUAUGUUUAAUCUGGAAGGACAGGGCGCCCGUAUCAAAUGUUACGGAGCUUUGGGUAUGUGGGUCUACAAUCACAUAAAUUUUUCAACGUUGUCGAAAACACAGUCUGUUAUAUAAGGUAUCAUUGUAAAAGCAGUUAAUUUUUUUUUUUUUUCAAACUAUUUAUGUUAUUGGUGUACUAGUCUGUUUUCCGACAGACUGAAAAAUAUCUCCACAAUCACACUGGUGGUAUUUUGUAUUGUGGAUUGUAAGUGCAAAAAGAGUCUAAUAGCAACUUAUAUAAAAUGAAUAUCUCAAUUGUAAAAAUCAAUUCUACUACUCAAUGUUUCGUGAAAACCAAACUUACAUUUAACAUUGUGUAUUAGUUUAUCGGAACGCCCUAAUUGCGAUAAACACAAAUUUUAUAUGUCAUUUUUGUGAGUUAAAGCUCAAUCCUUUGUGUUAGCAUAGAUAAUAUCGAUGUUAAAAAAUAAGAAAGUCAUUCUCGUGAUGGUGACCAGAUACACGUAACAUGCUUUCCUAACAAUGUGGGUCCCAGCAAAGACCCAUUUCCUUAAAUUUUAAUUCCCAUCAGACAUCGGACGGUUCUAUAUUGCUUCUGGACAUUGAUGGAUGCUCUGCACCGUAAACUCUAUGCGGUGCAAAACACUUGGUUCUUGACACGUGUAAUUAUUAGAAGGGAAUUUAGACAGUAUCAUGACUAGUGGGGACCACCAUUACCAAUCACAUAACAUGGACAUACCUUGGGCAAAUCAUUUUCCAUUUUCUCCAUUAGACAGUGAGCAAUCUUUCAAUGUACCUGAAACAAAGUGACAUAAUAGUAAGUAACACGGAGGAUGUCAGGACCAGUUCCAGACUCAAAAACCUUAAGGCCCAGUUUGGUGGGAAAUGGAAUAGGUUGUGAUCAAUUAAAAUAAAUUUUGAGUUCAACAUGUUAUUUAUUAUGUUAAAUGUGAGAUAGACAAGACUGAACUGGGUUAUAAGUUCAGAAUAGAGUAGAUUAUCUAACUUAUCCUUAUAAAUAGGUUACAAGUCUUGUCUUAUAAGCCCCUACGAAUCUAAUCAUACCUCUGUUGUCUAAUCUCAUCCAUCACCCCAAACGGGCCCCUUCGUGACAUCACAACAUAUUGACUCAUGUGCAAAAUUCAUUGACCACACAUGUUCCAUAUACGAACAAGUAACUUUUUUCAGCUAGGCACUAACACUGUCAUUAUUCAACCAAGCACUUACACUGUCAUGUGGUUUUACGAAUCCAUUCAUAUUAUAACAUAUGUAACCAUAAAAAAUUUCAACAUGACCGUUGCUUUAUACUGUAGUUCUGUACUACACAUGAAUUAGUAACAUCACCAUGUAGAUGUCCUACCAAAAAAAACGAAAAAUCUCCAUACAACUACAAACGAGAAGCAUUAAACUAGACAUUCAUUUCCUUCUCUGAGCAUGGGCAAACUAGCAAGGAAUGUGAUGAGGAAACUAACAUUAGACAAGAUGUCAAGAUUGUUCUAACCAAUUUUCCAGGUACAAAUUUAAGACGUAUCUCGCCGUUGACAAAACGUCAAGCCUCUUCUCGCUCGGUUCAUACUUCCCUUUCCGGAGCCGGUACCGACGAGUUACGGCCGAGAUUGUGUAAGUUUGGCCUUCUAUUGUCACACCGUCCCCACAAUGUAGGUUCUGCAGCAUGGAAGGUGCAAUAAGAACACACACAAGGAAAAUCAAAAGAGAAGAAAAUAGCAAGUUUAGUAGCAAAUUCGACGUAUCAUACAUCCGUAGGGCCUGCUGCUCCUCCAUGAAUGAACAAAUAGAGUAAUAUAGACGAUAGAGUAAUACUGAACGCAUGACAGACAGAAACAAUCAGUUCGGAUGCACGUAUAGUUUGAGGGAAGGUUUCGGUGCAGUUUCCUGGUUUUCUGAAGUCGUGUAUAGGGUUGUCCUCUCCCCGCAUAAAUGUGAUGGAGACUGAACUGUGAGAGACGUUCAAAUCUCAUAGAUGGUGAUCAUUUGCCUAGCCAAAUAAAAAGGAUCAACUUCGAUCCCGUACAUGAAUCAUCUUCCAUGCCUGUACAUCUGAGAAUAAUAUAAAACGGCGUUUAGACACUUAAGAAACGAAAAUGGCACAACGCAAAGACUUUGAUCACCUUGUGAUUUCAUUCACCAUCGCUCGGUCAUUGUGUUCUUUAGGUGUGUGCAGUGAACACUGAAACUUGUUUCUUCUAAACCAUCGAAAAACUUGUGCUCUUAACUUCACGCUUAAUUAAGUUAGCCGCGAAUGUGAAUUACAUUGCUUAUCUUCAUUUCGACACAGUUUUGUCCAAGUAAUCUGUUGGAGCAUGUUUGGUAUUCUACUUGAAUCCAACUUUUUAAACUAAAAAAUAAUUUUCAAGUUUUAGACCUUAAAAACUUGUUUGAUAUGACUAUUUUCAAAAACUGAACUCAAGACUAACUAAAAAAUAUAGUCUAUUAUCUAAAAACACAAAAUGUGAGUUUUUAGAAUUUUUAAAUUUAAAUUCACUCCUUUCUUUUCUCUCGCUCCUCCCCUCUCACUCCAAAGCUAUCUCUCUCUUUUCUUCUUUCUCUCUCCCCCUUCUCUUUUUUUUUUUUUUACCAUUUUCGUCUCUCAUCCAAUCCGCUCUCUUCAUUCUCUCGAUUCUUUAUCUCACUCACUUUUCUCUCUAUCUCCUCCGAUCCUCUCACUUCUUUCUUUUUCCUCCAAUAAUCUCUUACUUUCUUUCCUCUUCUCUCAUCUUUCUCUCUUGACCCACUCUUUUUGGAUCUCUUUGUCCAGUUUAAGUUGUAAGAUUUAAAAAUUUUAAAUUGCAUUUCAAACAAGUUUUUUAGUCUUAAAGAAAAUUGUUUUCAAGAAAAAUUCUUAAGAAAUGUUUUGAGAAAUUAUAAAAAAUUUCAAAUAGGAUACCAAACAAGCCAUUAGUUUCUUACAGUUUCUGAAAGAUCCAAGUCGACUGAGUACACGGUCUAUGCUACGUUUUUACCCAAGCGAAACACUACUUCAGAAAUGUUUUCACACCAGAAGAAGCUGCCUGAUGCAUACAUGACAAGCUAUCGAUACACAUUUAAGCAAGGACGUCUCACAUCCUCGGUAUGGUUUGCAUUUCUCAACGGCGUAGUGAUGCUUACUAGACAAAAGAUAAAAGAAAAGGAAAAGUGGGACGCAUUGGGGUUCAAUCUCCUCCAAAAACUAUGAAGGGCUUCCUCUUUGUGACACUUCCCAAAGUCAUCGCCAACACCAAUAUAUCAGAACAAGUGCAUAUGGCCCCCUAGAGCAAAAUGGAGUUCAGUGACCAACUCUUUCAAGUUUCAAUACAUCGAUCACGCAGCUUCUACCAAAUUCACACUCAAAAAACUUCCUUAUACGGUCAAUUUGUACAUCUGUGACAUCCAAAUCGACGUCAUUCGUGCUCAAUCAUUGCAGUAAUCGAGCUUAAACAGCUCAUAAUACAGUUAUAUAAGAAGCAAGAGCAAAUGCAGCAGCAGCAGCACCUGCAUAAUCCCCACUCAACAGACAUUCACGGAUUCAGAAUUGAUCCCCAAAAUUAUUGGUGGGAUUCGAAGCUCUUUUGCCACAAGUCCCCAAUCUGUCUAGCAAAGGGAAACAUUUGUGCCUCUCAUUUUAAUAACUUCUUUUUAUAGGGAGCUGAUCCGUUACUUUUUUACACAACUUUUGACAUACAUUUUUUUGCGGCGCAUUCUAUAAGUAUAUUUUAACGAUCCGAACCAUCACUCAUAUAUUAUACUUGCAAAAAUUUAGACUAACCCGAACCCAUUAAGACAUUUGUUUGUACCAAAAGAAACCUAAGCCCUUAUUUCAAGGGUCAUAUGGCUUCAUUUGGAAGACAGUGAAAUGCUUUCUGAACAAAAACUAGCAAAUCAUGGAAAAAAUUGUAAGAACAUCUCCAAUGGGUUGUGUUGAUGCACAAAAUCAGCGAAGACUUUGGUACAACAGAAAGUGUCAGGUUUUAUGACCUUCGCUUGGUUGCUUCGGUCACUAGUGAGGAUAAGUACGUAAAUGAAUAGAGACAGAGAAGCAAACACAGGAUGUACGUGGUUCACCCAGAUUGGCUACGUCCACGGAGUAGAGGAGUUCUUAUUAGUAGUGAAGGGCUUACACAAGUACAAAGGAUCAAGCUCUCAAUUUAGUGAGUUCUUGUGAAUGAUUUAACACAAAUGGCAUUAGGCAAUAUUGUGGGGGAAUGACCCCUAUUUAUAGAAAAACUUGUAGCUUUGUCACAUUGACAUGUGUCAUGUUAUGAUUGGUUCUUGAUGUCGACACGUGCUGCGCUCUGAUUGGCUUCUAAUCUUGACACGUGUCGAGUAGUGAUUGGCCUCCUGGUCGGAGGGGAACUCUUCUGGGUCCUUGACAGUAUAGCGUUGGCCGGUGCUCGGUAGUUUCGGGAUUGGUCAAGUAUGGUACAAACAGUGCUCCCCUAAGUUCCCGAGUGAGGGAAACUCCUCGGUUGGGGACUUGCAAGAUCCAAUCCCUUGAGUAAUCACGAAACUUCUAAGUACCGAAGUGUGGUCUGAUCUUCAUCUGCCCUUCUCUGGAAGUACCUUUCCUCCAUCCGGGAAUGGUGUAUUUAGCUGAUGUUGACGCACAAGGUAAUGUAUCAAUUUCAUUUGAAGCUUAGUUGUAGUUUCGGGCUUAGUCAAGUGUGAUACAAACCCUAUAGUAGGAGUCCCCCAAGUCGCGCCGAGCUAGGAGAUCUGCCGAAAGAGGUGACAGACAAGGUAAGCAGUCAAACUUCCAAGUAAGCAACCCAGGAUCAGAGGUUUGACUUCGGCUUCCGGUUGAUUGUUCUCCUUCUCCUUGUCUCUCAUUCAACUGCCAGGAUAAGGAGAAGCAAAUGGAUAAGAGAUGAUAUGAGAUACUUUUGCUUUUGAAGAAGUAACUUUCCACAGGCUUAUUCUUGAACUGUGCUGGAGGGUUUUCUGGUGCCCUUCAGAGUAUAAGGCCGACUCAAAAAUUUGAGGGUCAAAACAAGUCCAUCAAAUCUAGAGUACGUUCGACCUUGAUGAUAUGGGAUACUUUUGCUGUUGACGGAAUAAUGAAUGUGGUAUGGAAAGGUGUCGUGCUGUAGUGAUCUGUUUCAGCUCACCGUUGAACCUUCUGCUUCAAUCUUUUGCAUGGCAGAAGUGGUGUGCAACCUUUGCAUUUAAAUGGUCCUUCAGAACAUUCCUUCAUAGUGACUCAUCCACGCUUGGCAGCUUCAGUGUAAAGAGCCAAUAUCUGAUCAACUGUCAUGAGGUAUUUGCCGGUGGAAUUCGUGACCUUGACAACAGUUGAGGAUGAGUACUCGAGAGCAAUGCUAAGUAAGCAACCAGGGAAAGGCUCCAGGCAGUCAGUUCCAAAUUGGAGGUUUGAUUUCAGGUUCCGACUGACUGCUCUCUUUCUCCUUGUCCUGCAGGUGUGGACAAGGACAAAGACAAAGACAGGGAGAAAGCAUGAUAUGGGAUACUCUUGCUUUCGACCCUGAUGAUAUGAGAUACUCUUGUUCUUGGUGUGGCUUAUUUGCUGAGGUAUUAUCGGGGGGAAAUAAAGCUGAGUAUAUUUCGAGAGGUUAUGUUGAGGGUGCCUUUUUCGAAUGCGAGAAAGGGUUGAGCAUUUUUGCAGGUUUGCCUGUCCGUUGAGGAGGGAGGUCAAUGUAUAUAGGGAUUUCCCAAUAACAAGUAGUAAUGUUAUUCCUUUACCCUUCUUGGUCACAGCAAUGUAGUGGGAGCUGCCAGCUUCACGUGUUUUUAAUUUUGUCAGAGCACUUUGAAAAAGUGGUAUGUGGUAUCUGGAAAGCUGAUAUUACGUGUGAAGAUUACAGACAAGCUUUAUCUAAGGAAAUCUGGCUCUCGAAGUUCUGAGAGUUGUGCCUCUUCGGUUUUCGAACAAGCAAUCCCGUCGAGGAUCUGACUCUCGAGAUUCGGAAAGCGGUGCUACUCCGGUUUUUGAGAAAGUAAUUAUGUUGGGAGUCUUUUCUCGAAUGUGAGUAAAGGUUGGACGUUCUUGCCAACCUGUCUUGCCGCAAAACACGGAGGUCGACACACAUAGGGACUUUCCAGUUGUCAAGCAGUGGUGCUGUUCCUUUACCCUUAUGGGUAAUAGUAGGGUAGCUGGAACUUCGAAAUUCUCGUGCCUAAACUUUGUCAGAGAUCUUUGACAAAGUUAUAUGUGGUACCCGAGGAGUUGAUGGUGCAUAUGGAGAGCGGUGAUUGAACAGUAAGAUUCACGUGCUUUCUACUUCACCAGAAAUCUUCGACAGAUUGCCCGUAAUUUCCGCAAAGCUGAUUGUGCAUGUGACAGGUGCUGACGAGGCUGAAAAAGCAAGUGCUUCUUCGAUUUCUGAGAUCGGCCCUCGUGGUCUCUGAGCAGCCCAGCUUUUGAGAAAGCAAACGCCUCUUCGAUUUCUGAGAUCGGCCCUCGUGGUCUCUGAGCAGCCCAGCUUUUGAGAAAGCAAACGCCUCUUCGAUUUCUGAAGCUCCGUCGAGUGCAGAUUUUUAUAGAGGCUGGCAUUAAGUUCCACAGCACACUUGAAUCUCUACCAGUAGAAGCUCAUUUCUUGCACUUCUAAGAUCUUGAUUUGUCUGACCUCUUCCUUCUUCAACACAUUUGAAAAUGUCUGGACCCUCCGACCGUCGUUUUGACUUGAACCUUGGAGAAGAGACAGCCACGCCUUCUCCAGACAACAUAUGGCGCCCAUCCUUCAUAUCCCCUACUGGUCCUCUUACCGUUGGGGAUUCUGUGAUGAAGAAUGAUAUGACCGCUGCAGUGGUGGCCAGGAACCUUCUCACUCCCAAAGAUAACAGACUACUUUCCAAACGGUCUGAUGAGUUGGCUGUUAAGGACUCUCUGGCUCUUAGUGUUCAGUGUGCAGGUUCUGUGUCUAAUAUGGCCCAACGCCUAUUUGCUAGAACCCGCCAAGUUGAAUCAUUGGCUGCUGAAGUGAUGAGUCUCAAACAGGAGAUUAGAGGGCUCAAGCAUGAGAAUAAGCAGUUGCACCGGCUCGCCCAUGACUAUGCUACAAACAUGAAGAGGAAGCUUGACCAGAUGAAGGAAUCUGAUGGUAAGGUUUUACUUGAUCAUCAGCGGUUUGUGGGUUUGUUCCAAAGGCAUUUAUUGCCUUCGUCCUCUGGGGCUGUACCUGGUAAUGAAGCUUCAAAUGAUGAACCUCCAAUGCCUCCUCCUUCUGGGGUUUUGUCAAGUACUGAGGCUCCGGAUAACCACCCUCCGGUGCUUUCUCUUUCUGGGGCUCUACCGACUGCUGAGACUUCCCCUAAGCAACCUUUGUGAAGGCUCCCUUUUGUUUGUUUAUUUUGACUCAUGUAUAUGUACAUAUUUGUGGCUUAUCGAAAAUAUUAAUAAAUAAGCUUUGCUUCAUUUCAACAUAUUGUGUUAAAUACACCAAAGCCUUCUUCAUAAAGUUCUUUGAAUUUUUGCUUUUGUUGAAACCUGUAUUGUUGAAGCUUUGUGAGUGAAGCAUGUAGUUUGAGGUAGUGUUCCCUUAAUUUCCCGAGUGAGGAAAACUUCUCGGUUGGAGACUUGAAAAAUCCAAGUCACUGAGUGGUUGUGAGACUGCCGAGUAUCAAGGUGCAGUAGCAUAUGGUGGGAGUCCCCCAAGUCUUCAGGCGAAGAGAGUUGCCGAAUGAGGUGUCUCUCGCGUGUUACUAAUUUGUCAAAGUAACGAAUCCUUGUUUCGAUGUCACACAUUCGUAUAUGCUUUAUCUAAAAAUAUUUCCAACUUUUGUGUGUUUGAUGCUGCAUGCUAUUGACUAGACAAGAUCAAGUGCAAUUAGUAGCUUUUCUCUCUUUUUCAUCUUUUCUUUGGUGGAAUUGCUUUUCGUUUCCACUAAUCAGCCUGAGUGGAUGCAAGAUAACACCUUUCUCUAUAGCUCAGAUUGCAAAGUCGUCUUCAUGAAAGUUUUUCCUUAUCUUGUGAACUACAACAUAUCCAAAUUUGAGAUCCAUCGGAGUAGUACAACUUCAGAAAUUCAAGUAUGAUGAGUAACUGUUCAUCAAUGUUCUGUUAAUCCGUCAGACUUGUUGUGAGCUUCGAAACUCCAUUUUCUCUUGUUCAGAUCAACAUACUUUCUUCAUCGAAGUUGUUCCUUAACUUGUGAACUACAACAUAUCCAAAUUUGAGGUCCCUCGGAGCAGUAUAACUCCAGAAAUCCAGGUAUGAUGAGUGACUGUUUAUCAUUUUGUCUGUCAACCCGUCAGAUUUGUUGUGAGCUUUGAAACUCUAUUUUCUCUUGCUCAGAUCAGCAUGCUUUCUUCAUUGAAGUUGUUCCUCAGCUUGUGAACUACACAACAUAUCCAAAUUUGAGAUCCCUCGGAGCAGUAUAACUCCAGAAAUCCAGGUAUGAUGAAUGACUGGUUAUUAUUUUUCUGUCAACCCGUCAGAUUUGUUGUGAGCUUCGAAACUCCAUUUUCUCUUGUUCAGAUCGGUAUGCUUUCUUCAUUGAAGUUGUUCCUCAUCGACUCUUUCAUAACAUAUCAAAAAUUCAGGAUGAACUAACGGUUAAAUAUUUCCAGAUCUUCGAAACAUCACAACAGCUUCGAAAUCUGCAAGAAGCCGACUAUCAUGUUUGGAGCUUCAACACUUUAAUUUCCGUCGCUCAAACAGAAAUGGUUCCUUCUUGAAAGUUGUUCAUAUGCUCAAGAACUAUAGGGUGUCCAAAAUUCAGCUCCAUUGGAGAAGAGCAGAGGUUGCAGAAAUUUGAUAGAUGAAAGGAGGCGGAAGAGGGAGAGAGAGAAAAAGUCUCUUGGGUUGGAUUUCUAUUUUGGGGCAGAUUCCAAUUUUUGUAGCACCUUCAUUAUUGAUGAAUUGCUUGUACUUUUGUCCAUUAUGAAACUUGGGACUUUGGCUUGUUGUUGGAUCUAUUAUAAUAUGUUUGGGAACAUAUAUAAGUGAAUAAAUAAGAAGGAAAAUUUUGGGCCCUUGUGGGUGUAAAACAAAAAAUGUUUAUGUUUACCCAAGUGUUUUUGUACAAGUUCAAGGGCAUCUUGGGUUUUGUGAACAAAAUUUGUUUAUUUGGAGCAAGGUUUUGUGUUGAAGCUUUGUAGGUGAAGCUUUGGUGUUGAAGCUUUCUAGGUGAAGCUUUGAUGGUGAAGCUUUGUAGAUGAAGCUUUGUAGAUGAAGCUUUCUAGGUGAAGCUUUGAUGGUGAAGCUUUGAUGGUGAAAGUAUGUAGAGGGAGCUUUCUAGGUGAAGCUUUUUUAGGUGAAGCUUUGUAGGUGAAGCUUUUUUAAGUGAAGCUUUUCGGGUGAAGUUUUUUUUUUUGGGUGAAGCUUUGUGGGUGAAGCUUUUUAGGUGAAGCUUUUGUGGGUGAAGCUUUGGAGGUGAAGCUUUUCGGGUGAAGCUUUUUGGGUGAAGCUUUUUAGGUGAAGCUUUGUGGGUGAAGCUUUGGAGGUGAAGCUUUUCGGGUGAAGCUUUUUGGAUGAAGCUGUUUUUUUUUUUUUUUUUUUUUUUUUUUUUUUUUUUUUUUUUUUUUGGCGCUUGACACGGUCUUCAUUUGCUUGUUUUGUAGUGACUGUGGAAGACGGAUUGCUUUCUGAUUGAGAAGGGUUCCGGCAUCGCUUGCUAUGAAUGUAAAAGAGUGAGGGCUGAGUUGGCUAAAUUACCUCUUUAUUGAAUUCAUUGCCAAAUGGCCUUCAUUACAUAGGAUGCCGAACGGCUAUAGCUCAACACUUGUACAUCGUGAGUCUAUUUGUAGUAGUACUUCAAGUGAUCAGCGUUCCAUGGAUGGCCAAGGGUCUUGCCAUCGGAGCUUCUAAGUGUGUAAGAGCCAGGGCGACUGAUGCCAAUGACUUCAUACGGUCCAUCCCAGUUUGGACUAAGUGUGCCUUCACUCGGGACUCUGUCGCAGAGUAAUCUUUUCUUUAAGACCCAGUCUCCUAUUUUGAAAGAACGAGGCUUGACCCUAGAGUCAUAAUAGUUGGAGAUGCGCUGCUUGUAGGCGACAUUCCUCAAGUGAGCUUGGUUUCUGUGUUCCUCGACUAAAUCCAAGUUGAGGGUGAGUUGUUUGUCAUUUUCACUUUGAAUGUAGUUCUGGACUCGGAAUGUUGCUUGCUCGAGCUCAACAGGGACAACCGCCUCUGUGCCAAAGGCAAGUGAGAAUGGAGUUUCUCCUGUUGAAGUCCGAUAUGAAGUGCGAUAUGACCAAAGAACUUGGGGUACAAAUUCUGGCCAACAGCCUUUAGCUUUGUCCAAGCUGGUUUUCAAAGUGCGCUUGAUUAUUUUGUUGAUGGCCUCAACUUGUCCAUUAGACUGGGGAUGAGCUGGAGAGGCAAAGCAUAAGUUGAUGUUGAACUUAGAGCAGAACAACCUGAACUUCUUGUUGUCAAACUGUCGCCCAUUGUCAGUGACUAUCGCAUUGGGAAUGCCGAAUCUACAAAGGAUGUUCUUCCACACGAAGUCUUCUAUCUUUGCCUCAGUAAUGGUUGCCAAGGGUUCUACUUCGGCCCACUUUGUGAAGUAGUCCACUGCAACGACUGCGUAACAGACUUUGCCCUUCCCUGCCGGCAUUGGGCCGAUCAAAUCAAGUCCCCACUGGGCGAAGGGCCAAGGGCUGAUCAUAGGAGUAAGAGGCUCUGGAGGGGAAUGAGGAAUAGCCGCAUAUCGUUGACAUUUGUCACAUGAGCGGGAUACUUUGAUGGCAUCCUGGUGGAGUGUUGGCCAGUAAUAUCCUUGGCGAAAAGUCUUGUGUGCUAGGGACCGAGAUCCAGCAUGAUCUCCACAGACUCCCUCAUGUAUUUCCCGAAGGACGAUUUCCGCCUCGGCAGGCGUAAGACACCUUAAGUAUGGCAGGCUAAAACCUCGCUUAUAGAGUUGAUCAUUGAUGAUCAGGUAGCGGGUAGACUUGUAUCGAAUUUGCUUAGCCUGGACUUUAUCAUUUGGGAGGGUGCCAUGAGCAAGGAAAUUAUAGAUCGGGGUGAUCCAACUAUCCCCCUGUUGUAAGUUGCAUACUUCUGCGGCCAUGGUGCUUGGUGUUGCCAACAGUUCGACAUGAAUUUUUCUUCCAAUCUUGUCUUCCACAGCCGAGGCGAGGCGAGCCAGGGCGUCUGCAUGACUGUUUGCCGCUCGAGGAACUUGGGUGAUCUGGUAGUGGAAGUGCUUGAGCAAAAGUUGUGUUUGCGCAAGAUAUGCUGCCAUGGAGCUGUCCUUAGCAUCAAAGUUGUUGGUAACCUGGUUGACCACCUAAUUGGGAGUCACUGAAAAUAUCAAUUUGUUUAACCCCGAGGUGUUUGGCCAAACGUAAUCCUGCUAGAAGGGCUUCAUACUCGGCCUCAUUAUUUGAUGCCUUGAAUUUGAAACGAAGAGCAUACUCCAUUGCUACUUUGUCGGGUGUAGUCAAGACUAGUCCCGCUCCACAGCCCUGUUGGUUGGAUGAGCCAUCAACAUACAGACUCCAUGCUGGGGUUGUUGGUUCUAUCUUCUGAGCUUCCGGGGUAAUGAAGCCACUGCUUCAGGUGUAGAAGCAAUGUCAACCGGAUAUGUGAAGUCGGCAAUGAAGUCUGCCACUGCUUGGCCCUUCUCAGCUGGCUUUGGUUGGUAGGAGAUGUCAAACUCACCCAACGCUAUUGCCCAUUUGAUCAUUCGCCCUGAAGUGUCAGGACUUUGGAGUAUCUGUCGAAGAGGAUAAUUGGUAAGCACGAUGAUGGAGUGCGCUUGGAAGUAAGGGCGGAGUUUUCGAGCAGACAUGACCAAUGCCAGAGCCAAUUUCUCAAUGUUAGAGUACCGUGUCUCCGCAUCUUGUAAGGCUUUGCUAGCGUAGUAGACAGGUCGCUCAAUAUUCCCAUCCUUUCGAAUGAGAACGGAACUUACGGCUGAAGCUGAUACCGAUAGGUAGAUAAUGAGAAUGUCUCCUACCUCGGGCUUGGAGAGUAGAGGGGCUUUACUCAUGUACUCCUUGAGGUUUUUGAAUGCCUCGGCACAUUCAUCAGUCCAUGUAAUGUACUUCCUACUUCCCUUAAGUGCUUUAAAAAAGGGAGCACAUUUGUCUGUGGCCUUAGAAAUGAACCUGGUUAAGGCUGCCACCUUGCCAGUAAGGCUCUGGAUGUCCUUUGAAGUUACCGGUUCCUUCAUGUCGAGGAUUGCUUUGAUCUUCUCGGGAUUAGCUUCAAUGCCUCGUUGGCUAAUCAUGAAACCUAAGAAUUUGCCAGAGCCUACGCCGAAGGCACAUUUGUUGGGGUUUAACCUCAUUCGAUACCUCUUCAAAAUAGUGAAAGUUUCAGAUAGGUUGGUGAUGUGUUGGUCAGCAUGUUUGCUCUUGACUAACAUAUCAUCAACGUAAACUUCCAUGCUCUUCCCAAUCUGCUCGGCGAACAUUGAGUUGACUAGUCUCUGAUAAGUCGCUCCUGCAUUCUUUAGGCCGAAAGGCAUGACUUUAUAGCAGUAUAGUCCUCUGUCGGUAGUGAAGGCUGUGUGUUCUUGAUCCGAAGGGUUCAUGAGGAUUUGGUUGUAUCCUGAGUAAGCAUCCAUGAAGCUCAGGAGUUCACACCCGGCCGUAGAGUCUAUAAGUCUGUCAAUAAGAGGAAGAGGGAAGCUAUCUUUCGGACACCCUUUGUUUAGGUCGGUGUAGUCAACACACAUUCUCCACAAGACCUUUUGAAGCAAAAGACUUUCUUUGGUCGGAUUUUUCCUUAACAAGGACCACAUUUGCUACCCAUGUCGGGUAAUUGACUUCGCGGACAAAGCCUAUGCCUUUGAGUUUUUCAACUUCUGCUUUCAUUGCCUCGUAUCGUUCAGCGUCAUAAGAUCUUCGCUUCUGUCUCACCGGCUUGAUCUUGGGGUCAAUACUCAAACGAUGACAGAUGACAUCGGGAGAGAUGCCUGGCAUGUCCUCGUAUGACCAGGCGAAGACUUCAGUGUUCUCUUUCAAAAAAGAUAUCAAUGCUAACCGAAGGGGUGGUGACAAUGUGGUGCCAAUCUUCACCAUGCGAUCUGGAUAAUCUCUUGAGAUAGGUACCUUCUCCAACUCUUCAGCAGGUUGGGCUUGCUGGGUGAAAGAGUCAUCUCGAGGAUCAUCGGGUUGAUUGUUGCUAUCAGGAAGAUCCAAGUUCGCUUCAUCUAGGCUGGUCUUUGUGACUUGGUCAUGUACAGACAGGGUUUCCUUGGGUCCGGGCAAGUGUUGUUGCUUAACUGAAGUGUUGUAACAUGAUCGUGCACUAAGCUGAUCUCCUCUGAUGUAGCCGUUGCCAUGGGGGGUUGGAAAUUUCAUCAACAGCAUAUGCGUGGAUACCAUAGCCUUGAGAUCAUUGAUGCCUGUGCGCCCAAAGAUGACAUUGUAUGCCGUUGGGCAGUCAACCACUAGGAAGUUAGUGGUAAUGGUAGCCGUGUAAGGGCCUGUACCAAUAGUAAAGGGUAAAUGUAUGCUCCCUAAGGGUUGCACGAUAUCACCGGAGAAGCUUAUCAGAGGAGAAAAUCGAGCGAUCGAGCAAGUGUUCAGCUACACUGAGUGCCCUGAAAGCUUCGGCAAACAUGAUAUUGACCGAAGCCCCUGUGUCUACGAGGAUUCGUCGAACAUCAAAGUUGGCUAUGUGAGCCUCCACGAUCAAUGGGUCGUUAUGAGGGUAGAUGAUGCCUCUUUCUUCCUCAGGGUAGAAACAUAUCGGAUCCCAGUUAGGUUUUUGAUACUUCCCUCCCCUGAUGUCUUCCACGUGAAACACUUGGUGACCAGGCCUCAGACUUCGUUCACUGUUUUUCAUGGCCCUAUUGGAAGAUUCAGAUAUGGGUGUGCCGCCGCUUAUGGAAUAUAUGACAUUCACCUGGCGUUGGUUACGGUUAUCCCUUUGAGGGUGAAGAAGGAAUUGAUCAAUUUUUCCUUCUCGUGCCAAAGCUUCAAUACGAUCACGGAGGAUGAUACAUUUCUCGCUAUCAUGGCCGUUAUGCUCAUGGUAGCAACAAAACAUGCCCGCGUUAUUCGGGGGCGUGUAAUCUGGGUGCCUCGGCUUUGGCUUUGGUAUCAGGUGAGCUAUGCUGGGGUAAAUGGCCGCGCAUGUGGCAUUCAAGGGCGUGUAUGUCUCAUACCUUGGGGUAGGGGGUAUCUUGACGCGGGUUUGACCCACUGCAUUGACUGCCUGGGGGCGAGCGUUAUUGUGGCGAUACCCUUGGUUAUCGGGAUAGUGUCCCUUACUCUUUUUUACUGAAAGGAGAGUGGUGAGGAUGGAAAUCCUUCCUCUUGCCUUGAAAUUGAUAUGUCUGUUGAUUCGGUGAAGCAUUAUGCAAGGCAUGGGGAGGUGCCACUGCUGUUUGGAAAGUCGAGGUCUUCUCAUUUAGGUGAGUCUGGCUUCCACCUCCCACUUGUUGAUAAAGGAUGGUUGUAGGGGGUUUCUCCUGAUAUGUCUUUGCCUCGGCGGAGGCAUGGUUAUAAGCCUGCGCCAUCACCUCAGAGUAAGUCUUCCAAGUAUUGGCAUUGAUCAUGUAUUUAAAGAAACAAUCACGUAGGCCUGCCGUGAAGGCUUUGAGGGCAGUCUUGUCGUCUGCCUCGGCACACCGGGAGUAUUCAUGGCUGAAGCGGCCAGCAUACAUACGUAAUGACUCGUCUGGCUUCUGGCGGAUAGUGUACAGGUCAUCUGCAGAGUGCAAGCGAUCGGUUUGGAAAAUGUGUUGGGAAACAAAUAGUUUCCUCAAUUCCUCAAAUGAGUCUACCGUCUCAGGUGUAAGACGACAAUACCAAUUUAGAGCUCCACUAGAGAGGGUGGAGGGGAAGAGAAGACAUCGCUCUUCGUCGGUGUGCAUCCGGUAUGCCAUGGUGGACUCAAAGAGGUUAAGGUGCUCAAUCGGGUCCUCUUUUCCAGUAUAAAGUUGCAAGCCAAGCUUUUGCUUUGUCUUUGCUUGAAGGGGGGUGUUGAGGAUCCUCCUUGUAAGAGGGCCAGGCCUGGGUUGGUUCCAGUCAGGUAUUUCAGCCUGACGUUCAGCCUUCAACUUGUUUACUUCCUCAAGAAGUUGUAGGACAAGGGGGUCCUGAGCGGAGUUAUGUGUCACUGGAGCUUUCUUUCGUAAAUCUCCAUCUCCUAUUGGAAUUAGGAAGGUUUGAUCAAGGGCAUGUGAUUUUUCCCUGGACUCGCUGUACUGGCUUCCAAGGUAUGUCUGUCGGAACACCUCUGAGUCCCCUGUACCCUCAUGUCUCUCUAGGACUUGUUGCCCCUUCCCCAAAUUGGUGGCCGGCUUGGGCAGUGGCAGGGGACCGAGUCUCUCAGAAAUCCUUGGGUCAUUAAUCUUUGAGCUUAUAUGGAUGGAAUUCUCUCGACGUUGCUUCAGGAAAUCCCGACAAUCGCGAAAGACGGCUUUCGAUCCUUCUGCCCCUUCAGCAAAGAGGUGUCUCCUUCCACUUCUCAUGGUUCGGGUCGAAGCAACUGGGUUAAGAGAAGCCUCAUGUUGAUUAUCAAGUCGAGGGGUAAUCUGUUCCCUAUCAGGGAUAUCUAUGUCGAAUGCAUGUGACCCUCCAUGUUGGAGGGCACCCAGUUGAUGGUUGACUUCCACGGGGGCAACAAGCUCGCGUGUCUGAGCUUGCCUAGCUUCGUGGAGUGUCUCGAAGAGCUUCUCAUAUUGCUCCUGGAGGACCUCAUUCCUCAUUGCUAUCUUGUUGUUCUGAGCUUCCAACUCAUCGACUUUAGCUUGAAGAAGAACUCGUUUUCCUUCCUUCUUUCGUUGUUUUCGCACUAUGUGCAAGGGGGGUGUCAUUCUGUGUGCUGUGGCUUCAUUCGCUUCCCAUGCUGGAGAGGGAUGCCUGAUCAAAAGAAAGUGUACGAAUGAUAGAAACCAGCUUGACACAGCUGAAGAGAGUAGGAAUCAGUGUCGUUUCCCACAGACGGCGCCAAAUGUUGAUGCACAAAAUCAGCGAAGACUUUGGUACAACAGAAAGUGUCAGGUUUUAUGACCUUCGCUUGGUUGCUUCGGUCACUAGUGAGGAUAAGUACGUAAAUGAAUAGAGACAGAGAAGCAAACACAGGAUGUACGUGGUUCACCCAGAUUGGCUACGUCCACGGAGUAGAGGAGUUCUUAUUAGUAGUGAAGGGCUUACACAAGUACAAAGGAUCAAGCUCUCAAUUUAGUGAGUUCUUGUGAAUGAUUUAACACAAAUGGCAUUAGGCAAUAUUGUGGGGGAAUGACCCCUAUUUAUAGAAAAACUUGUAGCUUUGUCACAUUGACAUGUGUCAUGUUAUGAUUGGUUCUUGAUGUCGACAAGUGCUGCGCUCUGAUUGGCUUCUAAUCUUGACACGUGUCGAGUAGUGAUUGGCCUCCUGGUCGGAGGGGAACUCUUCUGGGUCCUUGACAGUAUAGCGUUGGCCGGUGCUCGGUAGUUUCGGGAUUGGUCAAGUAUGGUACAAACAGGUUGGAUCCUAAAAAUCCCGCGGACUCAGAAAGUAAUAACAAAAAUGGCUAAUCUAAUAACGGAUUCCGUAAAAAAAAAAACAAAAAACGUUAAAAAAGAACUAAAGGCAGUCUCUAUGCCAUCUUACGAAAUAAAAUUCAGUGCGAGAAUGCAAAGAUCUGCACAAAUGUGCAGCCUGUUAAUGUCAAUUGCCAGGUCCCUUUAAUCUCAUAGUCCUGGUACAAAUAAAGGGCUUCAAUGAAAUAAAAAGAAUUCAACAGAAGAUUAUACGGAACGUCCUUGACACAAGGUUACCGGCCUCCAUUGCCGCCGGGGCAAAGUAUAGAAAGAGAGAAAUGAGACCAAGUGAGAAACUGGAAGCAGACGCCUGUAGACUUGAAGCCAAUAGCUACAGAGGUAGGUUCAUUUAGCUGCAGACUUCUUUUUUCAUCCUAAAGUACAACAGACCUUCUACCUCCCAUAUGGAUGAUAUCGGCCACUACCUGCACCGCCAUAUCCCCCUCCUCUACUACCGUAAAAGGAAACUCCACUACCACCUCCAUAGCCACCUCCGUAGCCACCUCCAAAACCUGCAUCAUAGCCACUCCCAUAACCACCACCACCAGCUGCCCCACCAGCACCUCCAUAUCCCCCAUAACUCUCACCAGCUCCACCAUAACCACCUCCCAUAUCAUAACCCCUGCUAUAGGCUCCUCCAUAACGGCUUGAAUAUCCUAUGGAAGAUUCUCCCCUAUAAGCCCCUAUACCGCCGCCACCACCGCCACCAUAUACUCCAUAUCCGCCAAAUUCACUGCCACCAUAUCCUCCAUAAGCACUGCCUCUACCACCAUAGGCAGCAGCUGACCUAUAACCACCAGCACCACCAUAACUGCCACCUCCAAAUCCACCAUAGCUUUCUCCAUACCCACCACCAUAUGCAGGUCUAGAAUCAUUAUAACGUUUUGAUGGUGGUGCAGGUUGGUUUGGCUUCUUUGGUUCUGCCUUUUUUAUCUCCACCUACAAGAAAUAACAGAUGAAUCUAAACUAUCAAGCUUCUUGAAUGCUCAUAGAUGCAUUUAGUACAUUACAUGGCCAAACCGUCUGAGUACAUGUAAACUAAUUUCGUGUACAUAUGUGAAUUCUACCUCAGUUUUGUUUGGUCAAGCGUAUUGUAUCAUGGUCUCCUUAUUCGUCACUUCGAAAGUGAAUAAAGCAAUAUGAACUUUAAGUAAUCUACAGGGACUACUAAACCAAGCAACAAUUUAGUGCAACCCAUUACAAAACCAUUCUUCCACAUUGAUCAGCGAAAGCAGAAAAUUAAAAAGAGGAUGCAUACAGCCACAUCAAUGCAUAGAGACCCACUACACGAUGCAUACAGCCAACCCACCUAUAUAAUCAAAACUUGGCGGCACUUCAAAUUUGAAAUUUUCUUCCUCUCUCACGACAUAGGUUAGCUAUUAAGGAAUAACAUUUCAAGAGCGACAAAUUCCACCAAAAACAUCCCCCACGUUCCAUUUCUACUGUGAAUUGGUAAUAUUAUCGAUGCAUAUGUUAUAUGAUCCUCAAACUCGCUGUAGCAUGACUAUUUAUUUAUUUAUUUAUUUAAUAUCCUUUACCUCAACUUCAUCUGUUUUUCUGUUGAGUAAAGAUAAAGGUCGUACCCAGUGCACAAGGCUCCCGCUUUACGCAGGGUCUGGGAGAGGUGAAUGUCGGCUAGCCUUACCCCCAUUUAUGGAGAGGCUGCUCCAAAGUCUCGAACCCGAGACCUACCGCUCAUGGGCGAAGGCACUUGCCAUCGCACCAAGUGCGACCUCUUUCUGUUGAGUAAAGAUGAUAAAUUUAAAAUUCAUCCCACAACCUAAGAAAUGGAAAAAAGAGAGGAGGUGAAUGUACAAAAUCCUUGCUAUGCCCUCUAUAUUUAAUAGAAAAAUAAAUUGAGUUAACGGAUAUAAUUGAAGUACCACAUGAGAUUGUGUUUGAGAACCACAAUAAGGAAAAAAAGAAAAACUAUCCUAGAAUGAAGGUAAAAUUCGUGUUCGUGACAACAAUGUCGUAUAUCUGAAAAAUAAUUCAAGUAGAUUAAGAUGUUAGUACACAAUCGUUUAUCUUGUUUAUUGAACAAACAACAAGGACAACAAUGUCGUUUUCUCUCUUUCGAAAUUCAUAAGCAACAAAAUUGAGAUUUUUAUUAAACAAUCACAUGAGCUUAGAAAAUACCACAUCAACAUUUUGCAAGCAGUCUCAUAAGAAAUCCCAAUCAAGAUAAAACCAUUCAACAGUUUAUUAGAUUUCUCCUUUCAUAUAAGAGCAUGGUUCGGAGGAUUAUUUAAUUGACGUUAUAACAUCUUUAUUCAAAGAAAAAAUGAAAAAGAAAAUAGGGCAUCCCUAAGGUAUAGGCCACAGCCACUGUUGCCACUGUUGCCACUGCUCCAACCACGGCAGCAGCUUAACAGCUCCCCUAUCAAGCUUAACAGCUUCCCUAAGGCAUCCUUCCUGGCAUCGUUCUCACUAUUCUCAAUCUGAUUGCCCUUUUCUUGUGGCUUAUCCUCGAUUUCAUCAACUUCAUCAGAAGAUGCUCCGAUUUGGCCCCUGUAAGGAAUGAAAUUGAAUUCCGUGUUCAGCUAUUUAAAUAUUCAACUCUUAAGUUUUGUCAAUAGCAAUUGAGUAAGAAUAGGUAUGAUCAAGCUUAAUAAACAAAUCACAACCACAUUACAAAUCAAAAACAUAUACAGGGUAAUGCAGUUAUAUCCAAUUCUUUUGUGCUUUCUCCACAAAAGUUCUUCCAUGUUAAUGUAACUCUAUAUCAAUUAAUCUAUCAUACAAGACUAUACAUAAUCAGCAAUUGAAAACUAUGACAACACAAGCUUCCGUCCAGUGAAAAUUUUAUCCAAAGAUAGGCAAAACCAAAAACGUACAAACCUCCACAGACGUUCUAUAAUCUUUCCCUUCCCAAUAUGCUCAUCAAGCAAUUCCGGCACAUCAUCAGGAGUGACGUCGCCAUACCUGCAAUUAAUAAUACAUAGUAUUCAAAUUCCAUCGAUCCCAAUACAACAAAAUUUUAAAUUGUUAUGAUCUGAAUAUUACCAAUGGCCCGUUAUGCUUCCAUUUGAACCUGGGCUAUAGAUAAUCAAAUUUCCAUCGUGGCCUCCAGUGUGAAAGCAAGCAUCAGUAAAUACCUGAUUCGUCAAUCCUCGUAGCUCAGCCUCCUCUUUAAACUUAUAAAUGAGAACACGUGCACUAUCACCAAUCCAUUCCUCUCGACUACCUUGUGCACAUACAAAUACAUGGGAGCCAGUCAACGACUCUUGCACUCCGGAAGCCCAUGGCUUGUCAUUCACAAGGACAUCAUCAACAAAGCUGUCCACAUUCGACUCUUUCAAGCCCCUUUGAUCAACAAACAAAAAUAUCAGAAUCACAAAAAAGGAUUUACAUGCAAGAAAAUUAGUCGUAAACUGAGCCAUUAAAUUCAAUUUCUAUAACUAAUUUCAGAAACUAACACAUAUCUAAUUAUCUAUUUGGUUCAGUAAAUUCAGCAUAAUCCCGUAACCAAAUGAGAAGUCGAAACAAAAAUUACUUUAGUCUGAGGUAGGAAAAUAAAUUGCGCUCAUGUUGGUUAUGGAAUGGGCCCUCGAUUAUGAAUUAACUACGGUUUGCCAUUGUGUGUGUUUGUGUGGGCGGUGCUUAACAGCUGGGUUGGGCUGCUGCAUUUGGGCCCAUGGUGCAGCUCUCACGCGUUUUGGGCUGGGUUUCACCGAAAGAUCAAAUGACUCUUUUGCCCUUUUCAGUCCUAAUCCAACGGCCACCAUUUGGGGCGUUUGUGUUCUGCAAUUCGGUUGCUUUCGAUCUCGUCAAGGAGAUCGAGCAGAGAGGCGGAGGGUGACAUCAAGUUUUGGGUUUGCACAUUGAGAGACAAGAGGGUUUAUGGGAAGGGUAGGAGCUAGAGAAAGGGGGGGUUCUGUUCGCUGACGUUGGUUGCGGAGAGAGAGAGAGAUGGGCAAAAGUAUGGGGGUAGGGUUGAGGGGAACGGGUACAGAGAGAAAGAGUGAGGAAGGGACAUAUGAGCUAGAGGUAUGGGUUGAUUUGUCAGGGUCGACCUGUAAACGGUCGGGUUAUUGGAUUUGGGUCGGGUUCAAUUUGACCCGUUAAGUUAACGGAUCAUCCGUUUCAUCGGUUAACACCCGUUAACAAUUAUUAUUAUUAUUUUUUUCAUAAAGUUUAUUUUUUAUUGUUAAGACUUUACUGAAAUUACUUAAACAUUCUCAACUAACGGGUGCUAAUGAGUCUAACGGGUUGACCCAAAGUGACCCGUUAUUUAACGGGUUGUUAACCAAUUCACCAGUUAACCCCGACCCAUUAAUUUUCCACCAAAAUACUAAUAUUAACUGAUCGGGUUAACAUGCCAGGUGCAAAAUGCCAGGUCUAGUCAGGGGCUGCUGCAUCCUUCCUAUUCACAAGGUAACAAAUAAUUUUCCAUUCAUUCUUUACUGUUGGUUGUGAAUUUACUGUUCGGGAAAGGAGGCUACAAAUGAUUUAUGCAUACCUUUGUAGCCUUUAGGUGUGUGUUUGCUAGCUAGCUGGGUCGUGGGUGAGUCUUGAUUGUUUUGGUUCUGUCAUCUUCGACUCUUAUGUCUUCCCUUUUUCUGAAUUUUCUUUAUUUCUCAUCCUUUAAACUUUGUAUUUUUUUUUUAUGUGUGAUGCAGAUAGAUGAACAUGUUCAAAGGGGAAUCAUGAACCACAGAUCACUGCAUCCGAAUAUCGUUUUGUUCCAAGAGGUCAGUGAUCAUAAACUAUUUUCAUUUUGUAUUUUAAGAAUGAAUUUGGCAAGUUCUGUUUGAAUUUUGUAUAAGUAUCUGCUGAGGGUGGGUGGAUGAAGACAGAACAUGCUAAAUUUGGCCUUUGGUGUGCUUAAACUGGUACGGGGGAUGGUUAGAACUUUGAGACCGGGAUGCAGUAGGACUAAGAGAAAUGCCCUACCCACCGGGGCAAUUGUUGUCAAAAUAACUCUGCUAAAAAUAUGAGCUUUCCGGCACUUUGUUUUUAGAGUGGCUUAUUUGGGAUAAUUGAUAAAGAGAUUUGUGUUUAAGACUUGAGAGUAGUGCGGUGUCUUUCUUGCUGGUUCUGCUCACACCACCUCAUCUAGAGAGUAGUGAGGUUUGUGAUGGAGUACACGGCUGGGUGAGAACUCUUCGAGAGAAUAUGCAGUGCUGGCAGAUUUAGUGAGGAUGAGAUAAAGUGGUUUCAAAUGCAGAGAACAUUUCAUUGGAAAUGAUUUUAGUGUAGAGUCUCAAAUAUGGGAUCUGUGAAUGUCCCCUGAAAUGGAAUCCAUCUCGAUUUUCGUUUAGUUUCAGAUAAGGAAAGUUAGGUCUGAAGCAUUUUGGAAUAUGAAUGGAAAUUAUGGAAUCCAUGUAGUCCAACGAGUUCUUGAAGUUUGGAAUAUCUUUGAGUUUGUGGCAGUCGUCCAGUCUCAAGAGUGUCAUUUUCGACAUCUCUGAAAAGUCGGGCAUUAUUUCCAGUGCAGUGCAGUGCAGUGCUUUGCUAUCAGUUCAAGCAAACUGUUUGGCAAAUCUAGGAUUGCCUGAAGGUUUGUGCAAUGAUUUAGCUUUAAAACCUGAAGCUGAGAAAGGCCACUGAGAAUGGGCAGCCUACUAAAACCAUUCCCACCUAGAUCUAAAAAUGUUAAAGAAGAUAGACUCCCAAUUAUUUCGAGAACGGCACCAUCUGUUAUAUUGCAGUCGUUGAGAUUUAAUCUCUUAAUCAUCUUCAGUUGUGCUAAAAAAUGGUAACUCCCACACAAACCCUUAGAGCCACUGAGGUCCAAUUCCUCGAGAUGUGGGAGUUUUGAAAAGUCUGGUAAUUCAGUCAGGUUAUGGCAGUCUCUAAGAAUGAGAUACUUCAACUUCUUAGGCAACUGUUACUCAAAAAGAGAAAACAAUAAUAAAAAUCCAAAUAAAUAAAAGAGAGAAUGCAUGACGAUGACUGAUGUUGAUAUUUACAAGGCAUUGAUAAUUAUAUCGUACCAAGUCAGAAUCCUCCCAAACUCGUAUGAUCUUGCUGUUCCACAGUUCCAUAUAAACUAGGUUUCGUUGAUCAAAAUCUGCUGGUAUGGCUUCAAGAGGAAAUCCGUUCGAACACAAAAAUCUUAACUCCUUGGAAAGAUGUUUGUAGCUUCCCGUCAGCUUUACAUUUUCCAGCAUGAGAAAUUUCAGACGCCACAUCUUCUUAAACACUUCCGUACUGAAGCUUCGCUCGUCAUCAGGAUGUUCUAGCAAAGCUAAUUGUAGUCCUUCAACUGCUUCUGUUCCCUGUUAGAGAUAUAAAAAAAAAAAAAACAAGAAAAGGAUAAUAUUUACACGAAGCAGAGCUGUGAAUUGGAUGAAUGAACUACUAGAAGGGUAGGAUACACAACAUAAUUAUGUAUUUUCUCUUUCAAUUUACAGUGGAUGAAAGCCUUUUCUUUCUUCUUUUUCUUCAAAUAUACUAUGUAUGGCAUACAUUAUAUAUAUGCGGAUAUACGUAUAUACUUCUCUUUCUUCACAUGUACUUAACAUAACAUCUUUUUAUUGCAAAAGUACUUACAGAUUCGUUUCUUAACACGUUUUUUGCAUCUUCACUAUGCCACAAUUGACUACGUUUUCCCAAUUCCGUAGGAGAUUUUGCCCGCACAAUUUCUCUUCCCAUAUCUCGAACCAAAUCAUGCAUCCUCAAAAUUUUGUCUUCAUCAAUAUAUAAGAGACCUCGAUUGCAGAGUGUGGUAAUUUCUGCUUCUACAGAAAAAUGACUACAACUAUCCAAUACUGGCAUGACUAUAUUUAUAUACCAUCCAAUAAAGACACAAGAUAUGUCAAGGAACACACCCUUCACAUGAUCAUCAAUUAGCCCAUCGUAUCUUAAUUUAAGCGUUUCAUUAAUUUCUCCUCCAUUUGGAAGCUUCUGGUCAUUAAUUUGUUCAGCUUCAUCAGAAGAUGCUCCCAUUUGGCCCCUACAAGGAAUGAAAUUGAAUUUCGUGUUCACCUAUUUAAAGAUUCAACUCUAAGUUUCGUCAAUAGCAAUUGAGUAAGAACAUGUAUGAUCAAGCUUAUAAACAAAUCACAACAUUACAAAUCAGAAACAUGUAUGGGGUAAUGUAGUUAUAUCCAAUUAUUUUGUGCUUUCUCCACAAAAGCUCCUCCAUGUUAAUGUAACUCUAUAUCAAUUAAUCUAUCAUACAAGACCAGACAUAAUCAGCAAUUAAAAAAUAUGACAACACAAGCUUUCGUCCAGUGAAAUUUUCAUCCAAAGACAGUAGGCAAAACCAAAAACAAACAAACCUCCAAUGUCGUUUUAUAAUAUCUCCCUUCCCAAUAUGCUAAUCAAACAAUUUCGGCACGUCAUCAAGAUUGACCAAGGGAUAACUGCAAUUAAUAAUACAUAAUAUUCAAUCUCCUUCAUCGAUCCCAAUACGAUAAAUUUUAAAUUGUUAUCAUCCGGAUAUUACCAUUGGAAUGAAUCUUUGCGGUAGAUAGUGGGAUUUCGAGCACAAAUGUGGCCUCCAAUGUGAAGGCAAGCAGUAACAAAUACCUCAUUCGUCAAUCCUCGCAACUCAGCCUCCUCUUUAAACUUAUCAAUGAGAACACGUGCAGGAUCACGAUUCCAUUCAUUUCGUGUCAUAUGUGCGAAUAUAAAUAGAUGGCGGCCAAUCAACGGCUCUUGCACUCCGGAAGCCCAUGGUUUGUGAUUCACAAGGACAUCAUCAACAAAGCUGUCCACAUCCGACUCUUUCAAGCCCCUUUGAUCAACAAACAAAAACAACCUCAGAAUCACAAUAAGGGAUUUAAAGGCAAUGAAUUAGUCGUAAACUGAGCCAUUCAAUUCAAUUUCUAGAACUAAUUUCAGAAGCUAAAACAUAUCUAAUUAUCUAUUUAGUUCAGUACAUUCAGCACAAUCUCGUAAUAAAAAAGAAUUUAAAACAGAAAUUACUUCAGUCUAAACUAGGAAAGUAAUUGCACUGCUCAUGUUGGUUAUGGAAUGGGGCCCUCGACAAUGGCGGAGCCACACAGAGGCCAGUGAUGGCCCAGGCCUACCCUGAUAAUUCAUUUAUGUAUGUACUCUCUGCAAGAUUUUACAAAAAUGAGCAUGCGGCUCAUUGGCUACUGGGAUUUUGCAAUUCCAAAAAGCCGCCUUCCAAGCGGUCUAGCAAUUUUUUUAGAUUUUUUUUUAAACUGAAAGGAAAAAAGGGUUCUUAUAAUUUGCCUUAUUUUUUACCAUAUUAAAACUAAGUCUUAUUUUUUAAUAUAUAAAAAAACAUACUCUCUUUUUUGGCUAGUUGAUAUAAAAAAAAGGUCUAUACACUAUAGAGCAAAAUCUAAUUUUAAGUCGUGAUUUUAAAUUUUUGUACAACUCUAAUGUGUUAAUUUUUUUUAUCAAGGCUUGUAAACAAGUUUUGUUUUUAUGAUAUAUUCAUUUCAAUACUAGGUUUUUCAUACAAAAUUUAAAGCUCCACCAUUCUUGUUUUAUUAAAAAUUUUCAUGCCAAUACAAAAAACAAAACCUUUAAUUUUUCUCCCAUUAAUUAUAUUUCAAAGGCUAAUCUUUCUAUGGCUUAAAGGCCCCUCCUAAUCUGGUUUUCUGGCUCCGCUACUGGCCCUCGAUUAUGAAUUAAUUACGGUUUGCCAUUGUGUGUUGGUGUGGGCCGUGCUUAAUAGUUGGGUUGGGGUGCUGUAGGCCCAGGGUGUAGCUCUCACGCGUUUUGGGCUGGGUUUCACCGAAAGAUCAAAUGACUCUUUUGCCCCCUUCAGUCCUAAUCCAACGGCCACCAUUUGGGGCGUUUGUGUUCUGCAAUUCGGUUGGGCGGGGGAGGGGGGAGAGAGGGGGGGUUAGGUUGCUUUCGAUCUAGUAAAGGAGAUCGUGCAGAGAGGCAGAGGGUGACAUCGAGUUUAGGGUUUGCACAGUGAGAGACAAGAGGGUUGAUGGGAAAGGUUGGGGGUGGACAGAGGGUUGAUGGGAAGGGUUGGGGGUGGACAGAGGGUUGAUGGGAAGGGUAGGAGCUAGAGAGGGGGGGGGGGUGGGGGUGAGGGUGGGUCCUCUCUCCACUGCUUGACGUCAUUUGGAUCUUCAUCCCUUUCAUGCUUCCCCAAAACUACCUUUCUGUUUCCUGACUUGAGAAGGGUCAACGUCGUAGAAUAUUGGACACACUAUUUUCCCCUCUUGUUCUUUUAGGCACCUCAUGAUUUUCGACAGCUCCCUCAGGCACCACCGGGACUCCGCGUACCCCUUCGAGAAGACGAGGAGGGCGAUUCUCGAUCCUUCGAUUUCUUGGUCAAGUUCACUCUGUAUGGUUUUCCCCCUUGUGAGCUGGUUAUCUAUAAAAGUGUUAAUUCCGGCAUUGCGUAAUGCAAUGAAGAGGUGGUUUGUAAAGGCGUUGCGGGUGUCUUCGCCUCUAAAGCUCAGGAACACCUCGUACUUCCAGCGGUUUGAGCCAGCUUCACUGGCGGAGCUGCUGGUAUCCAUUGCAGCCUGUAGAAGUGCAGCUUGGCGUUCAAAUAACCAACGUCAAGUCUUUCCCAAGAUUCCCAAGUGUUGGUGGCCCUUUUAAAUAUUUUGCAUGGGCCAAUGAUGUCGAUAACACGUGAGUGCUAUUCCCCCAAAGUUUAAUUUGUAUAAAUGUUACCAUCAAAUUUAAAUAUUUUACCAUGCAAUUUCCUCUUUUGUAGUUUUUUGAGAAAUCUGCCGCCCCCCCCCCCCCCACUUUGACCAGUUGACGAGAUUAUUGUAUUUUAAGGGUGGUGCGCAGGUCGGUCCAACUGUUGGAGUCACGCUAAAAUACGCAUUGGAAUUUGGAAGUUAGAAAGUAAAAAAAAUUAUAAUAUUCAGACGUGAAAUUUUAAAAGUGUUCACGAGAGAGAACAAAAAUGAAAAACAUUUACUCGAUUGGGUUAAGGCAUGGUCCAAUAGAACUUAUAGGCUUAAACACCGCAAGUAACCAAAUUGGACAUGGGUCUUAUGACCCAUCAGAGCACAUUAAAUUGUGAAAAUUGCACCUGCGCGUUAUUCACACGUUAGUGUAGUAACUUCAGAAAGAAUAAUACUUGAGUACUUAUUGAAAUUACCGACCCAAUGAAAUAAUUAAUAAAAAAGAACCAAUCCCAGUGACUACCCAAAUUACACGGCGUUAAAUCGUUAACCUUUUGGUUUCUAAAUUUACACGUGCCGCUCACUGAAAUGAUCAGAGUUUUGACUUUCAUUUCUUGAAAGCCAGCUGCACCAAUUGGUAAUCGAUGGAUACCAGCAGCUCCGCCCAUGGAACCGCCAUCGCAGCCUCUUCGUAUUCCCCGUGCCGCUCAAACCGCUGGAAGUCCAAGGUGUUCCUGAGCUUUAGAGGCAACGACACACGCACUAACUACACAGACAAUCUCUCCAUGCGUUACGCUAUGCCGGAAGCAACACGUUUAUAGACUACCAGCUCAGAAGGGGGGAUAAUAUACAGAGGGAACUUGACCGAAAAAUCGAAGGGUCCAGAAUCGCCAUCGUCGUCUUCUCCAAGGGGUACGCGGAGUCCCAGUGGUGCUUGAGGGAGCUGGCCAAGAUCAUGAGGUGCCGAGAAGAUCAAGAGGGCAAAAUAGUCUAUCCAAUGUUCUAUGUCGUUGUGAGGAAACAGAGUGGUGGUUUUGAGGAAGUUCGGAAGCAUGCAAGUGAUGAAAAUCCAAACGAACAAUCAGUGGAGAAAGGAUCUUAAGGCUUCUUUCCGGCGGACGGGUAUAAUUCCUUCUUUAACUCCUUCUUUACAAUUUUUUGAUGCUCAAAUUUACUCACUUAUAAUUCAAGGUUAGAAAUCCGGUCGUAUAUAGCUUAGUUAAUCACAUGGAUCAAUCUAAUUUACUCAAAUCUUCUUUGCUCAGAAAAUAUGAAUCUUGCAGUUGCAUGAUGAAUUUCACUUUUGUAUAAUUUUGAAAUUUAAUUGCCAGGCGUGAAGGGUUGUUUAUUGAGGAAAUUGCUAGGGACAUCAGAGGACUACUGAUAACAACAGACUUAAAACAAGCCAAGUGCCCAGUUGGAAUGGAUUUUCUUGUGCAAUAGUUGAGUACUGAAUGCUUAGAUGUUGGAGAUUUGCUUGAUGUUCAAAUAAAUGGAAUUUGGGGUUUGUGCAGUAUAGGUGAAACAAUACUUGCGAGAGCUAUCUGUAGCAAAUAUCAUCGUUGCUUUGGUGGUCAAUGUUUCCUUCAAAAGGUGAGGAGUAAAAAAGAAAAGUAUGGUUGCUCUGCAAGAACAACUUCUUCGAGGUGUUUUGAAACGGCUGGACAUUAAUGUGAGCGGUGUUGCCGAAGGAACCAAAGAGAGAGAGAAAAGAUUUGGAAGCAUGAAGGUGCUUGUCGUCGUUGAUGGCAUAGAUGAUGCUGACCAGUUAGAUGAAUUGGCGAUAAAACAGGAAUCGACUAUGUUUGUUAAGAUUCCAGCCACCCAAAUCUGCAGAAGCCUUAAGAUCCUUUCUCCACUGCUCGACCUCAUUUGGAUCUUCAUCCCUUUCAUGCUUCCAAAAUGCAUUUCCAAAAAUACCACUAUUUCCUCACUUGAGAAGGGUCGACGUCGUACAAUAUUGGAUAGACUACUUUCCCCUCUUGAUCUUCUUGGCACCUCAUGAUCUUGGCUAGCCUCUUUGAGAAGACAGACAACAGUAUUCCUCGACCCUUUGAUUUCUUGGUCAAGUUCACUCUGUGUGUUUUCCCCUCUUCUGAGCUGGUAGUCAAUGAGCUUGUGGAUUCCAGCAUUGUAUAAUGCAAUGGAGAGGUGGUCUGCGAAGGUAGUGUGUGUGUCGUCGCCUCUAAAGCUCAGGAACACCUCGUACUUCCAGUGGUUUGAGUGGCACAGGGAAGACGAAGAGGCUGCGACAUCGGUUACAUGGGCGGAGCUGAUGGUAUCCAUCGAUAAUUUGUACUAGUGUUGGGAGAAUAGAGGAGUGCAGCAGGCUAUGCGGCUUGGCUUUCAGAUAGCCAAAGUCAAGUCAAACUUCAUCUUCUAAGUAUUAUAGAGAAACAAAAUGCGUGGAUUUAUAUGAAUAUGCACGCGUAUGGCAUUGCAUAUAUUUAUUACAACAUAUGGUAACACUUAAUUUUUUAUGUGUGAAGUAAAAUAUAUGAAUUUCUUACAUUGCCUUGUUUGUUUGUUUAUACAUAUUGUGAAAUUUUUAUGGACUUAGUACUAUCAGUAUUUGUCAUUAUCUGCUAGACAACACAUGAUUAUGCGUGUCAAUCAACGCUUAGGUUAGACUGCAUAAUAUGAAUUUGACCAUAUCAUGAACUCAUAAAGGAGUGAGAAUGAGGAUCAACUAGCCCGCUUAGUUUAUUUGAUUCAUUAUAUUCAUGGAUUGGAUCACGAUCGAAUGUUAAGAUGAUACCCAUGCUUUUUCUGAUUCUACACAAGUUAGUAAUUCAAACGACUUCAAAAAGGAGUAUUUUAGUAAAUACGGGAAAAUCAAGAAUCAACAUGACGUAUACGUGGCUCCCCAUAUCGAAGAAAAAAGGGACAUUGCACGUACUUAUAAGUUAUUAAACUCACAAGCAACUGAACAAUCAGAGCCAGAUGUCAAUAACGAGUAAUGGGAUUGUAAUGCUUUCAAUAUUCAAAUCAAUUAACAAGCUCAUAAGAGGAGUUUAGGUUUAGGGUCCCUCAUCAGAUGAGUGAUGGCUGGUUUAGCUCUGUCUGCAACGUCAAUAGUGUCAUCAUCAGUGCAUGUCUUCAUCAGGCAGUAUUCAUGGUAUAGUUUGAUAUCGUCACCAGACUAAUAUGGCUGGUUUAGCUCUGUCUGCGACGUCAUUAGUUUCGAUUUCGCGGUCAAGUUCUGUCUUUAUAUUCACACCACCCCCCCCCCCAACUCCCUUUCUGAGCUGGUAGUCUAUAAACAUGUUGAUUCCGGCAUUGCGAAAUGCAAUAUCGAGGUGGUCUAGUGCGUGCGUCGUCACCUCUAAAGCUUAGGAACACUUCGUACUUCCAGCAGUUUGGGCACCACAAGGAAGACGAAGAGGCCGCUGCGGCAGCUAGGCGGAGUUGCUGGUAUCCAUGCAUGCAGCCUGAAGAAGUGCAGAUUGGCCUUCAAAUAAUCAAAGUCUUUUACCAAGAUUUCCCAGUGCGGGCGGCAUUUUAAAAUUUUUAACCCCAAUAAUUUACGAAUUUAAAUCGUUUAGUUACAGGCAGGGGCGGAUCCACAGUGGGGUCGUCGGGGUCGCACGACCCCUUGGAAAGCAUGGAAACAACCUUGAAGCUCCCAUACGCGACCUCUUGGAGCUGGGGUCGUCGGGGUCGGAGUCACACGCCAAGUGUUCGACAAAAAUCCUGAACGAAGCUCGGCACUGCAGGAAGAGGAAGAAGAAGAAGCAAGCUAUUACUAUGCCAUACGGAUAUGCUUGAGUUUGCAUCCAUUGAUGAAUUCUGCAAUACCACAUUUGAUCCGUCUUUUGUUUCCCUAAGCCGGAUGUUGGAUGCUAUGGCGCUUCUCAUUCCUCACCUUAAAUGCAAUUGUGUGCAGGUGAUGAAGAGACCUGGUUGUAAUUAUAAGACCGCUCGAGUUUGAGGAGGUGAAUCCUCAAGGAAAAGUAGAGGAUCACAAACAGAGUGGAAAGAAACAGAAACAGAAAAAGAGGAAUAAGAGUAACAAGAGUAAAAGCGGUAGUGACAGAAUUGUGACAAAGGUGAAGACUAAGCUCAAGAGUUGAUUAAUACAAAACUGUUUUCGGGUUUUUUUUUUCUUUCCAGUUCCAUUCUUUCCAUGGCGUAAGCGUCAUCAAUUUUCUACGUUUUGGAAGAUGAAAGAGUUAGAAGAGAAGACAGAUCGAGCGGGGAUGCUUAAUCUAUGCGUGCUGGUAGAAAUUCAAUUGCCAUAAUUUUUGUAUCUUUUAAUUCUUUUCUCUUCUCCUGUGUUGCAUGCAGUAGUUUGGUAGAAACUGUAUAUCAGCUAUGUAUUAAAGCCAUUUAACUUAUCCGACACUGCACCAAACGCCCGACUAAUGGAGUUAGUACUAUCCGACGACUAUUUAUCUUAUCCGACUGAAAUAGUCAGUACAGUCCGAAGUACCAAACGAGGUUAAAAAAAAAUUUCGCGCUGCGCGCGCUAUGACCCCACAAACAUUAUUUCCUGGAUCCGCCACUGGUUACAGGUAUGAAGUUCUGUAAUUAAUCUUUUAAAAUUCGUAGACCUUUCGAGGUCAUAAUAAUAAUGAUUUCAAAUAGAGCUCGGUCUCACAAACGGAUAGGCGAAAACCGUUCGUGAAACGGAAUUAUAAUGAGAGAGAUGUAAACGAUUAAAGUCAAGAACAUUUAAGCAAUUUUGAUCUUCAAAUCCCGAAGCCUCCAGCUUUGCUGGAGCAGGAAGGGUGGUGAUGAAGCCACGUGUGUGGCUGUGAUGGAAAGAAGAGAAGAGAAAGGCGAGAAAGGUGAAGGGGGACUGCCCAAUCAGAAAGAAGAGCAGGAGAGACAUGAGAGAAGUGUGAGGCACUCAACCCGGACCCCCGUUCCUUGACCCGUUCACACCGCGACCCGAACCGCAUCCCGGCUUUUAAAUACAGCGCUUUCUUUUCAAAAAAAAAAAAACCUCAUUGCACGAUAUACUUGACAACGCAUGAUAUACAGUAACUGGUAAUUCAAAUAAACUCCAACUUCCUUAGUAGUAACCAAAUUCGAUCUGGGUCUUACGAUGACCAAUCUCAAACAUCAAUUGUAAUGCUUUCAAUAUUCAAAUCAAUUAACAAACUCAUAAGAUGAGUUUAGGUUUAGGGUACCUCAUCGUUAGAUGAGUGAUGGCUGGCUUAACUCUGUCUGCAACGUCAACAAUCUCUUUCAUCAGUUUAUGUCUGAUAGUCCUCGUCAUCAGUAUCGUCGCCAUACUCAUACGGUACACGCUCAUAGUCCACGCCCUUAAACUCUAUAUAUGAAAGAUCAUAUUCUAGAAUUCCAUCAGACAAAUGACAUUCUGUGAUACCCACUCCAGUUUUCUUCACCUUAAUUUGAUGAUCAUCCUCUGCUCCUUUAAUUAAAGUCUGCUGUUACAAAAACCACGUUGCCGCCUUCGGAUUCAGCUUCUUGUUUGAAAGAUGUCCCAGCCAAAGAUGACAUUCAUGGGAGGCAGUUACGGUGGCCACAAUUGGCGAAAUGACAAAAUGAGUUCGCUGGGAAUGAUUAACAACAUGAAUGCAUAGAGACCCAGUACAGCCGGAGUGGUCCCCGGAAUAAACUAUGCACACAGCCAACCCUCUUAUAUUAACAGCAGUCCUUUGCCGCACUUCAAAUUUGAUAGUUUCAUCCUCAUUCACGACAUAGGUGAACCAGUAAGGAAUAUCCAUUCCAGAGAGAAAAAGCCCGCCUAAUGCUCUCGUAAUCCAGCCCUUGGACGAGUACAACACCAUUGAGGCUGGUGGAGGAGAUGCUUGCAGAGAUCAGCAGUGGACGAUGAUCUCGACCAAACUCUUGAGCUUUGGCAACAGCCUGAAAAGUUCUCAUUAUUCUCAAUCCAAUUGCCGUUUCCUUGGGGCAUCUCCUCGAUUUUCUUACUUUCUCCUCCAUUUGGAAGCUUCGGGUCAUUAAUUUUUUCAGCUUCAUCACAAGAUGCUCCGAUUUGGACCCUGUAAGGAAUGAAAUUGAAUUUCCUGUUCAGCUAUUUAAAGUUUCGUCAAUAGCAAUUGAGUAAGAACAAGUAUGUUCAAGCUUAAUAAACAAAUCACAACAACAUUACAAAUCAGAAACAUAUACAGGGUAAUGCAGUUAUAUCCAAGUCUUUUGUGCUUUCUCCACAAAAGUUCCUCCAUGUUAAUGUAACUCUAUAUCAAUAAAUCUAUCAUACAAGACUAUAAAUAAUCAGCAAUUGAAAAAUAUGACAACACAAGCUUCCAUCCGGUGAAUAUUUCAUCCAAAACAGUAAGCCAAACCAAAAAUGUACAAACCUCCAAAGUCGUUCUAUAAUCUCUCCCUUCCCAAUAUGCUGAUCAAAUUCUGGCACAUCAUCAGGAGUGACGUAGCCAUACCUUCAAUUAAUAAUACAUAAUAUUCAAACUCCUUCAUCAAUCGCAAUACGAAAAAAUUUUAAAUUGUUAUGAUCCGGAUAUUACCAAUAGCUUGUUGUACUUCCAUCUGAACCUGGGAUGUAGAUAAUCAAGUUUCCCAUUGUGGCCUCCAGUGUGAUAGCAAGCAGUAACAAAUACCUGAUUCGUCCAUCCUCGCAGCUCAGCCUCCUCUUCGAACUUAUCAAUGAGAACACGCGCACUAUCACGAUUCCAUUCUUCUCGACUACAAUGUGCACAUACAAAUACAUGGGAGCCAGUCAACGGAUCUUGCACUCGGGAAGCCCAUGGUUUGUGAUUCACAAGGACAUCAUCAACAAAGUUGUCCACAUCCGACUCUUUCAAGCCCCUUUGAUCAACAAACAAAAACAACCUCAGAAUCACACAAAAAGGGAUUUACAAGCAAGGAAUUAGUCAUAAACUGAGCCAUUAAAUUCAAUUUCUAGAACUAAUUUCAGAAGCUAACACGUAUCUAAUUAUCUAUUUAGUUCAGUAAAUUCAUGUUGGUUAUGGAAUGGGCGCUCGAUUAUGAAUUAAUUACGGUUUGCCAGUGGUGUGUGUGUUAGUGUGGGCCGUGCUUAACAGCAGGGUUGGGCUGCUGCAUUUGGGCCUCCGCUGACGUUGGUUGCAGAGAGAGAGAGAUGGGGAAAAGUAUGGGGGUGGGUUAUGUCCACUGCUGUGUAUUGCCUAAUUAGUUAUUUACAUUUGCUUAUUUAUCUCUGUAAAGCUUUCAUGCUUGGAUUUUAAAUGUAUGGUUCAAUUAGAAACCUUUAUAAUGUUGAUGUUAUAGAACAUUCCAACAGAUAUACAAGACUAUUGUGAAACAAUUCGUAUAAACCUCAAAUUACAAUGCUUAAAAACUAAAAAGUACCGAGUUAUGAAUAAGACUAUUGUGGUAUUUUGUUACCUUAAAAGCAGCUGCAUACGCUGCUUGUAAAAUUCGACAUGCCUUCGAAAGGUAGCUUGUUAUGGAUGAGUUCCCACAAUACAAUUACAAAACUGUAAGCAUCCACCUUAUGAUUGUAAUGCUUCUUUUCUCCGUGUCGUAAUGUAACUCUGCUGUAAAGCUGCCACCAAAUACAAAGGUGGAAAAUUAAUUUGCUGAUAUCAAACACACUCACAAGAACAUAUGAGAAAACAAAUUUUCAACCUUUGAAUGACCAAUUUAAAGUACCGUAUCUCAGGAGACAUCCACCGGUAUGUCCCAGUUUCAGCGGUCAUCAUCUCUGUCAAUGACUCUUCUCUUGCUAAGCCAAAGUCCGCAAGUUUGACUGUUUUUUGGUCGGCAGUCAAGAUCAAAUUCUCUGGGAAAAGGACAGGACAAAAGUUGUAGAUUGUUGGCGCCAGUUCGGCGUACUUAUACUCUCACGAAUAUAAUUACCGAGACCGAACCCAACACCGACGAUUUUUGAACUUCGAAGAAACUAGCAACCUUGUCUUCAAGCUUUAGAACCCAAAGGCUGAGAUGUGUUCCUUCCUCUGCCGCAAUUGCAAGAUCAAGAAGUCAGUAGCCCACCCGACACCACAUUAACGUAUUUUACUCCCCGGCCGAACUUAGUUGAUGAGUUGGCAUGCCCCGCACAUAAACGAAGGACGUAGUUAACUUAUAAAUUACUCGGCCUGCGCGCCACGUAGGCUUGGUAGUUUUUAGGGUCAACAUUUUGGCACGCCUGGUGGGACACAGUGCUAAAGAUACGAAGUUCAUGACCAUUGAAGCACGAUCAGUAAAAACAAAAACAAUCAUGGGUAAGUUAAUGACUAAUCUUCUACCUACAGUCCAAAGCCUAGGACAAGAUGGCUUGUCACAGGGACAUAAUCCUUCUGCUGCUGUAACACUUAAAGCCACAAGUACAACAUGCCGAAAAAAAGGAAUCAAUCUCUGCGGUCAGACUCGUGAUGCAGAAAUCCCCACCAAAAUGACAAAAUGCAUUUUUGUUGAAGGACUAGUGGAGGAUUGUGACGAUGAUGAUGAUGAGGUAUUUGAUCUAUCAUCUAAAUCUUUUCUUCGGUGACGAUUUGAAGAAUAAUCUCGGCAGUUUGAGAAAAUGUUCAGCUGAGAGGUAAAUGCAUACUUGAAGAGAUGCAUGAUAAUAGCGUUGUGCUCAAUAGAUUGUUCGAAGUUCUGGUUAAUAAAAUCCACGAAGUUGGACCCGCCGAUCGACUCAGGCAACCUCAUCUUCUAAAGAAUAAUCAUUUGCCAGCGAUAUAGAGCGAGACAUGAUCUGGUCGACUCAAAAUGAUUGACUUAGAAAAAAAAUGGCGAAUAAAGCAGCAAACUGGUCAGAAUUGACCAAGGAGCAGAAGUGGUGCCUGUUGACAUGGUCGAAGUCCAGAGAAUGAUUGAUUCAGCCUUAAAAAAAUGGCCAAAGUUUCCAAAAUUCAUUCACCCAUAUCCAGCCUUUGUAGAAAGGUUCGAAUAUCCUAAGGGAUUCAAGAUUCCAGACUUUAUCCUUUUCGCUGGAGAAUCAUCCUUGUCCUCGUUAGAACACGUGGCUCGAUUUACUGCUCAAUGUGGAGAUGUUAACAGUGAUUUCAUAAACUACGACUGUUCAAUUUCUCGUUAACUGGCACAACGUUCGCAUGGUACAUCAACCUCCUACCCAACUCUAUCCAAAGUUAGGAGGAAUUAGUCGAGAAAUUUCAUGAGCAAUUCUAUCGGCCAGGGAUGGAAAUGUCAGUUUCUUCUUUGGCCAAAAUGGCUAAAUCAUUUGAUGAGUCACUAAUGUAAUAUCUUACGAGGUUUAAAUCAGCCAGAAACUGGUGCUGAGUACCCUUCCUGAAGUCGAGUUUGUUAGGCUUGCCCUAAACUGCCUGGAUGUGGAGUAUAAAAAGAAAUUCUUAGGGGCAAACUUUCAAGAUAUGUACGAACUGGCUUAACAUGUUGAGCAAUAUGAUUAUUUGCUCCGAGAAGAGAAAAUCUCAAAAUCACCAGCCCCAGGGACAAUCUACAAAAACCCAACAAUAAGUUAUUUAUCGGCCGAAGGCGAAGAGUCCCAAUAUGCCAGUAGAUGCGGUUGAGAUAGUAAUUGACAAACCAUAAGUAUGCAAAACGUUAGCUCACACUAAUUCUAAAGAUGUCAAAACCCGCUUUGCCUCUGUGGAAUCCACUUUCAAAACGCCAAAGGUCUACACUUUAGACAUCACCAAGGCCGACGCCAUCUUCCAUUGGUUGUUACUUGCAAAAAUCAUCAAGCUUCAGCCAGGACAUAAUAUCCCCAAGGCCGAAGAUUUGAAAGGAAAGAUGUAUUGCAAAUACCAUAAUUCAAACAAGCAUACAACAAAUAAUUGUGUCGUAUUUCGCGACGCCAUCCAUAGCUGGAUUGACAAUGGCAAACUCAAGUUUCCUGAGAAACCUCCAAUGAUCGUUGAUGCCGAUCUUUUCCCCUUGGAGACAGUAAGCAUGGUAGAUGCUCAUCUACCCAAGGACAAGAGAAAAGGAAAAAUCGAAUUUAUCUCGAUGCAGUACGUCCCUAAGAAGAAUUCUCAGCUGCGAUUGAAAGUUGAUCUAUCUUCCGACGAGCCACCCAAAUACUUUUCGAACCCAACUUAUGCCGAGUCAAUGUCGGACUCCAGCACAAAGGAAACUGAUGGGCCGAUGGUUUUAUGUAGUAGAUGCAAAUUAAACGUCAUCAUAACUAAGCUGAAAAAAUAACCACUUCGGGAUGAAGCAUCGUAACUAGCGCCUGCAGUUGUGGAAACAUGUCAAAAGGUGCUUGGUGCAAACUAACGCCAGAAAGUUUUCAAUAAGCUUAGCCCUCAAACACAGAAUAAUAAGCCGUCUUGGGCCAAACGGCGACUUGAUUUCGACGGGCUAUUUUACAAUGAAGAUUAUUAUGCGUGCAAUUCUAGCUGCUCAAGUUCACCCACGAACCGGCAAACCUUCAAGCCACCUAAGCCACACAAACAACGUUGGUAUAGCUACAAAUCCCCUAGUGGUGCAUAUACCGCGUUGUCCAAAUCGUAGAAAUGCCAUCGCCAGAGAAUAUAUUGUAUGGCUCACCAACGAGCAACCCAGGCCACCCCAACUACUCAAUGGCAGCCGAAAGAAAUGGUAGGUAACGAAGAUGACCGACAAGCUCCAGCAAUCAUGACCGAGCUACUUCAAGGAAAAAAAGUAAUCGAUUGCAAUUUUGAAACCACAAUUGAAGAAUCUGAGAAGCAGAUCAAACUUUUUCUUCGGCCUAGGGAGAUGAAAGCUCACCUCAAGCACUUCUAGAAGGAAACCGAAAGCAAACUUCCUCUGCUAUCCCCACAAGAGCCAUUAAUUAAAGUCAAACAAAAUUGCCAUCUGCCGUUUUUCGGUGAAGCUUUGAAAUACGUGCGGGGGUUCCACAAGAAGCAUUAACUAAUGACUUUUACGACCUACCAAAGCAUGCCAAGAGUUUCUUGAUUUGGCGUUAACCUGCCCCAAUGCCGAACAGAUCAUCCAAAAGACCAUGGAUUUGGGAAUGAAGGCUAGGUUCCAACAUAUACGCGAGGUCCAAGUUCUUAGCUUUGAGGUGGAUCCAUAUACUGAUAUUGUCAAUCUUUCUUUCUCUCUCGAGGAUCUCCAAUAUUUGCAGUACCAUUUUGAAGUUUUCUUAGCUGUUUCCCUAUUCGGCCUUACGGCCGAUGAGGAGCACAUGGCGCGUUUAGAUGCUUACUUAGACACAAAAGACGCCCGCAUCGCAUAUCAGGAGCAGACUCACAAAGCUUUACAAGCGCAAGACCAAGUCCCAACGCAGAGCGAGCCAGUGGUCGAAAAGCUUUACAAACAUGCCACAUAAAUGUGUUUUCGCUGCAACCAAAGAUAGCCAAGUGAGUAGUGCCCAUGAGCAAGACACCUCGCCCAAAAAUCCAGAAGACGAUGAUCACAACCUGAUGGGCCCUUUAGUCUUCGACAACAUAGAAAUUAGCAUAGUCUAUGCCUUGUAGAAUUUUGGCCAACCACAUCCCAACCAAAUUUCCUGGACGGUGACAUAAUUGCCGAAGAGGCCACGUAAGUCGAUUUUGUGGCUACCGAAGAAAGUGAGCAAAUAAGCAAAGAAGAUAAACUUAAAGUAGCUAUCGCCGAACUGUUUCCCCGUUCUUUAUUCUUUAAUCUUCAUCAUUUGAAGCCGUUGUAUGUCACGGCACAUAUUGAAGGAUACCCGAUUUCCAAAAAUUUUGUCGACUGUGGAGCAACGGUCAACAUCAUGCCUGUCUCUAUCAUGAAAGCAUUACAUCGCUCUAGAGAUGAACUCAUUCCAUCAAGGGUAACUAUGAGCAGCUUUGUCGGUGACAAAUCUCAGACUAAGGGAGUGCUUCCUUUAGAGGUGAAUAUCGUAAGACAAAAUCACAUGAUGACAUUUUUUACAGCCGAUUCAAAGACCGAGUAUAAUGAUUUGCUUGGUUGUGAUUGGAUCCACCAAAAUGGUUGUAUCCUCUCAUCAUUAUAUCAAGUCCUCAUCUUUUGGGACGGUAAAUCGACUGUAGUUCAUCCGGCCGACAAUCAGCCCGUUCGAAGAUAAUAUGAUUCAAGCUCGCUAUUACAAUGAUCAUGUCGGCUAUAUCACCUUGCAAGGUUUCAACAAAGAAAGAUGGCCGACUCGGAUCUCAGUUCAGAAAGCCAUCGAGGUUGGCGUUAAGACUGUUCAGCAAGAUUCUGUAAGACUCAGGUUGGCUAACCUAAUUGACGAUCUUGAUGCCUAAUACCAAACAAGAUAGACAUCGGGCUGUGGUUUCAUCUAUCAUGGAACGCCUAUUAUCCCAUUGGUAUACUAUUUCCUAGCAAUCAAAUUCUGGCGUGAACUUAGUAGAGUUCCUCGCCGAAUGAGAUAAUGGUCCAGUCCUAUCACUUGAUAAAGUCCAAGCUACCCCAGCUGAGCUCGAGGACAGUGGACUUGAAGUCAAAGAUCCAUUAGACGAAAUAAAUGUUGGAACGGCCGAGGACCCUCGACCUUUAUUUAUUAGUUCUUUAUUGCCCCAACCUAUGAAAGCUGAGCUUUGUAAACUGCUCGAAGAAUUUAAAGCUUGUUUCACUUGGAGUUAUCAUGAGGUGCCUGGCCUGGAUUGAACACUCAUCGAGCACGAACGCAUCAAGGUUGGUUGUAAAUCUUUCCGCUAACCUCUCCUCCCUCCUCGAUGAUUCUCGACCGGAGUUCAGCUCGGCAUAAAAGAUGAACACGUUCGACUUUUCAAAGUUGGUUUUAUUCGGAUAGCUCAAUACGUCAAAUGGUUGGUGAAUAUUGUCCCAGUUUUAAAGAAAAGCAGUGCUCUACAUAUUUGCACUGAUUUUCAUAAUUUGAACUUGGCAACCCCUAAAGAUGAAUAUACAAUGCCAAUUUCAGACUUGUUAAUUGACGUUGUAACAAACCACGAGAUGUUAUCUUUCAUGGAUGGCCAUGAUGGUUACAAACAGAUUUUCAUUGUUGAGGCCGAUGUCCACAAAAUUGCUUUUCGUUGCCCCGGGGCACUCGGGACCUACGAAUGGGUCGUCAUGCCUUUCGGACUUAAGAAUGCCAAUGCUACAUAUCAACGCUCUAUGAAUACCAUUUUUCAUGACCUGAAUGGCAUAGUCGUUGAGGUAUAUAUAUCAACGAUGUUGUGGUUAAAUUGAAGCACCGCCGAACACAUUUAGAUGAUAUUCAGCAAGCUUUCCUUCGUAUGCGUCAACAUAACCUUAAAAUGAACCCCUUUGGUGUAUCGGCAUGCAACUUGUUGGGUUUCCUUGUACAUCAUCGUGGCAUUGAGGUAGAUGAGAAUAAAGCUCGAGCAAUCAUUGAUGCUCCACCCCCGACCACCAAGAAGUAAUUACAAUCCUUACUUGGCAAAAUCAAUUUCCUCCAUCGUUUCAUUUCUAACCCGGCGGGGAAAAUGAAGGCUUUUUCGACGCUCUUGAAACUUAAGGAUUCUAACAAAUUCAAAUGGCGCAAUGAACAUCAAGACGCUUUCACACAAAUCAAGGUCUCCUUUACUACCCCACCUAUCCUUAUGCCACCUCGGCGCGGUAAACCUCUUAAGUUGUAUAUCUCGGUUGCCGAGGAAUCCAUUGGUUGUCUUUUUGCGCAAGACAACGACACUAGGCAAGAGCAGGCCAUUUUUAUCUUAGCCGAAAUCUUAACUCAGUUGAGAUAAAUUAUACAAGCUCCCUUCUGUUACUCAAGUCAUCGCCCAGACAGAUGUUAUUCUUUACAUGCUCACUCAGCCGAUAGUAAAAGGCUGAAUUGGGAAAUGGACAAUGGCGUUGUCCGAAUUUAGUUUGCAGUACGUACCCCAAAAAGCUAUCAAAGGACAAGCGCUGGCCAAUUUCUUAGCUCAACAUCUUUCUCCAUACGGUUUUGGGGGCAACGACAUCAAAAUCCGCAUGGUGGAGACAUGAUAAUUAUUGAACGAUGUAUUUUAAUGGCUAUAGUACCUCGACCUCGGUCGGCGUUGGAAUCGUCAUAUAGUCCCCUGAUCACUACCGAUGGUAUUUUCUCUCAAGUUGGAUUUUGAUUGUACAAACAAUUAAGCCAAAUAUGAAGCCCUCGUCAUCGGCCUCAAUGUCCUUCACUACUUAAAGGCAGCCCGCGUGCUCGUCCUUAGCGAUUCAAAACUUGUGAUCAACCAACUCAAUGGGACUUUUCGUUGCAUAAGUUGUACUCUGGCGCCUUAUCAUAUAGUUGUCAACUAUUUAGCCGAAUCAUUUGCAGGCAUUCCGUUCAAGCACAUUUCACGAGUUGGAAAUACUAACGCAGACGAGUUGGCUCAAAUAGCCUCUGAAACACAACUCCUGGGGGGCGAACUGGACUGGGUCAUACCAGUGUUGCGACGUCGACACUUGGCCUUGGUUAAUCAACAAGUUCUCCAACACGACCACGUAAUCUGUACACGAGUUAUGUCUCUACCUUUGUUAUUGGAACGAAAGGAUCCUAUAGAUAUCUGCAUGGUCGAGACAUUACCAGACGACUGGAGAAGAUUAAUCAUGAAAUAUCUUGAUAAUCCCAGUGGCAAACACGACCGCAAGACAAGGGUACACCCCACAAAUUAAAUAAUGUACCAGAAUGAACUAUAUCGAAAAAGUAAAGAUGGUCUAUUGUUAUUGUGCCUCGGCCCAAAUGAUACCGCUCAAGCUAUUGCAGAGGUACACAAAGAAAUAUGCGGGGCUCAUCAAUCCGAACGCAAAACGCGUUGGUUACUCCGUCGACAUGGUUAUUUUUGGUCGAGUAUGUUAAAAGAUUGCAUUGAACAGGUGCAAGGUUGUGUACAAUGUCAAAUCUAUGGGCCCAUACAGAGGGUCUCGGUCGAAUUACUUCACUCAGUCACUAAGCCAUAGCCGUUCAAAGGAUGGGCCAUGGAUGUAAUUGGCAAGAUUACUCCGUCUUCUGAAUCGGCAAAACAUCCAUGGAUACUUGUAGCGACCGACUACUUCACCAAGUGGGUUGAAGCAAAAUCAUACGCCGAGUUAACAUCUAAAGAUGUUUACAAUUUUGUAGAAGAAAACAUUGUGACAAGAUUUGGUGUACCAGAAGCAAUUAUAAAGGACAACCCCAUGAUUUUUACGGCCGAUAGGUUUAAAGAAUACACAACACAUUUGAAAAUUUGGCUCGAGCAAUUCACGCCGUAUUACCCAUAGGCAAACGGACAGGCCGAAGCAAGUAAUAAAGUUCUCGGUAUCCUUAAGAAAAUGAUAAAAGAAAAGCCUGGUAUAUGGCAUUUGAAGUUAAACGAGGUAUUAUGGGUAUAUCGAACUUCAUUCCAAUCAACAACAACGACGACCCCAUAUGCGUUAACUUAUGGACACAAUGUGAUGCUACUAGUCGAACUAAGCAUAAACUUGUUAUGAGCUAUUGAAUAAAGCAGUUUGUUCAGUGCCAAGUAUAGUCAGGCCAUGAGGCAAAAGUUGGAGGAUUUGGAGGAAGCUCAGCUCGAUGCUUAUAACUUGCUAGUGGUGUAGAAAAAGAUUGCCAAAUGAGCUUAUAAUUGGCAAGUUAGGCAAAAGACGUUUGGUGAAGGUGAGUUAGUGUGGCAAACCGUGUUACCAGUAGGGAUUAAGGAUCCCAGAUUCAGGAAAUGGUGGCCGAAUUGGGAAAGACCAUUCGUCAUCUACAAAGUACUCAGCAAGUGGGCAUACCACCUCAAGGAUCGAACUAGUUUAAUUCAUAAAUUACCGAUCAAUGGGAAAUUCUUAAAGAAAUAUUAUCCGGUCACUUGGGAGAUGCAAGAAUAAAGGAUUUCUUUCAUUAAUUUUCAAAGUGGAUACACACAAAAUUACAAAGAAAUCGAUCGGCCCACAAGUCGGCACCUACAAAAUUCCUAGGGAGUCGAAGGAAGAAAAGCUUCAAGAAUGGCUUUUAGUUCUAGCCACUUCACUUCGCCUAUUGUAACCUCUGCUUGUCGGGUUUUUUUGUCAGCCUUUAGUUGCUGUAUCCACUUGGCCUAAGCCAUGUACUCUGCCAGUUGAGGUUUGUUCGACUCAAAAUCCUUUUCGAGCUUAGAAGCAACGGCCGACAGCUGACAAUGAAGUUCAUCGAUUUGAUGGUUAAGGUUGGCCAACCUUUCAUUCUUUGCCUUUAUUGCCUCGAGCCCUGGUCAGAUAGCUUCAUGAGCGACCAUUGUAGCCUUGAGGUCAUCCUCUAUCCAAAAAGCCUUCUCGAAAAUAGUGAAAUAUUGUCGAGUUCCUUCUAGGACAUUUGACAGAUGAAGAACACUUUCGUUGCUCAAUAGGUCGUCGGCUGCAAGGUUGUUAAAGCACUCUCCCACAGAAUAUAUGCCUUUGCUUUGGAGGAUUUGUGAGGCCAAGAGAGAUUGAAGUUCCUGCAACUUGGCAAGGGCGCUAGAUUCGACCAGGGUUACAGAAGGCCCAACCAUCCCUUAAGUGCUGGAGAGAAAGGUGUCAAGCUCAACUUUUCAUGAAGGCUGCAUAGAGAAAAGUUGUUAAAGAAAAGAGAAUUCCAAAGGAUGGCAGAGAAAUAAGUUGUUUUAGACCUGCCGAGAAGAAACUUCGGCCAUGUCCGCUGGUUCGUUGGUCAAACCCAGAGAGCUUAAUAGCCAAGCCCAGUGUUUAAGGCAACUUUUCAAUUCAUGCGGCCGAUGAAGGUUAUCUACGUUUGAUGGCCACUGGGGUGGCCAAGAAAUAUAAAUAACGCCCUUCGACGCAUAGAAUUUUUGGUGAAAUGAGCGAUUGGACCUGACAUUUAAUGCUUUUCUUGGUUUAGAGUUCUAAGGCAGGAAAUUAAUAAAUGAUAAGUCUUACAAAGUUCAAUGUGACCUCUUGAGGAGGAAUACCGAGGUUCUGGUCCUAGGGAUGAACCCACGUCUCUACCGUUGUUUUUGGCUCAACAAGAGGUGUUGAUUCAUGUCCCGGACCUACUUCAGUCGCAUGGGGGUUGACCUAGCUAGCCGCCUCGACUGCCAGUUGGAAAUUACCCAGAGCUAGGGGACUUGUAGUUGGUGGUUCAACCCGUCGAGGGCACUUCACCAGCAAAUGUACUUCGCUCUCGUUCUCCUAAUUAUAGAAGAUGAUCGUUUAUUAAUCGGAAGAUCCAAUUUAAAAUGAAAGGAGAACAAUAUUAAAGGAAAUUGUCAUACCUCUCCCUCCAAGAUGAUCAUUGGAUUCUUCUUUGGAUUUGGGAAAGGGUUUCUUUCGAUCAUUGUUGCCGCCUUAUCCGGAGUAGCAGUUGUUGGGCUGACAUCAGCAGGGGCAAUAGCCGGUUCUGGAGUUGCAAGUUCCUCGACCAAUAAGGCGACGACCGGUUCGACUUCAAUAGUAGCUUGUGUGGUGGGUCAAACCAUGGUCGCAUGGCCCACGGUUAGGAUCGAAGGGUUUUGCGGUACCGUUGUCGAGGUCCGGAUGACAGGAGAAGAGAGAGGGAUACUAGGAGUGGUUGCUCCUGUGUUUUGACUUGAGAUAACAUGAAUCUCCCGUUCUUCCCUCUUUGCCUUUUUCUUGAUAUGUUUUUGGGGUUGGGCAACGUUACCAGUUAUCUCGGCCUUUGGGCGAUGCCAUUUUCUAUGUAUGGUCGAUGCAGCAGUUGCAACCUUCUUUGGAGGAAGGGCGAGUUUUUUCUUGGCUGCAACCAUUGUAACCACAUCAGCCCAUUUUAUUGCAUGAGCACCUGGAAAAGCUGAGCUUGAGUCAUAAUGAAGUUCGAAUAACCUAACGGAGAAAUAAAAGAUACAUACCUUGAGCCGUUUCUUUGGAUUUUGGAGGAAGAUUCUUCUUAGGUCGAUCGCCAAAAAUUUUCUUUCAAGUUUCCUCGAACGAUACACCGAAGAAAUCCUUAAUAUAAGCAUCCCACCAAUUGGCAAAUGUGCUAGUACUAUAGGUUUCUAGAGUGUUCGGCUGAAGAGUAAUUUGGUGCAUCGCUCUUAAAACUCCCGCUCAGCUUCUUCGCACUCUCUCUUAGAGGAGCCGGAGAGGCAUUCUCUGCUCCAGAGUGAGCGAAAAGUGAGAAGUGGCACAUGACAGCCCUGAAGAUAGCCCAAUUGAUGAGCCAGGAAGUAAGGAUGGUAGACUUCACAGCCAACUUUACAACUGUUGCAACCGAAGGGUAGGUCGCGAGCUAGGGUAAACGACUCUCAGGAUUGUCGAAGGUCAGCUUCUUAUGCUUCAUCCCACGCCGAUGUGGGGAGAUUAAUGGAAGAUGGAUAUUCCUGGCGACAGCAGACCAUAAAUUCGUCGUCUGAUAGAUCUUCAAGGCCUAAGAAAUACUCAAAGAUGUAUUCGAUCUAGUGAGCAGGAAAUGGGCACGAAGCUAGUUGAUGACCCAUCACUUCGAAAAAGUUGAAGCAUGGGAUUUUUGGCCUCAGUAUGGGUAAGUAGACCUGCAGCCAGAGUUGAAAGACCCAGAGUAGGCCAUUCUAGUAUGGAUCAAUUUUCCUAACAGAAGCCUUGGCCAAGCACCGGUUGAGGUUGGCAAUGAUGGUCGGGAUAAGGGCCAGGACAUGGCUGUUGGCUAGAGCUUCGGCCACUGGCAUAUUCUUAGCCAAAUACUUGUUUGACUUAGUACAAAAGAUGAAUUUAUUGUACCAGUAGAACAAAAAGGCCUUGUGUUCUCCUUUAUUGAGAGCUUCCCAUUUUAAGCCAGCAAAGUGGCUGAUCAAGGUGUUAUAGUUGAAGAAAUUUUUGUGCAGUUUGUGCACAUCUUCUUUCGACGGCUCCUGAACGUUCUUUGUCAAAACUUCGACGACGCGUUUGUCGAAGACUAUUUUCAGAUCCAAGUCGAAAUUAUACAGAGAAAGAGCAGUAUCAAUUGGGAAACCAGAGGGAGAAGUGCCAAGUAUGGCUGUGAUACGCAGCACGGUUGGAUCGAUGGGGCUAAGGGGAAAAACAAUAGUGUUGGUGGCCAAACACUAGAAGCUCAGGAUAUUCAUCAAGAGCUAUCGGUCCAUAAUGAUCUCAAAGGUUGAAAGCUUCAUAGCGUUGAAAAUGCCGAUAGUUUUCCACUCAUUACCAAAGUGUGGCUCCAUUCGGGUAACCCAAGCAGCCCAAGUCACGGAGGUCGAGGGCCAGGCUCCCUGAGGUUUGGUUAAGUCCCACUUCGACCAAUCAUACCCUUGGAAUAAGGGUUUUUGGCAAUGGGCCUUCAGUAUUUCGGUGAUGGUUUCGGGGACUUUAUCCUUGAAAAGUGGUCUGAGAAUCUGGUGAGAAGCAUUUGAGUCACCUUCGAAUUGAAAGGUUUUGAUAGCAUUCCGAUCGAUGAAGUCUUGGCAUUUGUUGCACUCCUUGGUGAGCUUGGUAAUGAAGGUAUUGGAAGCCAUUGAAGUAGGUUUGAAGGUUUUUCUGGGUUUCAAAGUUUGGUUUCUUUUUCUGGUAAAGUUUGAAAGCAUGAAAAUCCAAAUGAAGUUGGGCAGAGUAUUUAUAGGCAAUUAAGGGAGAAGAUCAACUGCUUAGUUUUAGAAGAUGAGGGGUAAAUCUGACUGAAGGAUUUCAUAAUCAUAACGGAUCUUUGAAAUCCAGGGGAAGAAGCCGAAAAACACUCAAAUUUAGGGUACACGAUUGAGUGUGACUACGAAGGUUAUGACGAAGAGACAUUUUGACGUCUGCACGCCUUGAACGUGGGGGUAUACAUCAUUGAAGAUGGACAGUCACGAUAAGAGUUGCCACGUAUCAAGUUUUGCAGCGUUUUGAGAAAACUGACAGGGGUGGGAGAUCGUACUUAAUAAAUGUGUCUGAGUGGUUGGAGUGUUCGAGGCUUGCAAUGAUCUUUGGUUUGCUAGAAGGUAUAUGCUAGGUUUUUCUUUGGCAAUAGAUUACUUCUUCAAGGUCGAGGCUCAGCCAAGAAUUGUAAGCCGAAGACCUCAUAAGCGAGGGGGCAAUGUUUGGGCCAAAAAUAAUAUUUUGGGCCGAGCUUUGGUCCAAUAACAUUUAUCUAGAAUUUUGUCAUGGGCCGUUCAGUCAAGGUUGGCCAAAUCCUAGUACGAAGAGGAUUGGUUUAGAUAAGGUUGAGGUAGUCGAACCUUAGUGCAACAAAGAGUCUUAAAGCUAAGGAUGCUUAGGAUUAGGGGAUGAAUUUGGUUCGUUAAGGAGCUUGGUUCAAAGUCUUAUAGGGGUUAGGUUGGUCGAAACCUAAUUAGAUUGGGUUGAGGAGUUCUAAUCCAAGUAAGCUUCUAGUUCGGCCAUAAGGGGAUUCCCUACUAUAAAUAAAGAGGGGAGUGCAACAUUCAAGGCCUCUCCAAAAUCAACACACAAAUUGCCUUGCGCAAAGCUUCUCAACAACCUUGAGAUUUUCUCCUUUUCCCCUUUCUUUUCACCAACACAUCUUAAGUUUGGAUAGACAGCACUGUGAAGGCAACCGGCAACAUCUUCAGUUUGGAUAGACAACACUGGAGCCGUAGAAUUAGCCGAUCGAGAAGCACCUUUAGUUUGGAUAGACAGCACUGCUUCGAGACUAACUGGUUAUUUAUCCAAGUCUCGGUCAACAAGGAUUUUCGAGUCCUUGUUGGUAAAGGUCAUCUCAUCAGCCUUCUCGGUGAAGUGAGGUGUUACGAGGUUACUAGGCUCGGCACAUUGAAAGCUGAGUUUUGUUUAUGAUUGGAUAUUCGCAAGCAUAUUUUAGAGUUCAUCAUUCUGACGGCCGAACCACAAUUACAGUCAAGACAUUUAUCUAUUUCGAGUAUUUGUGUCCAUACAGUUUGGUGCCAGUUUGACAUACUUAUACUCUCACGAACAUAAUUACCGAGACCAAACCCGGUGCCGACGAUUUAUGAACUUCGAAGAAACUAGCAACCUUGUCUUCAGGCUCUAGAACCUGAAGGCCGAGAUGUGUUCCUUCCUCGGCCGCAAUUGCAAGAUCAAGAAGUCAACAGCCCGCCCGACGUCACAUCAACAUAUUUUACUCCCCGGCCGAACUCAGUUGACGAGUUGGCACGCCCCGCACACAACCGAAUGAUGUAGUUAGCUUAUAAAUUACUCGGCAUGCACGCCACGUAGGGUUGGUAGUUUUUUAGGUCAAUAGUUAUUGAGAUAAUAUUUCCAUUGGUAGUGACGAGACUCUCUCUUGGAGGAUGAAUCAUGGAUGAAAGAGAGACUCGUCAUGCGUCAUGUGGUCACGAUCUCUAGAAGCAAUUUAGACUUUUCUCGAAUUUCCUGAAUUAUCACGAUCAACAAAGAAAGAUACUUGAUAAUAAUAAAAAAUAAAUAAAAAUAAAAAAAGACAAUAUUAUCUUCUCUCCCAUGGUUGUAGUAGGCUUAGGUUUAAGAUUCUCAGUGUCGAUUGCCAAGAACAAGUUGCACGAUAAGAAUUAGGAUUAUUGUGCUACUUUAAAAACACAAAGAGGCACCGGGUAAAUUUUGGUUAUGUGUAGGAUUAAUGAUUGUCCGAAACACAAGACAAUCAACAAAGUGUAGGGCGCCAACAUCCAAGUAAGCUAAAAUACAUGAAUAGUAUUUUGGGUUUAGGUUGUUUUUUCUAGGAAAGAGAUAGGCCGAAACCCUUUUUUUUUCUUUUUCUAGAAAACCUCGAUGAUACGAGGGGAAUUUUAUUAAUAACAAAAAAAGAAGUUCCACCUAGUCAGGAGAAACGUAAACCUAACCCUUCAUAAUACAAGAAGAAAAAAAAAGGAUAGAAAACACAAGAAAAGGAAGGGGGACAUAAUCCUUACCUUUCUAGAAACGAAAACAAUAAUGAUACAAGGAAAAUAGGGGGGACCUGAAACCUGACCCCUUUAUAGCCAAAUCUAAAGGUCUUAACCUGCAAAAAAAAUUGAGUAAAGAAAAUAAAAUAAGAAAGUGAGACAAACUUAUAUGUCUGAAAAUAAAGCAGUACGAGCCACCAGCAGAGAGGAACCAUGCCAUACCAAAGUUGGAGAAGACAAACCUAUAUUAGCAAAAUUCUCUACAAUAACAUUCCCUUCGCGAUAUAUGUGAGAGGCGUAGAAAGUCAUCUUCCGAAUCCGAUCUAAACAAAUAGACCAUUGCGUACAAAGAGGCCAAAGAGUGUAAAAAAUAGUCGAUUGGAAGGCAAAAAGUCACUUUCCAACCAAAGACAAUGUCAUCCCCGUUGAUAUGCAAACUCUACACCAAUAAUAAUUGUUGAUAAUUCUGCAUGGUAAGAGUUACAAUGACUAAUUUGAUACCAAGAUAAAAGCGGAAAACUUUUUUUCUUUUUUGACGGUACGAGGAAAAUUUUAUUAAUAACGAAAAAAGAAGUUACACUUAGUCAUUUUCCGAAGUUAAAGUUGGAGAAGAUAAGCCCAUGUUAGCAAAAUUGUCAGCAACAAAAUUUCCUUCAUGAUAUAUGUGAGAUGCGUAGUAAGUCAUUUUCCGAAGGGAGUUUUAACGAAACACUCCAUGUACUUCACUUUUAACGAAAAUCCACAUUCUUACCUUUCCCUAGUACUAUUCACUACACCUUUAUUUGUCCUUUUUCAUUAAAACUAAAGUUUUUUAGGAAACCUAAUGAAAAUAGCCUGAAAACUUUGAGUUUUAACGAAAAUGACAAAAAAAUGUUGUAAGUGAAUAGUACCAGGAGUGUCUUUUUAGAGUAAAAAUGUGGUUUUUUGUUAAAGUGAACAGUACCAGAAGUGUUGCGUUAAAACUCCCAAGUUUUUUUGGACUUUUCGUUAGUUAUCAUUUUUCCGAAUGCGGUCCAAACAAAUACACCAAUAAGGAUUAAAAUCAGACGAUUAAAAAGUGUAAAACUUAUGAGAGUUUUUGGGUUUGGAUUGUUGUAUUGUAUUUUUCUCUCAAGGAGAAAAUAAGUAUACAGUAUAAGGAUAUCUAGGUACAUGAAAUCCCCAAUUAAAAAUCUAUAAUGAAUAGGAAAGUUAACUCACGUAGAACAACAUGCUGGAUGGUGGAUCCACACCUAAGACUAUCGUGCAUGGUUGAAUUGUCCAACACUAACAGAACUAUUGAAAGUGAACGUUGGGAAAAGACUUGGGAGUAUGUGUUGAUAAGCUCAUAUUUAUAUAUAUUUUACAUAAAAUUCACUUAUCUUUUAUUAGUUAGUUCUUUAUAUUUUUGAGCUAUUUACUAUGUUUUUGUGUUUUGUGUGAUUUAUCAAGCAAAGAAAAGAAAAGUAGCACAAGUGGGAUAUUAAGUAACAAAUUCGUCAAAACUGCCUGUGCAGAUUAGCUGACUUUGGAAGCAUGUUACGAACAGCUCAGAAUGAAUGAGAGAAUGAGCCUUAUAUGCUUGGAAAGCUAAGGAUGUCUAUUUUCUGGAGCAAUUCACGGAUUGUCAUGUUUCUAGAAGACGUUAUGGGCAUUGUAACACUGAAAGGUUCAGAAAAGGGCUAAGCAGAUUUGGCUAAUAAAAUAAGAAAGUCAAGGCACUUGUUUUGUGUUUUGCUUUGUCAUAAACACUCAGCAGCAAAUGGGGUUAUGAUUGCACUCAUUUGGCUUUGGAGCAAGUGGAAAUGCACAGCUAGAAAGAGAAGGCACACCCACAUGCAAAGGAAAGGAGAAACAUGGGCAGAAAAUGGGUGGAUUGGUGGUUGAAAUGAUGAAGCAUGUGUGUGCAAAUGAAAGGGGAAACAUGGACAGCACACACCCAUGCAAUCUGCACAUGCAAAGGAAAUGGAGUGGUCAUCUCCCUAGCCUAUAAAUACAUCCACCAUCCCCCUUCCAAAAGAACACCAUCUUGAUCCACAAUUGCUACAUCUCCAUACACUUCCAUUUCCAUGCCGUGAGCAUCAUUCCAUCCAUACAUUCAUAAAUCCCACAUUUCACACACAAAUACAUUUUCCUUCCCUUGGCCGAGGCAUUCACCAAUCCCAAAUACAUUCCUAACCUUUCCAUAUAUCCAUACACAUCCUAGACACUUGAGCUGCAACAAGGUGGUGGAAACGAAGGUCCUUGGCGUUUCAAGCUUGGAACUUUGGAGCGUUUUAGGUGAACUUCGUUCUUGCUUUCAAUGUCUAUUUUGUUAUUUUCUGAUUUUGUUGCAAUUAUGAGUAGCUAAACCCCUAUUUAGUUAGGGGAAGUUUGAAGCCAUGAACAUGCUUGAGAUAUGAAUUGAUUUCCUCCAAUUGUGAUUUGAUAAGUUGUGAUUGCAAUUCAAUUAUCUAUUUUAUUCAUAAUUGAUUCUUGUAUGUUUAUUAAGGAUGCAUACUUAGUUUUCAUGCAUGAAUUAGAUGUUAAAAUAUAAAUGAGUUUCACCUAAUCGUUACAAGUUUAUAUUCAUGAGUAGUGAAUGUUGUUUAUCACAAUCGCAUUAAUUGAAUUCUUGGGAAAUGUAUCAUGCAUUCAUAGUUAUAAUUGCCUCGUCAACACUUAUGAUUUUCAUUGAACGUAAUGAUCUCUGAUUGUAUCUCUAUUAUGCAUUCAUAUAGGGGACUUUUAGAGAAUGAUUUGGGUUGUUGCAUGCAUUCAUCCAACUUAAUGAGUAAAGGAAAAUCUGAGGGUUAAUUUGUGCAUCACAGUUAAUCUGGGGUGUUGAGCAUCAUAGUUAAUUGAAAAGCAAUUGGAAAUCGAUUCAUAUACAAGUGUGUCAUGUGUGAAGAACGAACCUCUAACUAAUCCAUCAUCUCAUUUCUUAAAUUCGUUUUACAAUCUGUCUAAUUUUAUAAGUUGUUUGUUUGUUUCGAAUUCGUAAAAACCAAACCCCCCCCCCUUUUACUUUCUUGUUUCAAAGUGUUUAAUUUCUCUUUUGGUUGUGUUUUAGAGUGUUUUGAGUCAAGUCAAAACCCUAAAUUCGUCCAAAGUUGUGUUAGAGUCAAAAUCUGCCCAUUUUGUGUUUUUAGGCAGUUUUGAGUGUUUUUAAGUUGUUUGAGUCUAGUGAACUUGUUUUGAGUCUAUUCAAACGUCUUUAACUCUGUAUUUAUGUUUUUGAGUUAGUUUAGAGGUUUUAGCAAGCCCUCCUAAUCCCCGGUUUAGAACAAUCCCUACUUGCAUUUAUACUACAAUUUGACAACAAAAGAGUUUAAUUUGAGUGCUUAACUUUCAUCGCAUCAUGUGUCAAUUGACAGGACUUUCAGUGAAGGUUUCCAAGAGUUGGAGCAAUAGUGCAUACUCUUUCACACAAACUAGCCCUCUAUAUUUGGUCACGCCAACCUAAUUCGUAUGUACAUUUUAGUGUACAUAAAAUAUGAACUGGUACAUCACGUGUCAUAAUAUAAAUGGAGGAAUACUUGAAAAAAAUAACUUCUUCCCGCUUCUAUUAUAACAUAUAAUGUAUUGACUUGUGUUAUGGGUACAUGGAAAAAUCUCUCUUCUAAGGACUGUCAAAUUUUAUUGCCAAUAGAUGGCGGCAAAGAGGCACUGUUAUAAAUCGUGUUCGAUUCCCCAUUUAAAGUAGUGGUGAAAUUAGAUUGUUGAUUUGAAUUCAUGCUUUGAACGUGCAAUCAAGACUUAUACAACUAAUUAAUUUGCAAAGUAGGCCAGUAAUACUUGACCUAUGAGAAGCUAUAUAUAUGGUUUUAUCAAAUCAUGAUGUAAAACCCAAGAAAUUAAAUGAUAUCAUCAUUUUCAGAUGAACUAGUUUGGCUAAAACGCAUCCGUUUCCAGCUUUCAACUUGCUUUUUGGAAAAUAUAUAGCACUGGCCUACAACUACUUUAACUAGUGUUGGGAAAUUUCUUCAGCAUAAUUUAGUCCAGUCAAUUAUUGAUGGUCUCUCAGUGUUGGAAAAUGGAUGCGUAGAUAGCUUUCCAUUGCCAACUAUUACAGGCCUACCAAAUUGCUUGCUCCAGUUUUCAAAAAAAAAAAAAAAAACUGCUUACUCAGAAGUCCUACUGGACUUGCCAUCAGUCAAGCACUAGUUUGUGUAUCCAAUGUGAAGCCAAAAAUAAUCAAAAGCCGAUACGUGGAUUUUUAGAUGAAAUGAACAAAAUUACCCUUGAGGCAUACCGAACCAAACCGCAAAAACUUGUUGUUUUGGUUUUGGUUUCGGUUUCACUCAAAACCGCACCAAACCGAACCGCGCCCACCCCUAAUCUCCACCCAAAGGGGCCGGCCACACCUCUAUAUAAACACCCUUAUUCUCUCCAAAACUCAAUUCCAAUUCUCUUGUUAAAUUCUCUAAAUUUUUCAAACACUUUUCCCUCAAAAUUCUAACUUUAGCAUCGGAGGUUCUUCGGCAGCCCCCCCCCCCAAUCAUUGUGGGCAAGUGAGGCUCUUGGCCUUAACCUAAUGUGUUAUUUGUUUUAUAGGUGCAAUUUUGUCCAAGAACAAGGAGGAAGAAAUUUGCAUCCACAUCCAAUAUCUGUUAUUUUCCAACACUAAUGAUGGGUUUAAAUAUUCGAAGAAAUAGUACUCAAGGGAGUCCAUAAUGAUUUUUUUUUUAAGUGCAAGUAACAACUUUGGAAUUUCUUUCAACUCACUCAAUGGUUCGAGAUUACUCAUUUCUUGACUGAAAGCCUUUGUUAAAACCUCAUUAUAGACUUUGUGUUGGUCAACUGUCAAGUAUCGAUUGUCUACCAUUGUUGCAAAAUACUUCACACAAAGCAAAUCGCCAAUGUGAGCAUGCUUAUGGUUUGCAACUUGGUAUAUAUAUGUGCCUCUAUGAGUGUACCCAUUGAUCAUAGACUACAAUAUGGUGUUCUGUGCUCAAAGUGGUAAGCACAAUUAAAAAAAAUUUAUGCCUCUGUUGUAAAAAUUUGGAAAAUUUGGAUAGGAUCCUAUAGGAUCUCCCCCUUUCAAAACCAGAUGUGAAAGUUUCCUUUCAUCCAUCUUAAGUAGUUACACCUUGACCUGGCAUUUUGGACCCGACCGUUAACCCGACCCGACCCAACUCGUUAAUAUUAGUAUUUUGGUGGAUACUUAACGGGUCGGGUCACUAACGGGUGAACCCGUUAAAUAACGGGUCACUUUGGGUCAACCCGUUAGACUCGUUAGCAUCCGCUAGUUGAUGAUAUUUUAGUAAUUUCAGUAAAGUCUUAACAACAAAAAAUAAACUCUAUACAAAAUAAUAAUAAUAAUAAUAAUUGUUAACAGGUGUUAAGGGGUGAAACUGGUGACCCCUUAGUUUAACGGGUCGGGUUCGGGUGACCCGUUAACUUAAUGGGUUAGAUUGAACUCGACCCAAACCCGAUAAACCCGACCCGUUUACAAGUCUAGUUACACCAAAUAAAGAUAAAGAGAGGGGUUCCCACUUUAAAAUUCUAUAAAAACUACAACUACUUCUUACUCAAGUUCCCAAAGAAGAUCAAACAUUUCAUUGAUUCAUUCUUUGUUUUAUUAGAUUUUUUGAAUUCUUUAUUCAAUUUUAAUAGAAAAUAAACGAAAUGUGAAAUUCUUGAGUAGUCUACUUCCCUUCGAAUGAUGAAUCCCCUUACAUUAAAGUAAAGGAGUCCUUUAAAAUUCAUAAGGGUUUUACUUGUCUACGUAUCGUUCCAUUGAAUUUCUGGUAGUAGAUCUAUAAUAAAAAAAGUGUUUGUGAUUUGUUCCAGAAGAAAUGAAACAAACGAUACGGUAAAGCUAAGACAGUUAUUGUAUGAGGUCUACCCAAUGCUAGAUGCAGAGGCACAUAAUAGAUCAAUAUGAAACAUCAUGAGUUGUCCCGUAAUAAAACUAGUUGUUGCUGAUACUUUCUUAUCGGUUCCUUCUUCUCCUUCUUCCAUAACCCGAGCUCGGAACCAACCAGCAAAAAGUAUUAGCAAAGACCAAUGCACCAAUUGUAGUACAAUAUAGUUGUAAUUCAUUAGUUAUUCCAUAAGCUCACCAAAUCUGGAAAAAAAAAAAGAAAAAAAAAAAGCCCAGAAGUUAUUUGUAUUCCUCGGAAAACCCCCGCCUACAUCACCAUUCAAUAUUUCUUGACCCACUAUUGGCCAAACCACCUGGGCACUACGUCCAAUGUGAGUAGGAUCACUUAGCCAUGCUUCAUAAUUGGAAAAACGAGCACCAUAGAAAUACAUACUACUCAGCCAAAGAAAGAUGAUGGAGAGUUGACUGAAAUGGGCAUUAGAUACUUUUCGAGAGAUCUCCUCCAAAUCACUGGUAUGGCUACCAAAAUUGUGAGCAUCAGCGUGUAGGUUCCAGAUCCAAGUAGUGGUAUCAAAUCAUACAAUUGUUAGACCAACAAUUAUAUAUAUAUAUGUGUGCUACUUUGCAUGGCUUCGUGCCCAAUAAUGUGUUUGUGUCCAUUUUUUUUAUAGUGGGCACAAUACAUCGUGUCCUUUAUUGAAUGGACACUGUUCCACCAUUUUAAUGUUCUCAAAGACACAAACUCUUCAUUUGUGUACUUAAAUGUGUACCCAAUGCCCAUAUUUUUCGUAGUGUUUCAGCAACUUUCGGUAGGAACCUCACCAACCCAAAGUCACCUACAUGUGCAAUCAUAUCCUCAUUGAGAAGAAUAUUGCUAGGUUUGAGGUCGCAAUGAACUAUUGGUGUCUCACGAUGACGAUGGAGGUAAUCCUAUGCCAUAGCAACAUCAAAAACAAUAUUCAACCUCUGAGACAUUGUUAAGCUCCUUGGCCUCUCAUUUGUCCCACCAAUUGUAUGAAUUGGAUAUAGCCAUUCCUCCAAGCUCCCCGUUAGCGAUGAACUCAGAAAUUAAGGUCUUGAAGUCAUGACCGCUAUAAUCAAAACCAGAACAUGCUAAGAGUACCUUGGCAAGAUUACGGCGUCUAAUAUUUUGGAAAGCCUCGCACUCGGCAAUAAAACUUUUGUAAGCCCUACGACGAACGAGGUUGAGUACCUUGAUGGCAAUUGUAGUUUAACCUUGCUCAAGUAUUCCCUUAUAAACGGACCCAAAACUGCCCAUAUCGACCUUGGUAAGACAUCUGGGGAAAUUUAUCUAAAUCACUUGCAAUGCAAUCUUUUUUGUCCCUUCGUGAGCAAUAAAGGUACAAAAAGGUUAGUUAAAAAAUAACUCCCAAAAUUCCACAAAUGAGAGAGAGAACCAAUUUCAUGGUUAAGCUCAAUCCUUCCUUUUUUGGAUGCUGGAGAGUUUGCAUUUUGGAGGAGGAUUCUCUACCCUCAUAUUCUCAUCCCCUUCCAUGCCCUCCUCUCACACAUUACUUUUUGUCUUAUUAUCUCUAUAAAAAAAUCAAUAUAAAAUGUUGACGUGGCUUAACCGUGACUGUUCAAAUAGGAGGGCAUGGAAGGGUAGAGAGAUUAGGAGGGUAGAGAAUCCUCCUCCUUGCAUUUUAGCAAAUGGAACUCAGAUAUGACCCCAAAAAGCUUACUAUUUCCUUCAACUGAUGUCGCCAUUGCAUUCUUGAACACUCCCUUGAUCGGCAACAUGCCCUCAAAAUUGUCAUAAGAUAGAUUCAGAGAUUCCUAAAAAUUCACACGUUCUAAGAAUUCUGGAAUUGUUCCUGACAAGUUGUUGUCAAAAAGAUACAAUUCUAUAAGAACUCUUAGUGAACUCAAAGUUGAUGGAAUCGUCCCAUUGAAGAAAUUUCCAUGCAUGUCUAGGUACUCUAAUUUUAUACAACUAACAAGACUUGCCGGAAUUUCACUGAAUAAUAUGUUUCAAAGAUAUCUAUAUACUCAAGAUUUAUUAAAAUUCCAACGUUCUCUGGUAGGGAGCCGAGAAAAUGAUCUUGAUAUUAGGAAAUAUUAUACGGUAUUAUAUGUAAAUAUCUUGUAUUAUAUUUACGUAAGUAGGUUUGAGUCAAAUCUCACUAAAUAUGCAUCACUAUUCCCUAGCCUUUAAUGUAGGGUUGAAUAAUUGACUUGUGAUGUAUAUAUUGUACAACAAUGUAAUAAACGAGGCAUACAAUCUACCAUUCUCAUAGCCUUUUCAGUGUUCAGUCACUUUAACAUGGUAUCAGAGCCUAAAGUUCUGGUGCCUGAUUCCCCACGUUUUCAAUUCUCAUACUAUUUCCAAGCAUCAUGUCAGACGCACUUGCUCAAUCACCACCACACAAAAAUCAAAAUAACAGCAAUGUCGGUAUGGAUUCAUCAAGUUCAUACUAUGUUCACCUUUCAGAUAACCCCGGUCUUAUGAUCGUUUCAGAAAAAUGACUAGACCCAAUUAUCCAUCUUGGAGUAAAUCCAUGAUACAUGCUCUCACAACCAAAAACAAAAUUGGCUUCGUCAAUGGCUCCAUUCAGCCCCCUCAGCAACAAACCAACCAAAAGAGUAUGCUCUCUAGAAUCAAUGUAACAAUAUGAUUUUGUCAUGGCUCUCUGGAAUCAAUGUAACAAUAUGAUUUUGUCAUGGCUUGCUCAAUCAGUCGAAUUUGAUUUAUCUAAAGGAGUUGUUCAUGCCAAAAGUGCCCAAAAGGUGUGGGAAGAUUUCAAAGAUCAGUUUUCACAUAAGAAUGCACCAACAAUCUAUCAAAUUCAGAAGUCAAUCGCAUCUGUUUGGGCAAGAAUUUCGUUGGGAAUGGUCCUUGGCUGGAGCACACACCUCCCCGAGGAGUUGGCACUUUGGUUGGUUAUCGGGCUUUUGUUUGUUGAGAGGCUCCAAGAGGAAGACAAAGAUAGUUCUAAAAUGUGCCUUUGUGGGGCCUUAGGUGUAUGCCUUGAGGCUCACAAUCAAAACUAACUAAGUGAUGAGGCAUGCCACUGUCAUUGCUGUAUGGUAGAUGUAGAACAAGUGUAUUUAAGCCGAUUACUUGCGCCCUAAGUUAUUCUGACUUCUUGUUAUCAAAGGAUUGUCGUGGAUGGGUUAAGUCCACAUUAAGUUCUUUUCUAUGCCUUGAGACCAAGGAAUUUCAGUUCGUUAUCUUGUAUGCUUAAAGGAUAAAGGUCCAGAUCUGAUUAAAUCAUUGGUUUGGUUCCUAUUUAGCCUUUUUAAUUAUGGUAAACCACUAAGUAAACCAGAUAUGAGCACUAAUGGAUAUUUGGAUCAUCAAAAGACUAGAAAUGACUCGAAUAUAUACUAAAGGAUACAUUAUAACACCAGAUCUAUUGAUUUAAAGACAAAACAAAGAGAGUCGGGCAAGGUUUAAACAUCUUAUGGUCUCUUCUCUUUGUGGCUACAAGGGAUUGAGUACUAAAACGGGAUGAAAGGUGAACAAGUUCACAUAAGAGAAUCAAUACUACAUCAUUUGGAAAAGGUAGCAGAGCUUUUACACUAGACAAAAGAUGCCUUUUUAAGGGGAAUUUAUGGCUAAAAGGGGUGUAGAAUUUGGACAAAGCACAGCUUUCUAGGUAUUUGCUUGACUGAGAAGAAAGUUGUAUGUUUGUUUGUUUGAUUGAUUGAGUGUCCUUGUCUAUGGGCCCUCUUCCUCCUUUUAUAUUUGAAUUGGUCCAACUAUGUCGUUUCUGCUCUUGCCCGAAAGUAACUGAAGGGUAAUAAGUCAUCAACCUUUUUACAUGUUCUGCCAUCCAAAAAGUACUUUUAGGCCGAUAGUAGGUGGAUUUCCAUCGGUUGUCACUUCUCUUGUCUUAAGAUGGAUGAUCUGGGCUUGACUCUGGGCUUCGGGCAAAACCUUCUUUAUUGAACUCUUUUCGGCUUUCUUCUCUUGAAGCCCAAUGUUAAAUAUUAACCCAAACAAUGCCCCCUUCAAUCGUUGUUAAGUCUGCAGACCAAGGAGUAAAUAAUGAUUGAAGUGCCGCUUUUCAAUAACCACCGUCGCACGCCUUUACUCAGAACAUGUGUCAUUUCAACGCAACUGUUUGCUUUUCUGUGACCCUUGCACUAACGAAUUCCAAACGUCACCUUAUCCUUCGCUAUAAAACUCCCCUCAAUUUCAUUCUUUGGCUAAAUAAUUUAACCAAAUUGAAUCCUUCUAAAAUUUCAAGACUUUCUCAGAAUUCCCAAAGUCUAUUCCUUCAAAAAACCUUCUUUUGUUCUCCAACUCUUGUCCCCUGACUCCAACUUUCUUCCCAUUUCCCCCUCAAAAUUUCUAAUGGUGCCCAUAGUGGCUUAAGCUUAAUCUUCUUACGAGAUUUGGUGAGGGGAUUGUCACUAUGCUCUAUCUUCUUAACGACCUUCAUUACCCUCGAGCAAGUAUGCACAAUGACUUCUUUUUCGAAUGGGGGAUGUACUCUUUGGGACCCGCAUGGGCUUCUCGAUUGUUGGCUCCUUCAUCAUCCUCAGAAAGUCGUGCAGUACCCAAAUUCAGUUUCAGGAUUUCUAUAGUUUUGUGGAGUAGCCGAGCAAUCUUAAUUGUGUCGGCAGAUCCCUUAUGCAAAUACGAAAUGAAUCCCCCUCACAUCAAUACCUACAAGUCCAUACUUCCCCAUAGCUUUUGCCUCCUUGGUCAAUUAAUCAUCAUAGGUGUAUGCUUCGAGGCCAACGACCAUGAUAAAGUCAAAGGCUUCGGUGGGACUUGUGGAAAGGCUUCUCCCCAAUUCAAUCAUCGAGUUCACUCAUGAGAGGGGGAGUGGUCGUUGGUGACCACUUAGCAUGAUUUUUAGUUGACCAUCUUCACCAGAAUUUUGAAGAGGUCAAGAAAGCAAUCGUUGACCUCUGAAGAUGGUGGAGCAUAGUUAGCUGAUAGUAUCAGCCUAGGAUAGCUUUCAGGGAUGUAGAACUUAUUAAGCCGAUUCUGAUGUAACUUCAAUAUUCAAUGAAAUGAAAAUGAUUUCUUUAAUCGACUUUGGCUUGCAUUUCUUUCUUGAAACUUGAUUGUGAAUAAUGAAAGGAUGACAUCUCGCAACGCUUACACUUCUUCAAUGUAGCAAUCCCUAACAUCCCACAAGGUUGGGUAAUACUUCUUGAGGAAUUUAACAUUGAUUGGAUGCUUUUGUAAGCCUCCAUCCACAUCUGCUAAGUAAUAUCCACCCUUGUUCAAUAUUCUGUUAAUAAUUAAAGGACCUUCUCAAGUCAGGCUCCAUUUUCCAAAGACUCUGAUUUGAACUCUCAAAGGUAAAAUUGCUUUCCAAACCAACUCCCUUUCCUUGAAGGUUUUUAUUUUUACCUUCUUGUUGUAUGAACCCUCUUCACUUCUUGAAUUUUGUCUAAAGCUUCGAUUCGAGCUAUAUCAAGAUCUUCAAUUCCUUGACACAUAGCCUGAAUGUACUUCUCACUAUGCAGCCCAAAUUGGCUUUGGAUCCUGAUAGAACUCACGUUGAUUUCCAUUGGGAGUACAGCCUCUUGCCCGAAGGUUAAGGCAUAAUGAGUAGUUCCAGUUCCUGCUCUUUUGGAAGUUCUCUAAGCCCACAAAGUGUCUCCCAACUUCUUGAUAAUAUUUACCAGGACUUUGUUGCUAGCUUCCGCUUAACCGUUUGACUGGGGGUAGUAAGGACUAGACCGCAUCAUUUUUAUUUUAAACUUUCCUGCGAACUCCUCCACUUCUUUCGAAAUAAAAGAUGGCCCACGAUCUGUGACAAUUGUUUCGGGCACUCCAAACCUAUGUAAAAUCUUGGUUUCAAUGAACUUCUUGACCACAGCCGAGGCGAUUGUCUUUACUGCUACAGCCUUUACCCACUUGGUGAACUAAUAUGUUGCCACGAUUAUGAAUGUGUGUCAUUUUCUAAAAAAUGGGUGAAUUCGCCCGAUGAAGUACAUUGCCACAUCCUCUAAAGGGUCAUAGCUUGACCACAGGGUUUAAGAGCACAAAGGGCACAUGUUGGAGUGGCCCGUGUCUUUGGCAUUCUUCACACCCUCGGGCAUAAGCUUUGCAAUCUUUCUCCAUCUCAGGCCAAAAGUAGCCAUAUCUUCUUAGUAACCACCUCAUCUUAGUUCCAGCCUGAUGAGCCCCACAUAUUCCUUCAUGUACUUCAGCCAUGACUCUUAUAAAUUCUUCUUGGCCUAAGCAUUUUAGCAACAAUUCGUCCAGGGUCUUUCUUAGCAGAUUCUGUUCCCAUAACACAUAUUUAGUCGCUUGCUACCUAUUCUUCUUACUCAUGGGAAAAGAGGGAUUUUCCAAGUAUUGAAUAAUGAGUGAUCUCUAAUCUUCUAUCUUGGGCUCUUCGAUCAUUACUUCUACCUCUACCUCAAAUCUUCUUUCUUGAAUCUGGGCUCCUGAGGCCAGUUGUGCCAUCUCAUUGGCCAUUGUAUUUGAUUCUCUGGGGAUGUGGCUGACUGAGAUUUCAGUGCCCCAAUAACUUAACAACUGAGUGGCCGCCAGGUAAUAACCGACCAUGGUGAUGUGUCUGCAUUUGUACUCCCCAUUUAACUGAUUAAUUACUAAUUCUGAGUCGCCAAACACCUCUACUUCGGUUGCCCCCAACUCUAUUACAAUCUCUAAGCCAAUUAUCGGUGCCUCAUAUUCUACCCGGUUGUUGGUAAUCUCUUGAUAAUCCAAGAGGAAUGAAUAACAAUGGUAAGAGCCUUUGUGAUUGACGAUGACGAUCCCAGCUCCCGCAGUAUUCUGAGUGCAAGAUCCAUCAAAAUAUAGUCUCCAAGGAGUGAUCCAGAGGCUAGUUAUUUUUUUUACCUCUUGCUGGACCCAUUCUUCCUUGCCCAAACAGGCUCUGUUUGGCGGGAUCCAUACACCUGCCACUUCCAGAGUUCUUAAAAUGCUGACAACUUCAUCUUGAGACUCUUGGUGUUCUAUCAAGAAGUCUGCAAUUGUCUGCCCUUUGACCGCCCUUUGGGGCACAUAUUGAAAGCUGAAUUCUGAUAGUGCUAGAAUCCACUUUCCAAUCAUCCCGAUCAGCAUUGGCUUUAAUAACAUAUACUUGAUUACGUCAGUCUUAGCAAUGAUGUGGAUGUGGCAAGGUAACAUGUAAUGCCUUAGCUUGCAAGCAGUGAAGUAUAAAGCCAAACAUAAUUUUUCCACUUGAGUAUAUCUUUUCUACCUUAGUGAGGAUUAUACUGAGGUAAUAUAUGGCUUGUUCCUUCCCUCCUUCAUUGUUUUGGGUCAACAAGCUUCCAAUUGACCUCUCCGAGGCAGAAAUAUAAAGCUUCAACAGCUUCCCUCUCUGAGAUGGCAUGAGCACUGGUGGAGAGGCUAAGUAAGCCUUUAUACUAUUGAAAGUCUCUUGGUGUGGUGAGCCCCACUUAAACUCUUCUUUGUCUUUUAUUUUCAGCAGAGGAGUUAGCGGCUGAAUCUUGCCUGCUAAAUUAGCAAUGAAUCUCAUCAAAAAGUUAAUUUUCCCCAGCAGCCUUUGCAGUUGUACUUUAUUGAUGGGUGAAGGUGACUUCAUUAUUACCCGAGCUUUGUUCUUAUCAAUCCACUCCUCUUCGAUGAACAAGCAAUCCCAAAAAGUUGCCUGAUCUUACCCCAAAAUCACACUUCUUUGGGUUCAUUUUUAGCUUAUGGGGCCUCAUCCUUGUUAAGGCUUGUCUAAGGUCUAUCAAAUGCUGCUUUUUAGACUUGGACUUCACCACUAUGUCAUCAAUAUAUACUUCCAUGCUAUGGCCGAUCAAGUCAUGAAAAAUGGCGUUCAUUGCUCUUUGACAUGACCCGGACAUCUAAAACCUGUUUUAUGUAUAUGUUCUUUAGCCAUUUUUAUUUGAUUGUAUCCCGCAUUCCCAUCCAUGAAAGAUAGAACUUUGUGUUUGGCAACUGCAUCUAUGGAUAGGUCAGCUAUGGGCAUGGGAUAUUCGUCUUUAGGCGUGGCUCCAUUAAUGUUUCUAUAGUCAACACAACAUCUAACUGCUUUAGUUAUGGCUUUUAAUACAGGUACAAUGUUGGCCAACCACUCAACAUAUUUGGCAGGCCUAAUAAACUCGGCUUCACCAGCCUUUCGAUCUCCUCAUUGAGCUUCUCUUCAAUUUCUUUCGACAUCCUCUGUGGUGCUUACUUGACAGGUUUAAACCCCUCCUUAAUAAGCAUCAUGUGUUCUACUAGGUUGGAUCUAAACCUAGCAUCUUGGUGUAAUGCCAAGCAAAAAAAUCUUUAAAUUCAUGCAGAAGGUCAACAAUCCUUGCCCGAUCCUAGGUUUCCAACAGACCACUGAUCUGUAUAGGUCUUGAAUCUUCCUCAGUUCCCAAAUCAAUGGUCUCCAAGGGGUCUUGUACUUCCGGGCUGGUUUGUUAAGCUCUGCAAACAAAAACUCCACUAACUCUGGACUCUCGGGCAAAUCUUAUGGCUCAUCCAGAUUAUAUAUACAUUCAGCCAUUUGUAUAGCUGUUUCUAACUCCUUCCCAAAAACUUCUUCUUCUUUCACUUGGCUGCUUGAAGCAUCUCUGCUCCAAUCUUUUUCCUCCUUGGCUGAGUUCUCACUCUCUUGUUUUUUCUCUCUCCCGUACACCAACAGUCUUUUUAUUAAAGGCCUGACUGCAACUACUUGGUCCUUCCUUUUUUGUUCAGACAUUAAUGGUGUUGGGGAGUUAGGAUGAUAUAGGGCCGAUCUCAUUCUUCCUUUGUAAGAAAUAGCCCUUGUUCUAUAAGUUUUUGGGCCGUCACCUUAGUCGGGCGGCCGUUCUUAUCAGCUCCUGAACAUUAAAGAAUCCCAACAUUAGGAUGGUAGAAGUUGGCUUCUGCAACAUUGGCUAUAGGGAGGAAUGGCUGUGAUUCGGCUUCUACCAUUUCCCAGAACCCUGGUCAUGUUUCCCCUUCUUCAUGGUAAACAGCCACUUGUUGGUGUAAGGUAGAUGGCACAGAGAGACUCUGAUGAAUCCAAUCUCUGCCCAGUAAAGUCCUAUAAGUGGAAGUAUUGUCUACAAUAAAAAAGGCCAGCAUGAUUUGUUUAGAACCCAAGUCAACCUCUAAUGGUAAUAUCUCAUGAGUCCUAGUGAUAACUCCCGAGAAACUAGAAAUUGUAAGAUCUGUAGGGAUAAGAUCUUCCUCAUUCCUACACAUUCUCUUCAUCUGCUUGUAUGGCAGCACAUUGAUCGCAACCCCUCCAUUAAUCAAGACUCUCUUGAAGGGUACUCCAUCCAGGUGAGCAAUUAUGUAUAUGGGCUUAAAAUGGUUGGCCAGGGUCAAACUUGGGCAAACAAAGACCAUUUUGUCUGAGUAUAUUCGCUCAGGCUUCUUCAUUGAUUGCUCGGGUAAGCCUGUCUGACUGCGUUCUUCUUGCCCCGUUCCUUCGACACUAACAUGUGCCAUCGUAGGUUUCGUUGCCAAGUAAUCACCCUCCAUUGUGGAAGGUUGAUCAUGCUCGGCGCAAAAAAUAGCUGAUAAAACAUAUGUCAUGUAGGUCAGGGUAAAUCUCUCUCCUUGCCCCCGAUGUGGUUCAUAAACUCAUCCAACCAAGCAUGUGCUUCUUCUGGCAGCAUUAAUUUAGGUAAUGCCUCUUCUUAAGUUAUGCCAAAGUUCUGUACCUGCACUAGGCCCUCACAAAGAGUGUCAACCAGCAAUAGUGAAGGUAUCUCCUGUUCUGGCGAGAUUGUUCCAAAACAAAUUGGCUUCGGGCUCCACUUAGGUGUCAGUAUCAUCACCAUAUCCUCCUAAACUCUCUUCGGGAUUCUAUACUUUCCAGGAUAGAGGUUCUGUGGUACUUGAUCUUCUUCUCCUUCGAUUUUGCUAUUUGCCUUCUUUACCUCCUUCUUAUUCUUCCAUUGAGGUCGACUUUUCCCUUCAUAAGGUACAUUUUUGAAUUUUACAUUCUCCGAGGUUUAUGAAGUAGUGGAAACUUUCAACGAGUUCAUGUGGGCCUUAUGCUAUCUUUGGACUCUCCUGAUCAUGGAGGCUCCCAUCUUUUUGACAGGUAUCCCGUCAUUUCCGACUAUAUACUAUCUUCGCCCGCAUCGGGCAAGAUUCUUCUUUGUGACCGUGUUCACUAUCCUUCCUUUCAUUCUAACAUCUCCACUGGCAUAACUUGGCUGGGGUGGCCUCACAUCCACCCACCUUGGUGUUUUGGACUCUUUGUCCUCCACCUCUUCCGAAUCUUCAUAGUUUCUGAAUAUUUCUAAUAAGUUUUUAGGCUGAGAAUCUCCUCCCAACCUCUGGAAAACGUUUAUAGAGGUUUCCUUCUCAGCUGCCCACAUGAUGUUCAUACGGGUUUCAUGCUUCCUUAUGCCUUCUCUUGAUCAGCUUCUGAUCAAUGAUGGCUCAUGCCGUUGGUACCUCUAGUUCGCAUUCACAUUGACACCUGCUGUAUAACACUACUCCUUUGAUUAUAGCAGCCUUAGGUUUUUUAGGUAGCUUAAUAACUCUUUCAGUUGGUCUUUCGACUAGCCUUCUUUCUGCUAUCACUUCCCAAGUGGCUUUUCCUUUCCCUUUCUCUGCCCAUGUUUGAUCAUGCUUACUAGGACCGGUAGAAAGGGAUUAGUAUGAAUCGUUGUAUUGAUAGGAGCAUAUUUAUGCGACUUAGCUUAUUUUCUUGCAUUUAUGUUGUUAGUUCCUAGUUAUUUAUGUAUUUUAAGCUAUUUUCCCGUGUUUGUAGGUUUAAAAGGCUAAAGUAGCAAGAAAGUGCAUUUUGGAGCAGUUUUGGGUUUGGAAUGGAUAGCAUACUCAUGGAGCUAGGUGGAUGGAUGAAUUUGAAGACCAAAAGAGGCUAGGAUUAUGCUGAAGUUAUGAAGAAAUUAAUUCAAGAAAAGGAAGUAAAGGGUGCAAGCAAGAAAGAAGGAAUGUUAGCCAAAGUUACCUUAUUUUGUCCUAGACUUUCCUAAUCUUUCACCACUUAAUUUCCAGCUGCAAGGGGGAUCUCUAAUUAUUUUAAGACACUAAAUUAUUGAUCCUAGAAGACCUAAUCCCUGCCACAAAGGGUGCCGCACCAAAUCUGUCCAGAAAUACCUUUUCUUGCCGUGCAAGGUAAUCCUUUGUUUCCUAGGAUCCUGCCGCAACCACCUUUCCCUUUUCCCCUUUGAUUCUAAAUUUAAUUACCAUUUUUCCUUGAGGAUUGGUGUAAAAAUCCUUCUCCAAAUUUAAUUAGGUCGUGGUCCUCUCCCUAGCCUAUAAAUAUAUGUUCCUGCCGCACCAUUUGUUGGAAGUAUGCCCACAAAGCCACUCAUUUGAUGUAAUAGCUUUUGGAAUACUUAUUGUAUUAAACUUUUAUAUGUUUAAUGAAGGGCAAAGCUUAUUGUUAAUCACUAUUUAUUGUAUCAUGUGUUUAAGCAAUAAGGGAAUCCAAGGAAUGUAUUUGUUCUAAGAGAGAAGUGAUCUAAUGAGUUAGAUUAUCGAGACCUCUCUCUUAUGUUCAUUCCUAAAACGUUCCUAGCCAUAGGAUUGCCAAUUGGGCAUUGACAAUCCGCUAAGGUUAGUAUGUGUUAUGUUGACUCAAACGUGAGUGUGAACUAGUCUCAAGUCAUUUGGUGUUGGACACUGAGACAAACACAUAGGUGCUCGAAAAAGUAAUCGAGUACACUGAACGUCGAUCAAAAGAGAGUUCGAACAUACAUGUCAUGUAUGAACUCUAAAGUUGCAAUAUGCAAAGUAGUCCUUUGACCUGAGGCAUCAUAGAUGUCUAAUGGUUAGGUCCUUGAUCUUUGAUCAUGUCAAUGGCAUUCCUUCGGAUUGUCCACGGCAUUGUUGGGGUCAAGCUAUCUAGUCAUGUAGGCAUAUGAAUGCACAACAAGGGAUCUCUAACCUUCCAUGGUGGAAGGAGAAUACUCUAAGAUAUGAUUCUAAAGUCUUUGGCCAAAGCAUAUGAAUAUGACUUAGGAAGUUUGUUCCAAAUCAUAUUCAAAGGAAUCAUAUAGGAAAGUAUCACAUUGGAUAGUAGACAUGAAACAAACUAUCACUUAAACAAUGUGAUUAAGAGUAUUGUAUUAGAGAAGGACCGUAUUGCAUUGUAGUUAUAACUGGAUAGGUUCUCCAACCAAUUCUACUUAGCUUGGGUAACCAUGAUAUGCUGCUAGGUGUCACUCAUGGUUUGUGGAAGCCCUGAAGAUUAGCAAGUACUAAUCUUAAGGGACAAUUGAAAUGUGGUUUCAAUUCACAAUCGAUCGUUAAGAGUAACAUCGCCCACUACCUCGCUAAUUGGAACCUAAUGGAUCGCACACCACAUAAGGAUGUUAGUGAAGAAAUUAUAUGAAAUGGAUAAGCAAUUAAAUGGUUUAAUUGAAGAAUGGUCAAGAUUAAUUAAUUAGUUAAUUAAUUAUACGAAAGGUUCGUAUUGGGCUUAUAUGUUGGUUUUGGGUUUCGGGGCCCAAAAGUGUUUUGGUCCACAAGGCCCAUUAUGUUUAAGUUGUAUGACAACUAAAACAAAAUGGGCAAAUUAGCCCAAUAACAAGGAGAGGCCGGCCAUUAGGGUGAAUGGGCAAGCUUGCUUAAUUACAAGUUUGCCACUCACCAAAGAAAAUGUUAUAAAAGCAACUUUAUAGCAAUUUUCUCAUUUAGGGUUUUCUAAUAGAAAUUGGGUGAAACAUUUUCUCUCUUUUUCUACAUAGAGGCCGGCCACUUAGAGGAUUUUUACUAGCAUCUAAAAUCUCUCUAAGUCAUCCAUAUCAUCUUCACAAUAUACAACCUUGGUGAAGAGACUUAGAGACAUCAAGCUUUUGAUGUUUUUGGAGAACAAAUCCUUUUUCCUCUAAUCAUCAAAGGAGCACUAAAGGGAGGAAAACACAAGGAGGAUUCAAGGAGCUUGGAGGUGACUUGAAGGCCCUCCACUUGGGUGAAUCCCUUUUGUAAACAAGGAUGAGCUUCAAGGGUAAAGAAUCACUAAAUCUUUACUUCUCUUUAAUUUUGUUAAAGAGUUUAUUUUGGUUCACCAUAUACUAGGCUUUGAAAGUCAUGGGUUUUAUGAAUUGUUUUUGGAUGCAUGCCUACUUUAAAGUGUUGAUAGCUUGCAUGUGUAUUCAAAUGUUCAUACUUGUUCUUAGCUAGGACAAAAUUUUUCCUUCACCAUUCAUCAUCCACCCUUCACCAUAACUCACCUAUAUCCAUCCACCACCAUAAUUUACCACUCAUCCAUCAUCCCACACCUUGUGUUGCAGCAAAGAAGACGAAGAAGGACCCUUGGACGUGCUUGCCAUUCAAGAUUGGAUUGCUGGAGCGUUUUUAGGUGUUUUCAUUGUUUAUUUUCAAUGUUUAAGUUUAAUUAUCUUUGUUUCGUGAACAUGAGGAGCUAAACUCGUUUUAGCUAGGGGGAAUUUCGAAACCAUGAUCAUAUUUGCAAUAUGAAUUGAUUACAUCCAGUUGUGAUUUUGAUAAAUCGUGAAUGCAAUUUACUUAACUGUUUGAUUGAUAACUUAUUCUUGUAUGUUGAUUAAGGAUGCAUACUUAGUUUGCAUGCAUGAAUUUGAUGCUAGAAUAUAAGGGAGUUUCACCUAAUAGUUAUGAACUUAUAUUCAUAAGUAGUGGAGGUUGCUAGUCACAAUUGUGUUAAGUGGAUUCCUAGCAGGAGUAUCAUGCUCAUCAUAGUUACGAAUGCUUUGUCAAUGCUUAUGAUUUUUAUAAAGCUUAAUGAUCUUUGAUUGUAUCUCUAUUAUGCUGUUCAUGUAGGGAACUUUUGAAGAAUAAUUUGGGUUGCCGAUGCGUUAUCCGUCCAAAUCAAUAACUUCAGGAAAAUCUGAGGGUUAAUUAGUGUUGUUCAUGGUUAAUCUGGGGUGUUGAGAUUCAUGGUUUAUUGAAAAGCAACUGGAAAUCAAUUUGUAUGCAAGUGUGUCAUGUGUGGAGAAGGACCUUCUAGCUAGCCAAUCACUCAUACUUUUUCCCAAAUUCGUCCAAAAUCUGUCUUAAGUCUUUAGUUACUUGUUUUACUUAAAAUUCUUCCAAAACCCAAUCCCAUUUACUUUAGUGUGUCAAAUUAGUUAGAAUCUGUCUUAGUUUGUGUUUUUAAGUGUUUUGAGUCAAGUUUAACUCAAUUUUCAUCCAAAUCAUUCUAUAGUGUCUAGUUUGAGUCUAUUUGAUUGUUUUGUGCUGUUUUGAGUUGUUUAGUUUGUUUUGAGUCAUAUAAGUCUAGUUAAGAGUCUUUGAGUCUAGUUAAGUGUUUUCUAGCCUAGUUUUGUGUUUUAAAGUCAGUUUUAAAUAGAUUAGCAAUCCUUCAUAAUCCUCGGUCCAGAACGAUCCCUACUUACAUCUUGACUGCAAUUGUCAAUAAGAGGGUUCAAUUUAUGUGUUAAGUUAAUUUUCGCAUCAUGUAUCAGCAUGUGGUUCUUCUAACAACAGCUUUAUUUCUGGCCCGCAUUACCCCUACUGUUUAGUGAAAACAACAAGGGGUCAGGCAACUCUUUUUCUUAGAUUUCUUCCAGCACUAGCUGUUUAGUUCUGGAUUCUUCCUUCCUCUAUCCCUCAAGUAAAGGAAACAGAGGAAUAACUGGCUCCUCCACAAGUCUGGCUUCUCUCAUCAUCUUUCUAAUACAGUUAUUUUUUGGGGUAGGGUACUCCAGAUCUAGCCUUAUUUGCAGAUUCCCUAUUAAAGAACAUAGUAUGCUUACCUCUUCUCUUAUCUCUAAAGAGUUUUUCUCCAUGCUUCUUAUGACAACCAUCAUGGUGGUCUGUAGGUCUUCAUUUGUGACCUUCCCUCCUGACUUCUCCGAAGGAGUCGGGCUUUCUGUCAAAACAGGUCCUUGCAAGUCUUUGGGGAGAUUUGCCAUGCUAGAUCUUAGCAUAAACUGGGGUGGUUUCUACUCUAUUUUGCUCCUGACGGUUUGUUAUUUCCUUCAUUUUCUUAACAUACAAAACUUAUAGUCCUACCGAGCGUGCCAAAACUAUGUUCAGGCAAGAAUUUCGCUGGGAAAUGUCCCUGGCUCGAGCACAUAGCUCCCCAAGGAGUUGGCACUUUGGUUGGUUGUCGGGCUCCUGCUUGUUGAGAGGCUGCAAGAGGAGGACAAAGUUAGUUCUGAAAGGUGCCUUUGUAAGGCCUUAGGUGGAGGCAUUGAGGCUCACAAUCAAAACUAACUAAGUGCUGAGGCGUGCCACUAUCAUCUCUGUAUGGCAGAUGUAGAACAAGUGUAUUUAAGCUGAUUACUUGCGCCCCAAGUUAUUCUGACUUCUUGUUAUCAAAGGAUUGUCGUGGAUGGGUUAAGUCCACAUUAAGUUCUUUUCUAUGCCUUGAGACCAAGGACUUUCAGUUCUUUAUCUUGUAUGCUUAAACGGUGAAGGUCUAGAUCUAAUUAAAUCACUGGUUUAGUUCCCAUUUAGUCUUUUUAAUGAUGGUAAACCACUAAGUAAACCAAAUUUGAGCACUAAUGGAACUUUGGAUCAUCAAAAGACUAGAAAUGACUCCAAUAUAUACUGAGGGAUACAUUAUAACACCAAAUCUAUUGAUUUAAAGACAAAACAAAGAGAGUCGGGCAAGAUUUCACCUUGUCGGGCAAGGUUUAAACAUCUUGCGGUCUCUUCUCUUUGUGGCUACAAGGGAUUGAGUACUAAAACGGGAUGAAAUGUGAACAACUUCACAUAAGAGAAUCAAUACUACAACAUUUGGCAAAUGUAGCAGAGCUUUCACACUAGACAAAAGAUGUCUUUCUAAGGGGAAUCUAUGGCUAAAAAAGGUGUAGAAUUUGGACAAAGCACAAUUUUCUGGGUAUUUGCUUGACUGAGAGGCAAGUUGUAUGUUUGUUUGUUUGAUUGAUUGAGUGUCCUUGUCUCUGGGCCCUUUUCCUCCUUUUAUAGACGAAUUAGUCCAACUGUGUUGUUUCUGCCCUUGCCUGAAAGUAACUAAAAGGUAGUGAGUCAUCAGCCUUUUUACAUGUUCUGCCAUCCAAAAAGUACUUUUGGGAGGAGAGUAGGUGGAUUUCCAUCGGUUGUCACUUCUCUUGUAAGCACAUGGCCUUUGCAUUAAAGGGGAGCCUUCAUAUUGUCUUGAGAUGGAUGAUCUGGGCUUGACUCUGGGCUUCGGGCAAAACCUUCUUUAUUGAACUCUUUUGGGCUUUCUUCUUUUGGAGCCCAAAGUUAAAUAUUAACCUAAACAGCAUUUCUCUCACAAGGCUCUAUGACAGUCUCGGCUUAUUUUACAAAACUUAAAGGCCUUUGGGAUGAAUUAGAGACAUAUCGGCCUAUUCUUAUCUGUGAUUAGACAAAGGUACAUAAUGAGCAAAUAGAAGAAGAUCGGAUGAUGCAAUUUCUUAUGGGUCUCAACGAUGUCUAUAAUGGAGUUCGCAGUAAUAUCCUUAUGAUGACACCAUUGCCUAAAGUUCGUCAAGCAUAUUCACUUGUCAUUCAAGAUGAAACACAACAACAAAUGACAUCGGGACCAACUGAAAAUUUCUCAAUCGCUGCUGCAGUCCAAAGUCAAUCGAACCAUUCCUCUGACAGUUUGAAGAAUCUUCACUGCAAAUACUGUGAUAAAGAUGGGCACACAAUUGAAAAUUGUAGGACUCAAAAAUAUUAUUGCAAGUUACCAAAGAGACCACACUGAAGACAGAUGUCGAAUAAAAAAUGAAACCAAUGGCUCUAGUCAUAGGGGAAACCAAGAUAAGAAAUACAUCAACAAGUCACACUCCAGUGGGUCCCAUAGCAGCAAUUCACGUGCUGCCUUUCAUUCUACAAAUUCAGCUGUUACAUCCUCAUCUCUUGCUGCCAACACAGCACAUGGUCCUCAUCUUGCUGCCAAUACAUCAAUUGCCCAUUCUCAACCACACAUGUCUCAAUCAAAUGCUCUGCAAGGACUUUCAACAGAACAGCUUCAAUACGCCCAAGCUGUAUCCAUGAUAAAUUUAAACCAUGCUUCUGGUAAUAACAGUGUUUAUGCAAACGCUGCAGGUCUGUGCCUUUUUACUGUUUCUUCUGUUAAUUCCAUAUUUACAAAGCCCUAGAUUUUGGAUAAUGGGGCCACAAAUAACAUCACCUCAAACUCCUCACUUUUCAAUAAAACCUAACCUUCACCCAUAUCUACUGUUAAAUUACCCACUCGCUCUUCAGCCAUAAUCACUUCCUCCGGCACCAUACCAUUCAAUCUCGAUAUCAUAUUAGAUAAUGUUUUGUGUGUUCCUUCUUUUCACUUAAAUCUCAUGUCUGCUAGCCAAGUCACUAAUUCUCUAAACUGUUGUGCCAUUUUGUUUCCCACCUUUUGUGUUUUGCAGGACUUGGCUACAGGGAAGAUAAUUGGAUUGGGUAAGCAACGUGAUGGUCUUUACUACAUGUCGUUGUUGCAACGAACACCCAUCUCCUAUCAAGUUUCCCACUCCUCCAAUUUAUGGCAUAUGCGACUUGGCCAUCCUUCACCUACUCGCCUUAAAUUAGUAUUUUCCUCAUUAUUCUCGAAUAAUAUUUCUUUUGAUAAUAAUUGUAACAUUUGUCUCAUAGCCAGACAAACUAGACUUCCGUUUCCUUCAAGUUUUAUAUCAACUCAUAAUCCAUUUGGUUUACUUCAUUGUGAUAUUUGGGGACCUCAUAAAAUUCCCACACAUUCAGGGGCUUGAUUGUUUCUCACCAUUGUGGAUGAUUUUACUAGAUGCACAUGGAUAUUUUUUAUGAAAUAUAAAUCUGAAACUCAAGACCUUUUAAAAUUGUUUAUUACCUUUGCUCAUACUCAUUCAUGCCAAAAUCAAAGCCAUAAGAGUCGACAAUGGGUCUGAAUUUUUGUCCAUGAAAGAUUAUUUCCAAAACAAUGGCAUUGAAUAUCAACGCACUUGUGUCUACACCCCGCAAAAAAAUGGAGUUAGUCGAACGUAAGCAUAGGCACAUCCUCACCGUUCCACGUAGCUUACUGUCCUAAUCUCACUUACCCCUUUCUUUCUGGGGCGAAUGUGUUUCCACCGCUGUCUACCUCAUUAAUCGAUUACCAUCCCCUUUGUUAUCUAAUAAAUCUCAUUUCGAAUUAAUAUACAAGCGUUCACCAUCUUUUGAUUACUUGAAAAUUUUGGGUUGUUUGUGCUUCUCCACUGUUGUUCACCCCACACACAAAUUUGACCCUCGUGUUAGGUGUUGUAUUUUUGUUGGUUACCCAUCUGGUUAGAAAGGUUACAAACUUUAUGAUUUGGAGACUAAAACCUUCUUUGUCAGUCGUGAUGUUAAAUUUUUUUAACACACCUGUCCUAUCCACUCUAUGUCCCCUUCACCCCCCCCCUCGAAGGAUAUCUCUGCCAUACCAUCCAUUCUCAUCUCAACUGACACACUUGACCUCUCCCACACGGCACCCCAUAUCCCCUCCAUUCCACAACUCACGGACCCCACCCACAUUAAUAUUUCACCUCCCAUCACUUCAUCCACUCUAUCUCAUCCUGAAGUCAUCCCAUCUUCUCCUGGACCCCACCACUCCAUCAAUCAUCAUUCACACCCUCAUCACUUUUAUAACCCCCCCAUCAGACUCUCUCCCUCCCUACACCGAACCUACCCACCAUUUCCUCCCCAUUCAGUCAGACACCUCUUCUUCUCUCGCCACAUCAUCCUCUCCACCCAUACGCCAAUCCCAUCAUCCUAAGCAACCUCCGAUUUGGCAUAAAGACUAUCACGUAACUAACCAAGUCAGUCAUUUUCCUUCGCAGCCUCAUCCUCCCUCAAGUACUUGGUAUCCUCUUUCUAAUUUUCUUUCAUACUCACAUCUUUCUCCUACCCACUAUGCUUUUCUAGCUACCAUUACAAGUCUCACCAAUCCCACUUCCUAUGCUCAGGCUAUCCUUGAUCCCAAUUGGCGACAGGCUAUGCAUGAUGAAUUAGAGGCUUUACAACACAAUAAUACCUGAAGCAUGGUUCCCAUGCCUGCUAGUCACAAACUCAUUGGAUGCAAAUGGGUUUAUAAAAUCAAAUACAAGUCUGAUGGUACCAUUGAACGGUACAAGGCUCGUCUUGUUGCAAAUAGAUACACUUAAGUUAAGGGUGUCAACUAUCAGGAAACUUUUUCUCCUACAACCAAACUCACCAAUCUCUGCUAUCUCCUUACGGUAGUUGCUGCCCAUCAUUGGUUUGUCCAUCAAUUAGACGUUCAAAAUGCCUUUUUACAUGGUGAUUUGCAUGAGCUUGUAUUCAUGAAACCUUUUCCUGGUCUUCGCUGACAGAGGGAGAACAUUGUAUGCCAGCUCAACAAAUCUCUUCACGGACUCAAACAGGCUUCUAGAAAUUGGUUUUCCACAUUUUCAGCUACCAUUCAGACAGCUGGCUAUCAACAAUCAAAAGCUGAUUAUUCUCUUUUACCAAGGCUCAAGGUACUUCAUUCAUUGUUGUCCUCAUCUAUGUAGAUGAUAUACUUCUUACAGGAAAUGAUCUUCAAGAGAUGGAACGACUCAAAACAUUUCUUCUCACACGCUUCCGCAUCAAAGACCUUGGUGAUUUAAAAUAUUUUUUGGGGAUUGAAUUCUCUCGUUCUAAGAAAAGCAUUUUCAUGUCUCAAAGAAAAUAUGCACUAGAUAUUUUGCAGGAUUCUGAACUUACGGAGGCACGUUCAGACAAGUUUCCAAUGGACAAAAUUUGAAACUCGCUCCCACUGACAGAGCAUUGUUAGAUGAUCCCACCAAGUACAAAAGACUAGUCGGACGAUUGAUUUAUCUCACUGUCACCAGGCAUGACAUAGUCUUUUUAGUUCGCACAUUGAGUCAAUUUAUGCAUGAGCCUUGCAAACCUCAUUGGGUUGCAUCUUUACGAAUUCUCAAGUAUAUCAAAGGCACUCUUGGUCAAGGCUUGUUAUUCCCUGCCUUUGAUAGUCUUGAAUUAAAGGCCUUUUGUGAUUCUGAUUGAGGAGGUUGUCGUGCCACUAGAAGGUCAGUUAUAGGGUAUUGUGUUUUUCUUGGAAAUUCUCUCAUCUCAUAGAAGUCCAAGAAACAAGACAAUGUUUCCAGAUCGUCUGCAAAAGCCGAAUAUCGGGCUAUGGCGAACAUAUGUUUAGAAUUAACUUGGUUGCACUAUAAUUACAAGAUUUGUAAAAGCUCCUAUACCAUUAUUUUGCGACAAUCAAGUCGCCCUGUAUAUUGCAGCUAAUCCCGUUUUUCAUGAGCAGACAAAGCAUAUUGAAAUUGAUUGUCACAUUGUUCGAGAAAAACUGUAAGCUGGAAUGAUUAGUCCUUCACAUAUACCUACAUGUUUCCAGUUAGCAGAUUUAUUUACUAAGGCCUUGGGGAAAGAUCACUUUGUGACACUACGCGACAAGUUGGGACUUCAUAAUAUUCACUCUCCAACUUGAGAGGGAGUAUUAGGAAAUAUUAUACGGUAUUAUAUGUAAAUAUCUUGUAUUAUAUUUACCUAAAUAGGUUUGAGUCAAAUCCCACUAAAUAUGGGUCACUGUUCCCUAGCCUUUAAAGUAGGGUUGAAUAGUUGACUUAUGAUGUAUAUAUUGUACAACAAUGUAACAAACGAGGUAUACAAUCUGCCAUUCUCAUAGCUUUUUCAGUGUUCAGUCACUUUAACACUUGAGGUAAACUAAAUAUAUACAAUUUCAACAAACCAAUGAUUUCUUGCGAUAUGAUACCGCUAAAACUAUUCUCACCGAGAUAUAAGAGCCUUAAAUUCUGACACUCUAUUAAACUUGGCAGAAUAUUGCCUGGAAGUUGUUGCCUUCUAAGCUUAAUUCAUUUAAUUGACUUAAAUUUCCGAAAUAGGAUGUAAGAUUGCCACACACAGAGAAUGACUAGGGGGAAUGUGACCUGAUAAUUGUUGGAUAUAAGUCAACAAUCUGUGAUAUAAUUAUAUAUGCUAAUAAAUAAUAAAUGCAAAUAGAAAAAUUAACAGAGUAUGAACAAAACAAAAAUAUAAAACAAACAACUUGAAGAUCGAGGCUUGGGAACCGCAAUGUCCUUGAAACAGAAAUUUUGUCCCUACUCAGUGCUUGUAGUUCUACGGACGUCUACUUCACCAGGAUUCAACGAUCUAAGUUAGAAUUCCAACACCAGAAAACUAGACUUCUAGCGAAUUUGUUUCUGGUGUUCUCAGUAUGCUUGGUAUAUGAGGAUUGAUGAUUUUUUGUGAUUUAAAUGAUAUGCAGAUGCAUGUAUUUAUAGUGAACAUAUGUCUGUUCGCAACAGACAUGUUUUUGGGAGGCGACUGUUCAACGUAAAAGGUGUGUUGCUCCAUCUGUUUAUCAGAUACACUCUCAGACUUCAUCUGAAAAGAUGAGUCUUUCCAUAAAAAAUAAUUUAAUUAAAUUCGAAAUUAAUUAAAAAUAAUUAAUUAAAGAAUUUAAUUUUCAGAGCCCAAGAGCCCCAAGACCCAUCUUUUGAUAAUUAAUAAUAUAUUAAUUAUUAAUUAAUUAUCAAUUAAUUUAUUACACCUCAAAGCCCAACCCCAAGAGUGAGCCCAAUUUUAUUCUCCAAGGUCCAUCACUCCAAUCACUUUCUAUAAGAGACAAAGCCUUAUAAAGUGAGGAAACCUUGUGGUGGUGAGCAAUGUAGGACAAUGAAAUUCUACUCAAAAUUUCCAACAAUACAGUUGAAAUUUCAUUCAAACACCACCAAUUUACUUAUAACACCCCACAUUUGAAUGCAAAUGUAUGACUAGGCUACCUAAAACUAAGAGAGAAUAGACAUGAUAUGCAUUGAGUGAAGUGUCUUUUGGACUUGAACUUACCCUAGUGAAAACAUAUCGGGUUUACUUGGUGACGCAGUGGAUGUGGAAGAUCUUGAACUAUUCACCGCAGUAGUAAACCGAGACAAUAUGCUACACACAUAUCAUGUCUGCCACACGUCAAUUCAUACGGUUGUGUUCAUUUUGGCCCUGAACAGAUCCUGGAUUUCAUAGGAGCUUUUGAGAAUUUAGCCAUUUCAAUUCUCAUAAAUGCGGCCCCAUUUACUCCUAUAUAGGUGACAUUAAUUAAGAAUAGUCUGCCAUAUUCCUCUUGAUAACAAGAUAUUAAUGUCAUUAAAUGUAUAAAACAUAACCCCUCAAACUUCAACAGACAACACACAUUUAUCAUAAGAAUGGGUAAGUUAUGUGUUCAACUUUUGAAUCAAACUGAACCAGUUUGCCUAUUGAACCUAGAUCAUGGGAUCUCCAAUCAGCUAGGUUAGGUUCCGCCCAGUUCGAUUCAUUGAAUUGGCUUGAGACCCAUUCUCCUCGAUGUAAAUAAUAUUUGCUCUCUUGGUAGGCCUUUUGUUAAAGGAUCAGCUAUAUUUUCCUUUGACUUCACAUAAUCAAUGGAUAUUAUUCCAUUGGAGAGCAACUUCUUAAGAGUAUUACGUCGACGCCUGAUGUGUCUUGACUUCCCAUUGUAUACAUGACUUUUGGCCCUUGAUUGUGCGGCCAUACUGUCACAAUAUAUAGAUAUAGCAAUUACAGGCUUUGGCCACAUUGGAAUAUCCUCCAGAAAAUUUUUGAGCCACUCGGCUUCUUCGCCAACCAAGUCUAAAGCUAUAAACUCGGACUCCAUGGUGGAACGAGCUAUACAUUUCUGUUUAGAGGAUUUCCAAGAUAUUGUUGCACCUCCCAAGGUAAAAAUAUAUCCAUUUGUCGACUUGGAUUUUGUAGUGUCAGAAAUCUAAUUGGCAUCACUGAAGCCUUCUACAACAGGUAGAGACUUUGUGUAGUGUAAUCCGCAGUCAAGUGUAUUUUUUUCAAAUACCUUAACACUCUUACUAAAGCAUCACAAUGCUUUUGUGCCGGAUUACUUGUAUAUCUACUAAGCCUACUUACUGCAUAAGCUAAGUCGGGCCUAGUUGAAUUCAUCAAGUACAUUAGACUUCCAAUUACUUGAGAAUAUUCAAGUUGAGAUAUGGCAUUGCCUUUAUUUUUCUCCAACUUGCAUCCAGCAUCAAAAGGAGUUGUCGCAGGUUUGCAGUCAAAUUGACCAAACCUUCGUAAUAUUUUUUCUGCAUAAUGGGAUUGUGUAAGGACAUACCCUUCACUAUUUCUCUUAAUUUGAAUUCCUAAAAUGACAUCGGCUUGACCUAAGUCUUUCAUGUCAAAACUUGAAUUCAACAUUUUCUUUGUUUUGUUUAUUACAUCUUUAUCACUUCCCAUUAUGAGCAUAUCAUCCACAUACAAGCAGACAAUAACGCAAGUUUUAUCAUUACUCUUAAUGUAGACACAUUUAUCAGAUUCAUUUAUUUUGAACCCAUAUGUCAACAAAGUAUGAUCAAAUUUCUCGUGCCAUUGUUUUGGUGCUUGUUUAAGUCCAUAUAAUGACUUAACUAAUUUGCACACUUUGCUUUUGUGUCCUUUAAGCAUGAACCCUUCAGGUUGUUCCAUGUAUAUUUCUUCAUCUAGUUCUCCAUUUAAAAAUGCUAUUUUUACAUGGAUUUGAUGUAUAUCAAAGUUGUAUACAGCCGCAAUCGCUAUUAACGUCCUAAUUGACGUUAUGCGAGAAACUGGAGAAUAGGUGUCGAAAUAAUCCAACCCUUCCUUUUGGCGAUAACCUUUGGCUACUAAACGUGCCUUGAACUUAUCAAUGGUUUCAUCCACCUUAAGUUUCUUCUUGAAAAUCCAUUUAUGGCCAAUUGGUUUGCUACCGGGAGGUAAAUCAACCAAUUCCCAUGUGUUAUUUUCCAUAAUGGAUUCCAUUUCACUUUUAAUUGCUUCCUACCAUAAAGAAGUCGGAAGAAGACAUUGCUUCUUUAAAAGUUCUAGGUUCAUUCUGGGACAAGAAAGCAAUGAAAUCUGGUCCAAAGUUUUUAGAAACUUUGAUUCUUUUUCAUCUUCUUGGUUCCACAUCUUGGACACCAAAAGAAGAGGCUUCAUCAUGACUAUGAUCAUGAACCCUCUUUGUAUUAGAACCAGAUUCCUUAUCUUUGUAAGGAAAUAUAUCCUCAAAGAAUUCUACAUCCGCUGAUUCUAAUAUAGUGUUAACAUGUAUGUCAGAAAUCGAUGAUUUUACAACAAGGAACCUAUAAGCAGAACUAUUAUUUGCAUAUCCAAUGAAUACGCAAUCAAUAGUUUUAGGUCCUAGUUUCGUUCUUUUUGGUAACGGAACUUGCACCUUUGCUAAGCAACCCCACACUUCGAGGGUUUUAUAAGUGGGUUUAUGUCCUUUCCAUAGUUCAUAAGGUGACUUGUCAAUUUUCUUUAAAGGAACCUUAUUCAAUAUGGUAUUUGCAGUAAGUAAAGCUUCACCCCACAAACUAUGUGGAAGCCCUGAACUAUUUAACAUGGAAUUAAUCAUAUCUUUGAAUGUUCUAUUUUUUCUUUCGGCUACACCAUUUUGUUGUGGUGUGUAUGGAGUCGUUGCUUAUGUAUAAUUCCAUGUUAUGCACAAAAAUCUGAGAAGGCAGUAGACUCAUACUCUCCUUCUCUAUCAGAUCUAAGUGCUUUGAUUUUUCUCUCAAGUUGAUUUUCAACUUCAGCUUUAUAUGUCUUAAACAUAUUCAAAGCUUCGUCCUUGCUAUGAAUCAAAUAAACAUAGCAAUACUUACUGCAAUCAUCAAUAAAAGUGACAUAAUAAUUCUUUCCUCCACGAGUUCAUGUGGAUUUAAACUCACAAAGAUCACUAUAAAUUAAUCCAAGUAAUUCAUUUGAUCUUUCCAGAAUUGACUUUCUCGUUUGCCUAGCAAAUUUCGAUUUAGUACAUGUUUCACACUUAUGAUUAAAAUCAAUUUCGAAUUUAGGUAGUAAUUCUAAUUUAACCAUUUUUUGCAUGGAAUGAAAAUUAACAUGUCCUAAUCUAGCAUGCCAAAUAUUAGAAGACUCAACAAUAUAAGUAGAAGCAUUUAUUUUAUUAGCAUCAUCAAUGGCAAUUACAUUGAGUUUCACGAGGCCCUCAGCCACAUAACCCUUUCCAACAAACAUCCCACCCUUGGUAAGUACAAAUUUGUUGGAUUCCAUUACAAGUUUAAAGCCCUUAGCAAUCAGAAUAGAUCCAGAAACCAAGUUCCUCCUCAUUUUAGGAACAUGCAGCACAUUCAGCAAGGUGAGACUCUUUCCAGAUGUGAAUUUGAGUACCACUUUGCAUUUGCCCUCCAUCGCAGAUGCGGCAGAAUUACCCAUAUACAACUUUUCUCCAUGGGCAGCAGGAUGGUAUUAGGUGAACAGAUUUUUGUCAGCGUAGAUAUACUUAGUAGCACCAGUAUCCAUCAACCAUUCACUCACAUUUGAGACCAUGUUGACCUCGGACACAACAACAGCCAAUUCUUCAUUGGUGGUUGCCAUGUUAGCAUGGUUGUUGUUGUUUCCGUUGGCAUGAUUUCCAUCAUUGCGAUGAUAAUAAUCUUGUGCCUUGUGACCAGAUUUGCCACACACAUAGCAUGCGCCCUUAAUCUUCUUCAGAUUCUUGCCUUUGGGAGCAAGGGCAGAUUGUACUAAUUGCUUGGUUUUCGGAGCCUUAUUCUCCUUCGGCUUGGCCUUGGAGUUUCCUCCCUCAACAUAAUUUGCAUCGGCUUCAAUGGCAGCAAACCUACUGUUGGAAGUAUGCCCACAAAGCCACUCAUUUGAUGUAAUAGCUUUUUGGAAUACUUAAUGUAUUAAACUUUUAUAUGUUUAAUGAAGGGCAAAGCUUAUUGUCAAUCACUAUUUAUUGUAUCAUGAGUUUAAGCAAUAAGGGAAUCCAAGGGAUGUAUUUGAUCUAAGAGACAAGUGAUCUAAGUGAGUUAGAUUAUCGAGACCAUUCUCUUAUGUUCAUUCCUAAAACGUUCCUAGCUGUAGGAUUGCCAAUUGGGUAUUGACAAUCCGCUAAGGUUAGUAUGUGUUAUGUCAACUCAAGCUUGAGUAUGACUAGUCUCAAGUCAUUUGGUGUUGGACACUAAGACAAACACAUAGGUGCUCGAAAGAGUAAUCGAGUACACUGAAGAACGAUCAAAAGAGAGUUCGAACAUACAUGUCAUGUAAGAACUCGAAAGUUGCAAUAUGCAAAGUAGUCCUUUGACCCGAGGCAUCAUAAAUGUCUAAUGGUUAGGUCCUUGAUCUUUGAUCAUGUCAACGGCAUUCCAUUGGAGUGUCCACGGCAUUGUUGGGGUCAAGCUAUCUAGUCAUGUAGGUAUAUGAAUGCACAACAAGGGAUCUCUAACCUUCCAUGGUGGAAGGAGAAUACUCUAAGAUAUGAUUCUAAAGUCUUUGGCCAAAGCAUAUGAAUAUGACUUAGGAAGUUUGUUCCAAAUCAUAUUCAAGGGAAUCAUAUAGAAAAGUAUCACAUUGGAUAGUAGACAUGAAACAAACUAUCACUUAAACAAUGUGAUUAAGAGUAUUGUAUUAGAGAAGGACCGUAUUGCAUUGUAGUUGUAACUGGAUAGGUUCUCCAACCAAUUCUACUUAGCUUGGGUAACCAUGACAUACUUCUAGGUGUCACUCAUGGUUUGUGGAAGCCCUAAUGAUUAGCAAACACUAAUCAUUAAAGGGAGAACUGAAAUGUGGUUUCAAUUCACAAUCGAUCGUUAAGAGUAACAAUCGCCCACUACCUCGCUAAUUGGAACCUAAUGGAUCGUACACCGAGUAAGGGCGAUAGUGAAGAAAUAAAUGAAAUGGAUAAGCAAUUAAAUUGUUUAAUUGAAGAAUGGUCAAGAUUAAUUAAUUAGUUGAUUAAUUUUACGAAAGGUUCGUAUUGGGCUUUUAAGUUGGUUUUGGGUUUCGGGGCCCAAAAGUGUUUUGGUCCACAAGGCCCAUUAUGUUUAAGUUGUAUGACAACUAAAACAAAAUGGGCAAUAAGCCCAAUCACAACAUAUAGGCCGGCCAUGGUGAGGAGAUGGUGAAAGUUUGCUUAAUUGCAAGUUUGCCACUCACCAAAGAAAAGUGUUAUAAAAGCAACUUUAUAGCUAUUUUUCUAAUUAGGGUUUUUCUUGGUGAAAUGAGGUGAAACCUUUUUCUCUCUUUUUCAACAAGGAGGCCGGCCACUUAGGGGAGAUUAAUCUAGCAAUCUUUUCUUCUCUAAGUCAUCCAUUUCAUCUUCACACUUAACCCUUGGUGUGGAGACUUAGAGACACCAAACCUUUGGUGUUUUGGAGAUCCUUUCCUUUCAUCCUCAAGGACCAAAGGAGCACAAAAGGAGAAGGAAAUCACAAGCAAUAUCCAAGGAGCUUGGAGGUGACUUGAAGGCCCUCCACUUGGGUGAAUCCCUUGUGUAAACAAGGAUGAGCUUCAAGGGUAAAGAAACUCUAAAUCUUUACUUCUCUCUUUAAUGUUGUUAAAGAGUUUAUUGGUUCACCAUAUACUAGGCUUUGAAAGUCAUGGGUUUUAUGAAUUGUUUUGGAUGCAUGCCUACUUUAAAGUGUUAAUAGUUUGCAUAUGUAUUCAAAUGUUUAUACUUGUUCUUAGCUAGGACAAAAUUUUUCCUUCAAGUGGUAUCAGAGCCUAGGCCUAGUUUAUGGUGAAUCCUUUUGGGUUUUGUGAUUUUCAUAUUUUGUGAUUUAAAUGUUGUAAAUGUUACAAGCUUUGUUCUUGCUUUUGAAUAUAAAUUUUGCUAGAAAAUUUAGCAUCUCAAAUGUUGUAGAUGUAUGUCAUUUAAGCAUGAAUAUUGGAACUAAAAUUUGGUGCCAUGUAUGUUGGGAAAUUCGGCCAAAUCCAUAGGGUGAUUUUUUGGGUUCAUGUUUGUCUUGUUAAAAUGGUUUUAAAGUGACUUUUGGAACCCCUAAGUACCCUAGGAUAUUAGCCCUCUUUUGAGUGGUGAAAAAUUGAGUUUUGGUGAGUGAAAACAUUCAUGGAGCUAUUAUGAGUUUUCAUGAGUGUUCUUCAAUGUUCUUGAAGUUCUUGCCAAGAACAAAAAGUUUUGAAGUUUUGAUUCAAAAGUUUUAUGUUUUUCAUAAAGUUUUGGUUUAUUAUUUGAUGGUUGAUGGUUAUUGGUGAGAUGUGAUGAAAUGGUUUUAAUGUUUGUCAUAGACUUUAAGUUUUCUUACAAACCAUCAAUUUCACCUUUACCUCACCCACCAAAAUCAACUUGCAAAAACUUUUUAGAAAAUUUUUUCAUUUCUUCUCAAAUGGCCGGCCACCCCCUAGUGUGGGGGUACUUUUGGGGUCUUUUAUGCAAUUACAUAAAGUUUUGAUACUUUUGUGUAUUUGCACUUUGGCCUAAAAGUUUACGUUUUUACGUUAAGGCCCAAAAACUCUAAAGGACAAAUUGUUUUGCUCCUUUAAUGAUGUUUUUACAUUAUUAAAAUUUUGGGAUCUAGUUGUAUUUACAUGAAGUUGUGGACUUUUGUAUUUUUACAAAGUGACCCCAAAAGUUUAUGUAUUUGCAUUGUGGCCCAAUUGUUGUCGUCAUAGUUUCCUUUUGGCCCAAAAGGAUGAGAACAAAAUUGUUUUGUCUCUUUAAUGAGAAUUGGAUUUUCAUUUCAUUUAGUUCCAUUUAAAUCAAUUCUAUGGAUCCAAAAACCAAUUGUUUAAAGUUGUUUUCUUAGUUAAUGUGAUUGAUUAAGAAAAUGGUGAUUAUGAACCAAAGGCCUCGAUAAUUGAGCUAUGUGAUUGGCCGAUUUACAUUAUGAAUGUUUGGGUUUAGUAGUGUAGAUUUGAAUGUAAUUUGAUUAAUUCAAUUUGUUGUAAAUGGACAUAAGUCCAUCAUUUGUGUUGUAAAAGGGCGUAAGCCCUUCUUAUUAUUUCAUGUAUUCCUUUUUGUUUAUAUGUAUGCAAAUUGGAAUAGUUGGGUCCAACGCCCAAUAGGAAAUAACGGUUUAAUUGGAUUAAACGCGUAACUAAAAUCAAACAACUACCUACCUUAGACCCAAGGUCCAACACAAGGCUCGUGUUGGAUCAAAUUGAACGGUUCAUAAUCAUCCUAAAACCUAAUAUGACUAUAUAGUCCAUAUGAGGAUGCAAAGCAUUCGUUAGUAGUUCCAUAUAGUCUCACUUAUUUCUUCGAAAAUAGUGGGAGUAUUAUAAACUACUAAAUUCAUAUUAAACUUGGACCAAUGGUUGUGAUAGGCCCAAGUUCUUUUAAAAGAUUAAAAUGAUUUUGAUGUAGCCCAACACUACUCCCUCAACAAAACGAAUAUUAAGUUGAUAAGCGAGAGAUGUUUUGAAUAUCUCUUCGUAGGCCUUCCACCGUGGUGGGUUCCAAUCGUUUGUGACUCAUGCACCGGUUUCACCCUAUCAUAGGGAAGUACAAAGUAUGUGCUUACAUCCAGGAGGAGUCCAUAAACAUAUGAUGAGGUGAGUGUAGGCAACGAGGAUAGCCGACAUCGUAUCAUCGUGAGGCUAUUCUUGAACCCCUUCACAAACUAAGCAUGGUGGGAAUAACUUAACUAAGUGCAAUGGAGCCGAUAUCGUAUCAUCAUGAGGCAACAUUCUCUAGAGGCCAAACGAGAUGGGUAAUUACAAAUGUUGUAAAUAAAUAAAGCGUUAUUUUCUCAUCAUUAUUUUUGCUAACCGAUAUCGUAUCAUCGUGAGGUGGGCUUGGUAAUGGUGAGUCUCCCAUACCCCGCUAAGAGUUCAAUAAAAACUCUCGAAUUCCAUUGAGGGAUGUGGAAUUUGCCAAAAAUAGUGGGUGGUACUAUUUGAUUCAAAGACCCAAUCAAAUAGUUUUAAACAAACAAUCUAAUACGAUUUCUGUUAUGUUAUGUAGUUAACGACAUGCCUAAAAUUAUACCCACCAUUAUACUUGACAAAAGGGGCCUUAAGGGCCAACGUUUCCUUGCUUGGUAUCGCCACAUUGAGAAUGUCUCAAAGGUGAAAGACAUAUUGUAUGUGCUUAAGCAAUCCCCUCCUCAUGUACCUCCUACGAAACUAGCUUCAAAGGAGGAGUGUCAAAAUUAUGUUAGACACUAUGAGGAUGACUUACAAGCCAAAUGCUUAAUCCUCACUUCACUUAGUAAGGAGCUUAUGAAGCUACAUAAGCACAUGGACACUUCUUGUGCCAUGGUUGAAAGUUUGCAUAAGAUGCAUGACAUUGAGACUAGUAAUGUACGAUUCUCAAAUGUUUGUAGUCUAAUGAAUGCCAAAAUGGCAAAGGGGACAUUGGUCCAUAAACAUGGACGAAAGAUGGAAAUGAUCUUUCAAGAUCUUCAAAGUUUAGGAACUUCCAUCGAUGGGAAAAUGGCCCAAGAUUUUUUCCUUGCAUCUCUCUCGGAUGAUUUCACUAAGUUUAUUGUAAACUAUAAAGUGAAUAGAUUCGAUCAUUCUUUAAACGAGAUGAUUGACAUGUGCUGUAAAUUUGAAAAAGGUUUCAAAAUGGAUAGUGGGAGUGAGAAUGCAAACACAAGGAAAAGGUUGCAUAAGAAGAAGGCAAAGAAAUCCAAAGGAACAUGCUUUCAUUGUGGAAAGGAUGAACGUUGGAAGAAGAAAUACAGGGUGCGCAUUGCGAGCCUUAUGACACAAACUUUUGAAGAGACUAUUUCUGUCAUAGAGAGUUCUUUUACAGUGAGCUCCAAUUCCUGGAUAUUUGAUUCAGGCACUAGUCAACAUAUCUGUAAUACGAUGCAGGGACUAGAGGGGAGCAAAUCACUGAGCAAUGGGGAGAUGGUUGUGCGAGUUGGGAACGGCACUAAAAUCUCUGCAAAAGCAAUAGGCACCUACAUGCUUAACCUACCCUCUGGGGAAGUCCUGGAACUUAAAAAUUGUUUAUAUUUUCCUUCAUGUAUAAAGAAUUUGAUUUCCAUCUCUAAGCUUUUACGAGAUAGGCACUCAGUAUUGUUUGACAAAAUGAGUUGCACUUUAUACUUGAACGGUCGUAUUAUCUCUCAGGGUAAUAUGAUAGAGGGACUUUUUCACCUAGAGACGAAUAGUGGGAUGCACUAUUUGCAAGCGGGAAUACCUCAAAACCCAAAAGGGCUAGAGAAGAAGUUAACCAAGAAAAGAUGUGGCAUCUUAAACUUGGACAUGUGAACCUUGAUAAGAUUCAUAAGAUGUCGAAAGACGGAUAUAUCCGCCCAUUAGGUAAUGACCAGAUGGGUAUUUGUGAAUGUUGCUUGAAAGGGAAGAUGACCAAAUCUCCAUUUACUGGAAAAGGAGAGCGUGCCACUGAAAUUCUAGGGUUAAUCCACACUGACGUAUGUGGACCUAUGUCUACUACAUUGAGAGGAGGCUUCUCCUACAAUAUCACAUUCACCGACGAUCACUCUCGGUUUGGCUAUGUGUAUCUUAUGAAGUACAAGUCAGAAUCCUUUGAAAGGUUCAAAGAAUUCAAGAAUGAGGUUGAGAAGCAAACUGGGAACAGAUAAAGAUCUAAGAUCGGAUCGAGGGGGUGAAUAUCUGAGUAAUGAGUUCCUAGAUUAUCUCAAAUAGUGUGGAAUAAUAUCACAGUGGACUCCACCGGGGAACUCCACAAACUUAAUGGAGUUUCUGAAAGGAGAAAUCGAACCUUGAUGAACAUGGUUCGUUCUAUGAUGAGUUCCGCUGAUCUACCAGUAACAUUCUGGGGAUACGCUCUAUAUACAGCAGCUUACUUGCUUAAUAGAGUACCUUCCAAGUCAGUUUCACAAACGCCUAUGAGAUAUGGCAUGGAAGAAAGCCAAGUCUUAAUCACAUUAAGAUUUGGGGUUGUGAAGCAUAUGUCAAGAAGCUUGAAGCGAGAUCAGUAAGAUGCUAUUUUGUGGGAUAUCCUAGAGAAACUAUGGGAUAUGAGUUCUACCAUCCUGACGACCAGAAAGUCUUUGUCGCCAGAACUGCUAUGUUUCUAGAGGAACAAUUUGUUCUCAAAGGAACUGUAAGCAAACAGAUGGAAAUUAAUGAGAUUAAUGAUGAACCACAAACAAGCACUCGACGAGUUGACAACCCUGUUCCUGAACCCCUAGCUCCACGUAGAUCUAAACGGGUUAGUAAGCCACCUAAGAGGUAUGGCUUAGACAAUGAAUUUGCGGAAUUGCACCUUCUAGGUGACAAUGACACAAAGGAGGACCCUAGGGACUACAUUGAAGCAAUGUCCGACAUUGAUUCAAAGAUAUGGCAAGAGGCCAUGAAAUCCGAGAUGGAUUCCAUGUAUCAAAAUCAAGUCUGGACUCUUGUAGACCCUCUAGAAGGUAUUGUACAUGUUGGAAACAAAUGGGUCUUUAAGAGGAAGAUAGGCGUUGAUGGGAACGUGGAGACUUAUAAGGCUAGACUCGUAGCCAAGGGUUACAAGCAACGAGAAGGGAUUGACUAUGAAGAAACCUUCUCUCCUGUAGCCAUGAUUAAGUCCAUUCGGAUUUUGCUUGCUAUAGCUGCGUACCAUGAUUAUGAGAUAUGGCAAAUGGACGUGAAGACGGCCUUUCUGAACGGCUACCUAGAGGAAGAGCUCUAUAUGACUCAACCCGAAGGUUUCGUGUCCAAGUCUGAAAAGACUAAGGUAUGCAACCUUCAAAGGUCCAUUUAUGGACUUAAGCAAGCCUCCAGGAGCUGGAACAUUCGUUUCGAUACUGAAAUCAAAACGUUUGGUUUUACUCAAAACGAAGACGACAAUUGUGUUUAUCAAAAGGUCGUUGGGGAAGCAGUUGUAUUCCUAGUGUUAUAUGUAGAUGACAUAUUACUAUUCGGGAAUGACACUGCAAUACUUUCUUCUGUAAAAGUGUGGUUGUCCAAAACCUUCCACAUGAAAGAUUUAGGAGAUGCAUCUUAUGUACUUGGGAUAAAGCUCUAUCGUGAUAGAUCCAGAAAAUUAAUUGGAUUAUCCCAAUCUAUGUACAUUGAUAAAGUGUUAAGUAGGUUCCAGAUGGAACAGUCUACGAAAGGUUUUCUUCCUGUUAGACAUGGAAUUCACCUUUCUAAGUCCAUGGAACCUAAGACUCCUGAAGAGAUACGGCAAAUGAAUAUUAUUCCUUAUGUUUCUGCCAUAGGGACUCUCAUUUAUGCCAUGAUAUGCACAAGGUCUGAUAUCGCAUAUGCUGUGAGCAUUACUAGUCGAUAUCAAUCUAACCCAGGAUUAGAACACUGGGCAGCUGUCAAGACGGUCCUUAAGUACUUAAGAAGAACUAAAGACAUGUUCCUCGUAUAUGGAGGAGCGGCAGAGUUUCGGGUGGAAGCCUAUACAGACGCAGAUUUCCAAUCUGACGUCGAUGAUAGAAGUUCCAACUCUGGAUAUGUAUUCACUCUGAAUGGUGGGGCUGUGGGGCUGUCAGUUGCAAGAGCAAGAAACAAAGUGUAAUUGCUGAUUCCACAACAGAGGCUGAAUAUGUCGCUGCAGCUGAAGCCGGCAAAGAAGCGUUCUGGAUGAAGAAGUUCAUCACUGAACUUGGAGUGGUUACAACCAUUACAUCACCAGUAACUUUGUACUGUGAUAAUAGUGGGGCGAUAGCUCAAGCCAAGGAACCCAGGGCACAUCAAAAGAACAAGCAUUUUGACAGACGCUUUAAUAUCAUUAGAAGAUAUGAUGCCGAGGGGAAAGUCAACAUCCUCAAAGUUGCUUCAGCCGAUAACGUAGCAGAUCCACUGACAAAGCCAAUGUCUCAAAUCCAGCUUGACCGUCAUAUGGAAAAGAUGGGUAUUAGAUACAUGGGAGGAUGGCUUUGAGUGCAAGUGGGAGAUUGUUGGAAGUAUGCCCACAAAGCCACUCAUUUGAUGUAAUAGCUUUUUGGAAUACUUAAUGUAUUAAACUUUUAUAUGUUUAAUGAAGGGCAAAGCUUAUUGUCAAUCACUAUUUAUUGUAUCAUGUGUUUAAGCAAUAAGGGAAUCCAAGGGAUGUAUUUGAUCUAAGAGACAAGUGAUCUAAGUGAGUUAGAUUAUCGAGACCAUUCUCUUAUGUUCAUUCCUAAAACGUUCCUAGCCGUAGGAUUGCCAAUUGGGUAUUGACAAUCCGCUAAGGUUAGUAUGUGUUAUGUCAACUCAAGCUUGAGUAUGACUAGUCUCAAGUCAUUUGGUGUUGGACACUAAGACAAACACAUAGGUGCUCGAAAGAGUAAUCGAGUACACUGAAGAACGAUCAAAAGAGAGUUCGAACAUACAUGUCAUGUAAGAACUCGAAAGUUGCAAUAUGCAAAGUAGUCCUUUGACCCGAGGCAUCAUAGAUGUCUAAUGGUUAGGUCCUUGAUCUUUGAUCAUGUCAACGGCAUUCCAUUGGAGUGUCCACGGCAUUGUUGGGGUCAAGCUAUCUAGUCAUGUAGGCAUAUGAAUGCACAACAAGGGAUCUCUAACCUUCCAUGGUGGAAGGAGCAUACUCUAAGAUAUGAUUCUAAAGUCUUUGGCCAAAGCAUAUGAAUAUGACUUAGGAAGUUUGUUCCAAAUCAUAUUCAAGGGAAUCAUAUAGGAAAGUAUCACAUUGGAUAGUAGACAGGAAACAAACUAUCACUUAAACAAUGUGAUUAAGAGUAUUGUAUUAGAGAAUGACCGUAUUGCAUUGUAGUUGUAACUGGAUAGGUUCUCCAACCAAUUCUACUUAGCUUAGGUAACCAUGACAUACUUCUAGGUGUCACUCAUGGUUUGUGGAAGCCCUAAUGAUUAGCAAACACUAAUCAUUAAAGGGGAGAACUGAAAUGUGGUUUCAAUUCACAAUCGAUCGUUAAGAGUAACAAUCGCCCACUACCUCGCUAAUUGGAACCUAAUGGAUCGUACACCGAGUAAGGGCGAUAGUGAAGAAAUAAAUGAAAUGGAUAAGCAAUUAAAUUGUUUAAUUGAAGAAUGGUCAAGAUUAAUUAAUUAGUUGAUUAAUUUUACGAAAAGGUUCGUAUUGGGCUUUUAAGUUGGUUUUGGGUUUCGGGGCCCAAAAGUGUUUUGGUCCACAAGGCCCAUUAUGUUUAAGUUGUAUGACAACUAAAAACAAAAUGGGCAAUAAGCCCAAUCACAACAUAUAGGCCGGCCAUGGUGAGGAGAUGGGUGAAAGUUUGCUUAAUUGCAAGUUUGCCACUCACCAAAGAAAAGUGUUAUAAAAGCAACUUUAUAGCUAUUUUUCUAAUUAGGGUUUUUCUUGGUGAAAUGAGGUGAAACCUUUUCUCUCUUUUUCAACAAGGAGGCCGGCCACUUAGGGGAGAUUAAUCUAGCAAUCUUUUCUUCUCUAAGUCAUCCAUUUCAUCUUCACACUUAACCCUUGGUGUGGAGACUUAGAGACACCAAACCUUUAGUGUUUUGGAGAUCCUUUCCUUUCAUCCUCAAGGACCAAAGGAGCACCAAAGGAGAAGGAAAUCACAAGCAAUAUCCAAGGAGCUUGGAGGUGACUUGAAGGCCCUCCACUUGGGUGAAUCCCUUGUGUAAACAAGGAUGAGCUUCAAGGGUAAAGAAACUCUAAAUCUUUACUUCUCUUUAAUGUUGUUAAAGAGUUUAUUGGUUCACCAUAUACUAGGCUUUGAAAGUCAUGGGUUUUAUGAAUUGUUUUUUGGAUGCAUGCCUACUUUAAAGUGUUAAUAGUUUGCAUAUGUAUUCAAAUGUUCAUACUUGUUCUUAGCUAGGACAAAAAUUUUCCUUCACCUACCAGAACGGUCUGCCUUUAUGUGGUCUUUUUCCACUCGUAGCCUCAGAAUCAAAUCCUCCAUAUUCAUCUCACGACGCUUGUGCUUGAGAUAAAUUUUGAAGUCAUUCCAGGAAGUUGGCAACUUUUCGAUUAUCGCCCCAACUUGGAAAUGCUCAUUGACCUCGCAUCCCUAGGAGUGCAGUUCAUAGAUCAAUUUCUGGAUUUCUUCGACCUGAGAUACAACAGAUUUCGAAUCCACCAUAGUAUAUUUGAGAAACUUACCGAUAACAAAUUUCUUUGAACCGGCAUCAUCAAUCUUAUACUUUUUCUCCAGGGAUUCCCACAACUCCUUUACUAUCUUGCACAGAGAAUAAAUGUCGUAAAGAUUGUCAUCCAAACUAUUCAGAAUAUAAUUCCUGCAACAAAACUUGGAAUGAUUCCAAGCUUCAAUUGCCAUGACAGUCUCUUUCGUUAUUGGAUUCUCAUUAGACUUCGAAGCUUCUUCCUUGACAACAUGAGCGAGAUUCAUUGUUGUCAGGAAAAACAACAUCUUCUGUUGCCAUCUCUUGAAGUCCAGCCCUUUGAACUUCUCAGGUUUUUCAGAGUAUUUUGGCACAGCGUCAUUCACAUUCACAUAUUAUUGAUCCAUAAAUUUCUGUUUCAAGAUUGUUAGAUAUAAGUCAACAAUCUGUGAUAUAAUUAUAUAUGCUAAUAAAUAAUAAAUGCGAAUAGAAAAAUUAACAGAGUAUGGACAAAACAAAAAUGUAGAACAGACAACUUGAAGAUCGAGGCUUAGGAACCGCAAUGUCCUUGAAACAGAAAUUUCGUCCCUACUCAGUGCUUGUAGUUCUACGGACGUCUACUUCACCAGGAUUCAACGAUCUAAGUUAGAAUUCCAACACCAGAAAACUAGACUUCUGGCGAAUUUGUUUGUGGUGCUCUCAGUAUGCUUGGUAUAUGAAGAUUGAUGAUUUUUUGUGAUUUGAAUGAUAUGCAGAUGCAUGUAUUUAUAGUGAACAUAUGUAUGUUCACAACAGCCCCAAGGCCCAAGGCCCAUCUUUUGAUAAUUAAUAAUAUAUUAAUUAUUAAUUAAUUAUCAAUUAAUUUAUUACACCCCAAAACCCAACCCUAAGGAUGAGGCCAAUUUUAUUCUCCAAGGUUCAUCACUCCAAUCAUUUUCUAUAAGGGACAAAGCCUUAUAAAGUGAGGAAACCUUGUGGUGGUGAGCAAUGUGGGACAAUGAAAUUCUACUCAAAAUUUCCAACAAUAAUUGGUUCUCAGCAUCCCUAAAACCUCUAAGUUAGCCAAAUUUACAAUCUCUUUCGGAAUACUUCCUAAUAUUUUAUUUUGUGCAAUAUGGAAUAUUUGAAGAGAGGAAGACAGGUUUCCUAUGCAUUGAGGUAACGUGCCCCCAAACUUGUUGGUAAACAUUUCGAGAAAUUCUAAAUGGGUGGCAUUGCUUAAAUCACAGAGAAAGGUCGAGUCGUCAAUUCCCCCACUUCUGAGAUGGUUGUCAGCAAGGAUUAACCACUCAAGCAUAUGCAAAUUUGUCAAAUGAGGGACCUUUUCAUGCGAUGAUGGUGGGUCUCUUGGUCCUGCUUGUAGGGUGAGUCUCAUUGACUCUACGUGAUUGUCGUUGUGUGAAUCUUUCACGUGUGACCUACUAAUUGGAUCUCACAUGAUGAAGCGUGUUGAAAUGUCUCACGUCGACCGUAUCAAUGACAAAAGAAGAGUUUAAAUAUCAUAACUUCACUCCAACUAACACCGAGACUUUUUGUGAUAAAACCUCAUACCUGACGGAUUGUGAAUAUGGUAAUUAACAAAUUUGGGAUAAUAUCGAUGUUGUUAGAAGUGAGUCUUUGGCCCGUCUCUCUGAUAAUCAUACAAGACCAACUUUAAGGUGAUCAUGUUAUAAAUAGGCAAAAGUAGAGAAAUAACCUUUGCUAAGAACGAGGACGAAGUGGUGCAAAAUAUCACACUGACAAAAGUAUUGCAGAUAUUAGAAAAUGAGGGAUACUGAGAGUAUUAUAUUUCUUCCUUUUCUCUUCUUGAUAUUCUUCACACUUUGAACNNNNNNNNNNNNNNNNNNNNNNNNNNNNNNNNNNNNNNNNNNNNNNNNNNNNNNNNNNNNNNNNNNNNNNNNNNNNNNNNNNNNNNNNNNNNNNNNNNNNNNNNNNNNNNNNNNNNNNNNNNNNNNNNNNNNNNNNNNNNNNNNNNNNNNNNNNNNNNNNNNNNNNNNNNNNNNNNNNNNNNNNNNNNNNNNNNNNNNNNNNNNNNNNNNNNNNNNNNNNNNNNNNNNNNNNNNNNNNNNNNNNNNNNNNNNNNNNNNNNNNNNNNNNNNNNNNNNNNNNNNNNNNNNNNNNNNNNNNNNNNNNNNNNNNNNNNNNNNNNNNNNNNNNNNNNNNNNNNNNNNNNNNNNNNNNNNNNNNNNNNNNNNNNNNNNNNNNNNNNNNNNNNNNNNNNNNNNNNNNNNNNNNNNNNNNNNNNNNNNNNNNNNNNNNNNNNNNNNNNNNNNNNNNNNNNNNNNNNNNNNNNNNNNNNNNNNNNNNNNNNNNNNNNNNNNNNNNNNNNUUCAUGCUUCCCCAAACUACCUUUCUGUUUCCUGACUUGAGAAGGGUCAACGUCGUAGAAUAUUGGACACACUAUUUUCCCCUCUUGUUCUUUUAGGCACCUCAUGAUUUUCGACAGCUCCCUCAGGCACCACCGGGACUCCGCGUACCCCUUCGAGAAGACGAGGAGGGCGAUUCUCGAUCCUUCGAUUUCUUGGUCAAGUUCACUCUGUAUGGUUUUCCCCCUUGUGAGCUGGUUAUCUAUAAAAGUGUUAAUUCCGGCAUUGCGUAAUGCAAUGAAGAGGUGGUUUGUAAAGGCGUUGCGGGUGUCUUCGCCUCUAAAGCUCAGGAACACCUCGUACUUCCAGCGGUUUGAGCCAGCUUCACUGGCGGAGCUGCUGGUAUCCAUUGCAGCCUGUAGAAGUGCAGCUUGGCGUUCAAAUAACCAACGUCAAGUCUUUUCCCAAGAUUCCCAAGUGUUGGUGGCCCUUUUAAAAUUUUGCAUGGGCCAAUGAUGUCGAUAACACGUGAGUGCUAUUCCCCCAAAGUUUAAUUUGUAUAAAUGUUACCAUCAAAUUUAAAUAUUUUACCAUGCAAUUUCCUCUUUUGUAGUUUUUUGAGAAAUCUGCCGCCCCCCCCCCCCCCACUUUGACCAGUUGACGAGAUUAUUGUAUUUUAAGGGUGGUGCGCAGGUCGGUCCAACUGUUGGAGUCACGCUAAAAUACGCAUUGGAAUUUGGAAGUUAGAAAGUAAAAAAAAUUAUAAUAUUCAGACGUGAAAUUUUAAAAGUGUUCACGAGAGAACAAAAAUGAAAACAUUUACUCGAUUGGGUUAAGGCAUGGUCCAAUAGAACUUAUAGGCUUAAACACCGCAAGUAACCAAAUUGGACAUGGGUCUUAUGACCCAUCAGAGCACAUUAAAUUGUGAAAAUUGCACCUGCGCGUUAUUCACACGUUAGUGUAGUAACUUCAGAAAGAAUAAUACUUGAGUACUUAUUGAAAUUACCGACCCAAUGAAAUAAUUAAUAAAAAAGAACCAAUCCCAGUGACUACCCAAAUUACACGGCGUUAAAUCGUUAACCUUUUGGUUUCUAAAUUACACGUGCCGCUCACUGAAAUGAUCAGAGUUUUGACUUUCAUUUCUUGAAAGCCAGCUGCACCAAUUGGUAAUCGAUGGAUACCAGCAGCUCCGCCCAUGGAACCGCCAUCGCAGCCUCUUCGUAUUCCCCGUGCCGCUCAAACCGCUGGAAGUCCAAGGUGUUCCUGAGCUUUAGAGGCAACGACACACGCACUAACUACACAGACAAUCUCUCCAUGCGUUACGCUAUGCCGGAAGCAACACGUUUAUAGACUACCAGCUCAGAAGGGGGGAUAAUAUACAGAGGGAACUUGACCGAAAAAUCGAAGGGUCCAGAAUCGCCAUCGUCGUCUUCUCCAAGGGGUACGCGGGAGUCCCAGUGGUGCUUGAGGGAGCUGGCCAAGAUCAUGAGGUGCCGAGAAGAUCAAGAGGGCAAAAUAGUCUAUCCAAUGUUCUAUGUCGUUGUGAGGAAACAGAGUGGUGGUUUUGAGGAAGUUCGGAAGCAUGCAAGUGAUGAAAAUCCAAACGAACAAUCAGUGGAGAAAGGAUCUUAAGGCUUCUUUCCGGCGACGGGUAUAAUUCCUUCUUUAACUCCUUCUUUACAAUUUUUUGAUGCUCAAAUUUACUCACUUAUAAUUCAAGGUUAGAAAUCCGGUCGUAUAUAGCUUAGUUAAUCACAUGGAUCAAUCUAAUUUACUCAAAUCUUCUUUGCUCAGAAAAUAUGAAUCUUGCAGUUGCAUGAUGAAUUUCACUUUUGUAUAAUUUUGAAAUUUAAUUGCCAGGCGUGAAGGGUUGUUUAUUGAGGAAAUUGCUAGGGACAUCAGAGGACUACUGAUAACAAACAGACUUAAAACAAGCCAAGUGCCCAGUUGGAAUGGAUUUUCUUGUGCAAUAGUUGAGUACUGAAUGCUUAGAUGUUGGAGAUUUGCUUGAUGUUCAAAAUAAAUGGAAUUUGGGGUUUGUGCAGUAUAGGUGAAACAAUAUACUUGCGAGAGCUAUCUGUAGCAAAUAUCAUCGUUGCUUUGGUGGUCAAUGUUUCCUUCAAAAGGUGAGGAGUAAAAAAGAAAAGUAUGGUUGCUCUGCAAGAACAACUUCUUCGAGGUGUUUUGAAACGGCUGGAGACAUUAAUGUGAGCGGUGUUGCCGAAGGAACCAAAGAGAGAGAGAAAAGAUUUGGAAGCAUGAAGGUGCUUGUCGUCGUUGAUGGCAUAGAUGAUGCUGACCAGUUAGAUGAAUUGGCGAUAAAACAGGAAUCGACUAUGUUUGUUAAGAUUCCAGCCACCCAAAUCUGCAGAAGCCUUAAGAUCCUUUCUCCACUGCUCGACCUCAUUUGGAUCUUCAUCCCUUUCAUGCUUCCAAAAUGCAUUUCCAAAAAAUACCACUAUUUCCUCACUUGAGAAGGGUCGACGUCGUACAAUAUUGGAUAGACUACUUUCCCCUCUUGAUCUUCUUGGCACCUCAUGAUCUUGGCUAGCCUCUUUGAGAAGACAGACAAAGUAUUCCUCGACCCUUUGAUUUCUUGGUCAAGUUCACUCUGUGUGUUUUCCCCUCUUCUGAGCUGGUAGUCAAUGAGCUUGUGGAUUCCAGCAUUGUAUAAUGCAAUGGAGAGUGGUCUGCGAAGGUAGUGUGUGUGUCGUCGCUCUAAAGCUCAGGAACACCUCGUACUUCCAGUGGUUUGAGUGGGCACAGGGAAGACGAAGAGGCUGCGACAUCGGUUACAUGGGCGGAGCUGAUGGUAUCCAUCGAUAAUUUGUACUAGUGUUGGGAGAAUAGAGGAGUGCAGCAGGCUAUGCGGCUUGGCUUUCAGAUAGCCAAAGUCAAGUCAAACUUCAUCUUCUAAGUAUUAUAGAGAAACAAAAUGCGUGGAUUUAUAUGAAUAUGCACGCGUAUGGCAUUGCAUAUAUUUAUUACAAACAUAUGGUAACACUUAAUUUUUUAUGUGUGAAGUAAAAUAUAUGAAUUUCUUACAUUGCCUUGUUUGUUUGUUUAUACAUAUUGUGAAAUUUUUAUGGACUUAGUACUAUCAGUAUUUGUCAUUAUCUGCUAGACAACACAUGAUUAUGCGUGUCAAUCAACGCUUAGGUUAGACUGCAUAAUAUGAAUUUGACCAUAUCAUGAACUCAUAAAGGAGUGAGAAUGAGGAUCAACUAGCCCGCUUAGUUUAUUUGAUUCAUUAUAUUCAUGGAUUGGAUCACGAUCGAAUGUUAAGAUGAUACCCAUGCUUUUUCUGAUUCUACACAAGUUAGUAAUUCAAACGACUUCAAAAGGAGUAUUUUAGUAAAUACGGGAAAAUCAAGAAUCAACAUGACGUAUACGUGGCUCCCCAUAUCGAAGAAAAAAGGGACAUUGCACGUACUUAUAAGUUAUUAAACUCACAAGCAACUGAACAAUCAGAGCCAGAUGUCAAUAACGAGUAAUGGGAUUGUAAUGCUUUCAAUAUUCAAAUCAAUUAACAAGCUCAUAAGAGGAGUUUAGGUUUAGGGUCCCUCAUCAGAUGAGUGAUGGCUGGUUUAGCUCUGUCUGCAACGUCAAUAGUGUCAUCAUCAGUGCAUGUCUUCAUCAGGCAGUAUUCAUGGUAUAGUUUGAUAUCGUCACCAGACUAAUAUGGCUGGUUUAGCUCUGUCUGCGACGUCAUUAGUUUCGAUUUCUCGCGGUCAAGUUCUGUCUUUAUAUUCACACCACCCCCCCCCCCAACUCCCUUUCUGAGCUGGUAGUCUAUAAACAUGUUGAUUCCGGCAUUGCGAAAUGCAAUAUCGAGGUGGUCUAGUGCGUGCGUCGUCACCUCUAAAGCUUAGGAACACACUUCGUACUUCCAGCAGUUUGGGCACCACAAGGAAGACGAAGAGGCCGCUGCGGCAGCUAGGCGGAGUUGCUGGUAUCCAUGCAUGCAGCCUGAAGAAGUGCAGAUUGGCCUUCAAAUAAUCAAAGUCUUUUACCAAGAUUUCCCAGUGCGGGCGGCAUUUUAAAAUUUUUAACCCCAAUAAUUUACGAAUUUAAAUCGUUUAGUUACAGGCAGGGGCGGAUCCACAGUGGGGUCGUCGGGGUCGCACGACCCCUUGGAAAGCAUGGAAACAACCUUGAAGCUCCCAUACGCGACCUCUUGGAGCUGGGGUCGUCGGGGUCGGAGUCACACGCCAAGUGUUCGACAAAAAAUCCUGAACGAAGCUCGGCACUGCAGGAAGAGGAAGAAGAAGAAGCAAGCUAUUACUAUGCCAUACGGAUAUGCUUGAGUUUGCAUCCAUUGAUGAAUUCUGCAAAUACCACAUUUUGAUCCGUCUUUUGUUUCCCUAAGCCGGAUGUUGGAUGCUAUGGCGCUUCUCAUUCCUCACCUUAAAUGCAAUUGUGUGCAGGUGAUGAAGAGACCUGGUUGUAAUUAUAAGACCGCUCGAGUUUGAGGAGGUGAAUCCUCAAGGAAAAGUAGAGGAUCACAAACAGAGUGGAAAGAAACAGAAACAGAAAAAGAGGAAUAAGAGUAACAAGAGUAAAAGCGGUAGUGACAGAAUUGUGACAAAGGUGAAGACUAAGCUCAAGAGUUGAUUAAUACAAAACUGUUUUCGGGUUUUUUUUUUCUUUCCAGUUCCAUUCUUUCCAUGGCGUAAGCGUCAUCAAUUUUCUACGUUUUGGAAGAUGAAAGAGUUAGAAGAGAAGACAGAUCGAGCGGGGAUGCUUAAUCUAUGCGUGCUGGUAGAAAUUCAAUUGCCCCAUAAUUUUUUGUAUCUUUUAAUUCUUUUCUCUUCUCCUGUGUUGCAUGCAGUAGUUUGGUAGAAACUGUAUCAGCUAUGUAUUAAAGCCAUUUAACUUAUCCGACACUGCACCAAACGCCCGACUAAUGGAGUUAGUACUAUCCGACGACUAUUUAUCUUAUCCGACUGAAAUAGUCAGUACAGUCCGAAGUACCAAACGAGGUUAAAAAAAAAUUUUCGCGCUGCGCGCGCUAUGACCCCCACAAACAUUAUUUCCUGGAUCCGCCACUGGUUACAGGUAUGAAGUUCUGUAAUUAAUCUUUUAAAAUUCGUAGACCUUUCGAGGUCAUAAUAAUAAUGAUUUCAAAUAGAGCUCGGUCUCACAAACGGAUAGGCGAAAACCGUUCGUGAAACGGAAUUAUAAUGAGAGAGAUGUAAACGAUUAAAGUCAAGAACAUUUAAGCAAUUUUGAUCUUCAAAUCCCGAAGCCUCCAGCUUUGCUGGAGCAGGAAGGGUGUGGUGAUGAAGCCACGUGUGUGGCUGUGAUGGAAAGAAGAGAAGAGAAAGGCGAGAAAAAGGUGAAGGGGGACUGCCCAAUCAGAAAGAAGAGCAGGAGAGACAUGAGAGAAGUGUGAGGCACUCAACCCGGACCCCCGUUCCUUGACCCGUUCACACCGCGACCCGAACCGCAUCCCGGCUUUUAAAUACAGCGCUUUCUUUUCAAAAAAAAAAAAACCUCAUUGCACGAUAUACUUGACAACGCAUGAUAUACAGUAACUGGUAAUUCAAAUAAACUCCAACUUCCUUAGUAGUAACCAAAUUCGAUCUGGGUCUUACGAUGACCAAUCUCAAACAUCAAUUGUAAUGCUUUCAAUAUUCAAAUCAAUUAACAAACUCAUAAGAUGAGUUUAGGUUUAGGGUACCUCAUCGUUAGAUGAGUGAUGGCUGGCUUAACUCUGUCUGCAACGUCAACAAUCUCUUUCAUCAGUUUAUGUCUGAUAGUCCUCGUCAUCAGUAUCGUCGCCAUACUCAUACGGUACACGCUCAUAGUCCACGCCCUUAAACUCUAUAUAUGAAAGAUCAUAUUCUAGAAUUCCAUCAGACAAAUGACAUUCUGUGAUACCCACUCCAGUUUUCUUCACCUUAAUUUGAUGAUCAUCCUCUGCUCCUUUAAUUAAAGUCUGCUGUUACAAAAACCACGUUGCCGCCUUCGGAUUCAGCUUCUUGUUUGAAAGAUGUCCCAGCCAAAGAUGACAUUCAUGGGAGGCAGUUACGGUGGCCACAAUUGGCGAAAUGACAAAAUGAGUUCGCUGGGAAUGAUUAACAACAUGAAUGCAUAGAGACCCAGUACAGCCGGAGUGGUCCCCGGAAUAAACUAUGCACACAGCCAACCCUCUUAUAUUAACAGCAGUCCUUUGCCGCACUUCAAAAUUUGAUAGUUUCAUCCUCAUUCACGACAUAGGUGAACCAGUAAGGAAUAUCCAUUCCAGAGAGAAAAAGCCCGCCUAAUGCUCUCGUAAUCCAGCCCUUGGACGAGUACAACACCAUUGAGGCUGGUGGAGGAGAUGCUUGCAGAGAUCAGCAGUGGACGAUGAUCUCGACCAAACUCUUGAGCUUUGGCAACAGCCUGAAAAGUUCUCAUUAUUCUCAAUCCAAUUGCCGUUUCCUUGGGGCAUCUCCUCGAUUUUCUUACUUUCUCCUCCAUUUGGAAGCUUCGGGUCAUUAAUUUUUUCAGCUUCAUCACAAGAUGCUCCGAUUUGGACCCUGUAAGGAAUGAAAUUGAAUUUCCUGUUCAGCUAUUUAAAGUUUCGUCAAUAGCAAUUGAGUAAGAAACAAGUAUGUUCAAGCUUAAUAAACAAAUCACAACAACAUUACAAAUCAGAAACAUAUACAGGGUAAUGCAGUUAUAUCCAAGUCUUUUGUGCUUUCUCCACAAAAGUUCCUCCAUGUUAAUGUAACUCUAUAUCAAUAAAUCUAUCAUACAAGACUAUAAAUAAUCAGCAAUUGAAAAAUAUGACAACACAAGCUUCCAUCCGGUGAAUAUUUCAUCCAAAACAGUAAGCCAAACCAAAAAUGUACAAACCUCCAAAGUCGUUCUAUAAUCUCUCCCUUCCCAAUAUGCUGAUCAAAUUCUGGCACAUCAUCAGGAGUGACGUAGCCAUACCUUCAAUUAAUAAUACAUAAUAUUCAAACUCCUUCAUCAAUCGCAAUACGAAAAAAUUUUAAAUUGUUAUGAUCCGGAUAUUACCAAUAGCUUGUUGUACUUCCAUCUGAACCUGGGAUGUAGAUAAUCAAGUUUCCAUUGUGGCCUCCAGUGUGAUAGCAAGCAGUAACAAAUACCUGAUUCGUCCAUCCUCGCAGCUCAGCCUCCUCUUCGAACUUAUCAAUGAGAACACGCGCACUAUCACGAUUCCAUUCUUCUCGACUACAAUGUGCACAUACAAAUACAUGGGAGCCAGUCAACGGAUCUUGCACUCGGGAAGCCCAUGGUUUGUGAUUCACAAGGACAUCAUCAACAAAGUUGUCCACAUCCGACUCUUUCAAGCCCCUUUGAUCAACAAACAAAAACAACCUCAGAAUCACAAAAAGGGAUUUACAAGCAAGGAAUUAGUCAUAAACUGAGCCAUUAAAUUCAAUUUCUAGAACUAAUUUCAGAAGCUAACACGUAUCUAAUUAUCUAUUUAGUUCAGUAAAUUCAUGUUGGUUAUGGAAUGGGCGCUCGAUUAUGAAUUAAUUACGGUUUGCCAGUGUGUGUGUUAGUGUGGGCCGUGCUUAACAGCAGGGUUGGGCUGCUGCAUUUGGGCCUCCGCUGACGUUGGUUGCAGAGAGAGAGAGAUGGGGAAAAGUAUGGGGGUGGGUUAUGUCCACUGCUGUGUAUUGCCUAAUUAGUUAUUUACAUUUGCUUAUUUAUCUCUGUAAAGCUUUCAUGCUUGGAUUUUAAAUGUAUGGUUCAAUUAGAAACCUUUAUAAUGUUGAUGUUAUAGAACAUUCAACAGAUAUACAAGACUAUUGUGAAACAAUUCGUAUAACCUCAAAUUACAAUGCUUAAAAACUAAAAAGUACCGAGUUAUGAAUAAGACUAUUGUGGUAUUUUGUUACCUUAAAAGCAGCUGCAUACGCUGCUUGUAAAUUCGACAUGCCUUCGAAAGGUAGCUUGUUAUGGAUGAGUUCCCACAAUACAAUUACAAAACUGUAAGCAUCCACCUUAUGAUUGUAAUGCUUCUUUUCUCCGUGUCGUAAUGUAACUCUGCUGUAAAGCUGCCACCAAAUACAAAGGUGGAAAAUUAAUUUGCUGAUAUCAAACACACUCACAAGACAUAUGAGAAAACAAAUUUUCAACCUUUGAAUGACCAAUUUAAAGUACCGUAUCUCAGGAGACAUCCACCGGUAUGUCCCAGUUUCAGCGGUCAUCAUCUCUGUCAAUGACUCUUCUCUUGCUAAGCCAAAGUCCGCAAGUUUGACUGUUUUUUGGUCGGCAGUCAAGAUCAAAUUCUCUGGGAAAAGGACAGGACAAAAGUGUAAGAUUGUGGAACAAACCCUGUUUUCGGAAAUAAGCUUCGUCCUAACAAUAGUUCCAUCCCCAAGCCAAAGAAAUGACAGUUAUGUGAACUAAAGCAAUUCGUUUUGUGUUCCUGAAGUUAAUUCUGCUACGGAAGUCUUCAAUCAUGCUGAAUACUAAACUAUCAGCUACCUAAUGCUAAAUAACAAUCCUUCGGAUUUCCAUAUUUGAGACAUGCUCACAGAUAGACUUCACUUUAAUCCUUCUUGGUUCUUCUAUGUAGGCGUUCCCCCCUUGACUCUCCUAACGUCGAGCUAAGUGACUUCGUUCAAAGGUCAACCUUUCUGUUAAACAAAGAACUAAACAACGUACCAGGUUUCAGGUCACGGUGAAUGAUACCGUGGGAGUGUAAGCACUCCAUAGCACGAGCAAUGUCAAGCGCAAACCCAACUGCCACGCAUGUGUCCAAGCACCUUGGCCGCAUACUGAACAAGUAUUUGCGCAAAGUUCCACCUAGAAGAAGCUCAGUCACUAUGACCAUGACAGGUUCUUUGCAGGCACCAAUGAACUGGUAAUACAAAGUUAAAAAUCCCCCAUCAGAUAUCACAAAUACGCCUAUUUAGUAAUCACAAAUACUUAUCGAAAACUAGACAACCUUCACUAAGUUCUUGUGUUGCACUUUCGACAUCAUUGCCACUUCCCUCGCAAACCGCGCUUCUCUCUUGGCAAUCUGCUCUGGGGUUUCUCCUCUAUGAACAAUUUUUACAGCAACAUUUUGAUUCUUAUAUCUAGAACAAACAAAACACAACAAACAAACAGAUUAAGAACACAACAGAACAGAACAUCAUCGUUGUAACUCGACACGAAAAACACAUAUUCGGCAUCAUAAACACCAGAAUUGCACAACACCAAAGCAAGUUUUGAUCUUUGAUUAGUUCUGCUAAAACCCAACUCAAUCUUGCAUUUAUGUUUAACAAGAUCUAAGAGAUAAUAAUAAAUUGCUAAACUUGAGAGACCAGAAAUUCAGAAUCUAAGACAAAACAAACACAGAGGUUGUACUGAGGUUGACUUACUUUCCUUCGUACACUUUGGCAUGCGCGCCUUCCCCAAUCCUCGGACCAACAAAAAGAUGCUUUGGAUCGAUUAGCCACUUGGCAUCCAAAUCGAAAUCCGCAACUGAAUAAACCCCAUUACCAGAUCCCAUAAUUUUCCCUCCCUAAACUUCUAAAACAAGAGCAACAUACACUGACUAAUUAACCAAAACAAAGGGUACCCUUUAUUUGUAGGACUACAUUUGAAGUAAAGAUGGAAGCUUUGGUCUGGAUAAAAAUGGAAAAAAAGUAAUAAAGUAAGGAGACUUAUGUAUGAUUGAAGAGGGAGAAAGAUGAAGACUUUCUAUUUCUAUAAUAAAAGGACAUGCUUGGUACGGUAGGUUUCGGAAAACAGACCCAUCCCCAGGAUCACGGUUGAGGAUCCUACAAAUCUAGGAUGUGCCUUUUGUUUGGGGGGCAAAGAAUAAAAAUCCAGAGGCACCCAACAACAACCCUACAAUAGAAAAAUGGUCACUGAUGAGAGCUCUAUCAGUGGGAGUGGAUUAGAUUUAUUAUUGAGAAUUGGGGAGAGAGAGGAAAUGAGUAGAAGAGCAAGCAGAUAGAGUUGAGCAAGGCAGAGGAGGAUGAAACUGAGAGAAUCCAGGUGGAGAUUUGGGAACUUGGUGGCGGCGACGGUGGCGGUGGGUGGGUGGGAAGUGAGUUCAGUUGAGAUUAAUUUAUUGGCCUUCUCCGCGUCUGGAAUUUUACUGUCUUGUCUUCUGGAUCCAGAGAUAAACUAGUCUCUGUCAGACAAUAGUGUGUUUCCUUUGUUUUUCCCUUAUUUAUAGUUGCAACCGGAAAAAUUUAUAAAAAGAGAAAAUGUAAAGUGAUUUCUAAAUUUUUUUUUUUUACAAUCUUCAAAUUUUGCAUCGCUAAAUGAGACUGUCCAUAUAUCUUUAACUACUAGUUUUGAAUAAAUAUUUCUUUACUAAAAGUUUACAAGGUAACUGAUAUGAUUACUUGGUUAUAAGACUUUUGAAAAAAAAAAUUAAAAGCAUUUUGUGUGUAAUUUACUAUAUUCUACAUAACUUUUCAUUUAUUAAUUUAUUUAAUUUAAUUUGAUAUUUUCACUCUCUUUUGAUUGAUUAAGAGAAUUUCGUUGAUACGUAGUUUAGAUUAUAAUAAAAUAAAAUAAUUACUAAAUAAAUAGUUUUUUUUUUAUUAAUAUGAUAUUAUGUACAUUAAGUGGUGGAGGGAGUGAGUUAAGCUUCACAAUGAGACAGUCAUAAUAAUUUGGUUCGAAUUCACUUUGAUGAAAAUCGAACUUAAAACCUCUCAUUUAUGAGAGAUUUUUCAAUUUACUAGAAACACGUUGUAAUAAUACAAUUGGUUGGAAAUUUAAAAAAAAAAUUCAAACAAUAUUAUUAUGAUACUUGGUGUAUUGAGUCAUGUUCAAUGUUCACAACGCAAUGAAAAUUUUAUCCUCACUUAUAAGUCAAAUGAAUACUAUUAAAUCGUAAUACUAAGUGACUACUAAAUAACUGAUUUAUAUGUUUGAUUUGUAAAAGUUUAGGGGAAAGGAAAGCUAAUCUAUCGGCCAGGACAUACCACAAGUCUCAUCAAGAUUUGAGAACUUACACAAGGGGUCUUAGUCCUUUUUUGGUUUUUACAGAUCGUGCACCAAAAAUGGUUGCUUACAAUAGAACUCAAACAUAGACCUUACAACUCAACUAAUCCUCGUUGAAAAAUACACAUAUAUUUGAGCAAUCUUUAAAUUAGUUUAAACUAAAUUAUUGAAACUUCAUGCAAUAAACACAUAUUUUUAAUCAAAUUAGCUACAUACGAUAAUAGAAUGUCUGUUUAUAUCAUCUAUUCUAAGAUUUGAUAAAGAGAAUAUUUUCAAGAUGUGCAUAAACAUAAAACACAUACACACUACUCUAACUAAAUUAAUCAAGAACAAUUCUGCAAGAAAAUGGAAGAUAUGUGACUUUUAUUUAUUUCCUAGAUUCUAUGAAGGAUAAGAAAAUGUUGUCGGAGAAAAAGAAAGGUAAACGGGCGAUAAGAAGACGAAUACAACACAAUGAUACAAUUAGGGCUUCCAGAAAGUGCCCUUUUGGUAGCCACUAAGGCCAAAAACCCAUCACAAUAAUUAAAUUACCAAUGUCGUAUUAGAAAGUAAAACACAUUACUCUGGCGUUUCUGAAACUUGAAUGUGACAAAUAUGACAUAAACAAUAAGGAUGUGUGACCUAGAUAUCAGGUUGGAGGAAAAUGGACUGUAGUACAGAGGUUAAGGCAAAUAGAUAUGUGAGAGGUAUUGCACGAGUUCGAUGUCAAAUUAUUAUGACAUAUUUUAUCGCGAUUCUUAUGAGAGAUUUUUUAGUGUGCCAAAAACACAAUUCGAUACAUCAAGUGUCACACAAGUAACUGGAUACUUGAAAAAAAUUAAAUUAAACCACUUGUAUGAUGAUACUUGAUGUAGCGGGAUGUAUUCUGGCACACUGAAAAGUUGUCUGUCUCCUAGUUCAGAUCUACUGCUCUUUAUUUUAAACACAUCUUUGGAUUCAUUAAAAGACAAAAAGCUAAUAUUUUGGUCCCAGUAUGCAAGAACCAUACCAUAUACUUAGAAAUAUCAAGCAUCCCGCUGGAAAUCAACUGUAAGGCAAAUAUUAUCAACGAAACAAAAGAAGGAAUGGCACAAUUCAUUUGGUGAUUAGGCGAACUAACAACAAUAAAAAAUAUAAAAAAAAAACGAGUCAAUAAAAUUAGAAUCCCCCAUUCUUUUUUUACAUAAUUUUUAUUAAACAUUUGUUUCUUUUAAAAAUUUGAUUAAGACGCUUUAAAUAGUGUCCACCUAAUCAUUUUUAAAUUUAUUUUAUUUACAUGUCAUUAGUUUAUUUAUUUUUUAAAUAAAAAUGCUAUAUGUUGAUUUCCCACUUUAUCCUUUUAGGGCACGUUUGUUACACCUCCUUAGGAGGGAUUGGCUUGGACUACCUUAAGUAGGACUAUAAUCCUACGUUUGGUAGGUUGUGGGACUAAAAUAAAUGGGACUCGCCUCGACUACGAGUCCCUGCGAGGCAUGCUAGCCGGUCUUCACGAGUCCCCCCAAAAACCAAGGGAUUAGCUAGGAACUUCGCUUCGUUCUGCUUGAUUCACCUCAUCGACCUCGAUUUCGACGGCAUCUCUCUUCGUCCUGCUUGAUUCACCUCCCUGUGAGCCCUUUUGUGAGUUAUGGGCUUCUUCCUCCUCCCUGCGAGGGUUCUUCCACCACCAACAUCAACCACAAAAAAUCCCCCAUCUCAUAUUUCCCACCACCAACCAUCACCCACAAAAAAUCCCCAAUCCCAUAUUUCCUGCCGCCACCAUCGCCAUGGACGAGCCAUCCGAGAAGCUCCAGAACCUCAAGUCGCUGAAUUCUCUGCCAGCAGCAGGUGGAGUCGCUGGUGCAGGGCAAGGCAGAUUUGGAGUCCGAGGAAGAUUUGGGUGGACAAAAAAAAGAGAGAGGAAGAUGAAAUGGUAGAGAAAGAGGAGAGGGGAGGGAUGCAAUGGGCGGAAAAAAAAAGAGAGAGGAAGAUGUUCUAGAAAGGAGAUGAAAUGGCAGAGAAAAGGAGAGGGGAGGGCUGGAGAACAAAACAACGAGAGAAGAUAAAAGGAAAAUGAUAAUUUAAUAAUAAAAUAUUAGUAUAUAUAGAUUAAAUUAAUGAUAAAAUAUUGUAAAUAUAAUUUAAUAAUAAAAUAUAUUAGUCCUGCUUUUUAAUCCGACACUGCACCAAACGCUUCACUAAAUCAGUCCAGCUUAGUCUAGUCUAAGCCAGUCCAGUUUAGUCCCUGAAGCUAAUCCAGUCCAAGAUAGUCCGGUGCAACAAACACACCCUUAGUUGAUAAGGGGAAUUUUUUUGGCUUGUCAGGAUUUAUACCUUUUUUUUAGGGAUAUUAUUAAUGGCUAUUAACUAAAUCACCAAUAUUAUCUAUAAACUUUGAAUUUUGAAUUUUUUUUUUGGCGUCAGGGUUUAUACCCCUUUUGUUGGCUCAUUCACAUCAUAAAAUUAUUAUUGAAAUAUAAAAGUUGUUGAUAAAAAGGAUGAGUUUGGAGUCUUUGAACUGAGAUUAGUGCUAUUCGGCGGCAUGAGAUAUAUAAAUGUGAAUUUUAAAUUGAAAUCAAUUUGAAACAUAUUCAGGUCAAUUUGAAACAUACCAAUAACAACUUGAAACGUACCGAUGCUAAAUUGAAACGUACCCAUUUCACCGUGAAACGUUCAAUAACAACUUGAAACGUACCGAUGCUAAAUUGAAAUGUACCCAUUUCACCUUGAAACACGUUCAAUAACAACUUGAAACGUACCAAUGCUAAAUUGAAACGUACUCAUAUAUAAAUGUGAAUUUAAAAUUGAAAUCAAUUUGAAAUGUAUUCAGGUCAAUUUGAAACGUACCAAUAACAACUUGAAACGUACCAAUGCUAAAUUAAAAACCUUGAAACAUUCAAUAACAACUUGAAACGUACCGAUACUAAAUUGAAACGUACCCAUUCUAACUUAAAACAUACCAAUAUGUCGGUUUGAAACGUACCAAAUUAUCCUUUAAAAGAAAAUGUACCACUAAAUUCUAUUUCCCAAAUGUACCAUGUUACGUGAAAAAGAUGUGAAAGAUGGGUAAAAAGUUUGCAAGAACAAAAAAGCAUACCCUUUGAUAUAGAUACUCAGAUUAAGAGGUGUACAUAAAAUGAAAUAUGAAGGAAAUGAAUAUGACCAACAAGGGAGAACGAAAGAGGGUUUGAUUGGCCAAUCGAGGAAAGCAGUGACAUGAAAAGAAAAAAAUUGCUAAUGGUUGUAGAAGAAGAUAGAACUUUAGUUACUUGUAUGGUAUGGAGUUAGGAGUAAAAUGCAUGUUAGAAAAAUAAUUAGAUCUGGUUUGAUGUGUUAAGAUUUUUAAAACUAAUCUACUACAUUUUAGGAGAUUUGGGAUAUUAACAUGAUAAUUAUUAAUUAAUUAAGGGUACAUCAUAAUGGCAAAUCGUUUAAUAUGGCAUUAAAAGGAUGUUACUUAUAAAAUAAGUGGCACCUUAAUUGUAGGAAGAAUGUUUAAUUAAAUUAUUAAAAGAAGCAGAUGUUUAAUCUAAGAAAUUAAAAAAAGAGGCGCCUAUAUCAAAACUACCCUAAUUUAAACACUGAACUAAAUGAUCUUUACUAAGAUGUGGGUUGUUGAAGAGUUGGAUCAUCACUUUCCUUAACUAUACCAAACAACAUACUCCAAAUGGCUCUUGCAAUCGUUUUUUUACCUAUACCGCCCAGACUACAAAUUCCAAUUAUUUGAACAUCAGGUGAACCUCCAACAUCCAAGUAUUUAGUACUGAAUUAUUGCACUCGAAAAGCUAUUCCAACUGAGUGUUUGGCUUCUUUUAAGUCUGUAGUUUUCAGUAGUCUCCUAAUGUCUCCAACAAUUUUCUCGAUAAACAAUCCUUCAUGUCUCGCAGUUAAAAUUCAAAAUUAUACAAAAGUAAGAUUCAUCAUGCAACUGCAAGAUUUAUAUCAACUAAAUGCCUCAUUCAUCAUGAUUAGAUAUUUUGGUAGCGAAAACGUUUUGAAUAAAUUAGAUUUGAUCAAGAUGACUAGUUAAGUUCAAUUCAGCCGUGUUUCCGAAAUGCAUUGUAACUGUAGUAGUUAAGCUCAGUUAGAUUGCUCAUGAACUAUAAGAAGACGUUUGUUUGCCCUCACUAAACCGUAUUAUAGCUUUUAGUCAUACAAUUAGAAAUCCAUUAGAAUUAGUAAAUGGGUUUGACAUACGGAGGAUUCGUCCUUCACGCAUUACCAAAGCUCCAAAGUUUUUUCCUAUAAACGUAUAAAAUCAAAGUCUGAUAAUAAUCUCCUUAUUUUUGGUGAAUUAGUGAGUUUUAGAAGCUAAUACAAGACGUUGGAAUUAAAUUUAGAGGAAGAAUUAAAAUACCUGUCCGCUGUGGUUUUAAGAUUCCGGCCACACAAAUCUGCAAAAGCCUUAAGAUCCUUCUCCACUGCUCGACCUCAUCUGGAUCUUCAUCCCUUUCAUGCUAACAAAGUUAAAAAGAAUAAGGUAAAGUGAGACACCUAAUAAAAGUUUAGGUGGUAAAGUGAACAAAUCAUCAUAUAGAGUAAAGUAGAAUUUUGUGUACAUAAGUGUCAUAUAAAUGCCUUUAAUAUUUUGUACAUAUAGAAAAUAAAUAGGGUUAAUUACAUCGAUGUUCCCUGAAUUUGUCAUUUAUCUUCAUUUUCAUUCUUAAACAUUUUAUUUGUUUUAUGUGAUCUACAAACUGACUUUUUUUAUAUAUCCUUUUCGUCGACUUCAUCUAUUUUUCUGUUAAGUAGAGAUGAUAAAUUUAAAAUUCAUCCCACAACCUGAAAAAUGGGAAAAAGGAGGUGGGUGUACAAAAUUCUUGCUAUGCCCUCUAUAUUUAACAGAAAAAUAAAUUUUUUUGGGUCAAAAAAUAGAUUUUGUUAGAUUAGAUACCGACAGAGUUUGAACUCACACCGUCAUACAAGAGCUUAACUCCUUUCCACCACUAUAGUAAAAGGCCACUUGCAACAGAAACAUAAAUUGAGUUAACGGAUAUAAUUGAAUUACCACAUGAUAGAGUUUGAGAACCACACUAAGAAAAAAAUAAGAAAAACUAUUCUAGAACGAAAGUAAAAUUCAUGACAACAAUGUUGUAUAUCUGAAAAAUAGUUCAAGCAGAUUAAGAUGUUAGCACAGAGUCAUUUAUCUAGUUUAUUGAACAAACAACGAGGACAUCAAUGCCGUUUUUUCUGUUUCGAAAUUCAUAAACAACAAAAUUAAGAUUUCUUUCACAAAAAUUAUCAUAAAUUUUGACACAAUUGACGUUUGAAUUAUAAUCCAGCAGGCAAAUCGAAAAUAAUCAUAGGAGCUUAGAACACACCACAUCAACAUUUAGCAAGCAGUCUCAUAAGAGAUCCCAAUCAAGAUAAAACCAUUCAACAAUUUAUUACAUUUCAUUCAUUUAAGAGCAUGGUUCAAAGGAUUAUUUAAUUGACGUUAUCAUCUUUCUACAAAGAAAAAAUGAAAAAUAAAAUAGGGCGUUGACACCCGUGGCAAAACCCCGACAUGGAUUUAAGUACGUUUCAACCUGACCUUCUGUAAAAGCUAUAGGCCACAACCACUGUUGCCACUGCUCCAACCACGGCAGCAGCUGCGAGAACGUCACUUUGCUCCCAGUUCCCAAUCAAGCUUGACAGCUUCCGUAAGGCAUCCUUCCUGGCACACGACUUUGUGGUUUCUUUCGGCUUUUUAUCCUCACUUCCACCAUCCUCCUCCAAACUUACUUCUUUGCAGUAUGUAAAUCCAUCACUAUUAGCACCCUGGCAACAGCCUGAAAAGUUCUCAUUAUUCUCAGUUUGAUUGCCCUUUUCUUGGUGAAUCUGAUUGCCAUUUUCUUGUGGCUUAUCCUCGAUUUUCUUAUUUUCUUCUCCAUUUGGAAGUUCCAGGUCAUUAAUUUCUUCAACUUCAUCAGAAGAUGCUCCCAUUUGGCCCCUGUAAGGAAUGAAAUUGAAUUUCGUGUUCAACAAUUUAAAGAUUCAACUCUAAGUUUCGUCAAUAGCAAUUGAGUAAGAAUAGGUAUGAUCAAGCUUAAUAAACAAAUCACAACAACAAUACAAAUCAGAAACAUAUACAUGGUAAUACAAUUAUAUCUAGUUCUUUUAUGCUUUCUCCACAAAAGUUCCUCCAUGUUAAUGCAACGCUAUAUCAAUUAAUCUAUCAUACAAGACAAGACAUAAUCAGCAAUUGAAAAAUAUGACAACACAAGCCGUCCAUUGAAAUUUUCAUCCAAAGAUAGUAGGCAAAACCAAAAAUGUACAAACCUCCAAUGUCGUUCUAUAAUCUCUCCCUUCCCAAUAUGUUCAUCAAGCAAUUCCGGCACAUAACCAGGACUGACAAAUGGAUACCUGCAAUUAAUAAUACAUAAUAUUCAAACUCCUUCAUCGAUCCCAAUACGAUAAAUUUUAAAUUGUUAUGAUCCGGAUAUUACCAAUGGUAUGUCAUGCUUCCAUCUGGGUCGUAGGUCGUGAAUAUUCCAGCAUAGUUGUGGCCUUCAAGGUGAAAGCAAGCAGUAACAAAUACCUGAUUCGUCAAUCCUCGCAUCUCAAACUCCUCUUUCAACUUAUCAAUGCGAACACGUGCACUAUCACGAUUCCAUUCCUCUUGACUCAUAUGUGUGUAUACAAAUAUAAGGGCAAAUACAUGGGGGCUAGUCAAUGACUCUUGCACUCCCGAAGCCCAUGGUCUAUCAUUCACAAGGACAUCAUCAACAAAGCUAUCCACAUUUGACUCUUUCAAGCCCCUUUGAUCAACAAACAAAAACAACCCCAGAAUCAUAAAAAGGGAUUUACAUGAAACAAUAACCUAACACUCUUUAAUUCCUUGUAAGGCAAGGAAUUAGUCGUAAACUAAGUCAUUAAAUUCAAUUUCGAACUAAUUUCAAAAGCUAACACGUAUUUAAUUAUCUAUUUAGUUUAGUACAUUCAGCACAAUCUUGUAAUCAAAAGAGAAGUCGAAACAGAAAUUACUUUAUUCUAAACUAGGAAAAUAAAUUGCACUGCUCAUGUUGGUUAUUGAAUGGGCCCUCGAUUAUGAAUUAAUUACUGUUUGCCAUUGUGUGUGUUAGUGUGGGCCGUGCUUAACAGCUGGGUUGGGCUACUGCAUUUGGGCCCAGGGUGCAGCUUUCACAAGUUUUGGGCUGGGUUUCACCGAAAGAUCAAAUGACUCUUUUGCCCCCUUCACUUUUAAUCCAACGGCCACCAUUUGGGGCGUUUUUGUUCUGCAAUUCGGUGUGGUGCUCGUCAAGGAGAUCGCGCAGAGAGGCAGAGGGUGACAUCGAGUUUAGGGUUUGCACAGUGAGAGACAAGAGGGUUGAUGGGAAGGGUUGGGGGUGGACACAGGGUUGAUGGGAAGGGUAGGAGCUAGAAAGGGGGUUGGGGGUGAGGGUGGGUUCUGUCCACUGACGUUGGUUGCAGAGAGAGAGAAAGAUGGGGAAAAGUAUGGGGGUGGGGUUGAGGGGAACGGGUACAGAGAGAAAGAGUGAGGGAGAAAGAGUGAGUCUUUAUUGAGUUUCAGAACUUUCCUCUCUGAUUUUCUGAUUAUUUUCUCAAUUGGGCUUAUUUCUUACCAAUUUCCUUUGAGAUUUAUGCAUGUGUGUUUGUUAAUGCUCUGUUUCUUCGUUUUUACAGGAAAUGGAAUUGCUCUCUUCCUCUUCUUGGCAACCAUAUAUGCCCUCUCUCUCUCAAAUUCUUUCAUCAGGGGUCUAAGGUGAUGCCUUUUUGCCUAAAAUAUCAUUUUGUUAAAUGACUUAUGAUAUUUUGAUUCUCUGCACAUUCUGCGUAAUUCAAAAAGCAAAAUCUCUCUCUCUCUCUCUCUCUCUCUUUUCCUUUUUGUGGCUAAAGAUCAUGUCUUUUGUGUCAUAAAUUUUUUUUUGUUACAUGGGGUUCUGUAUAUCUUUUGGAUAAUCAAAAAGCUUGAAUGUUAACUAGGUUUCUUUAAAUUUCUUUGAAUUCUACCUUGUGAUUUUGGUUUAGAAAUGUGUAGAAUUACAUUUAUGAGGAUCAUAAGGAAGAGAAGCACAGAUCAGUUCUUAGGCAUUCCAUACGUAAUGACUAUGCUUAACUGCCUACUCCCACUUGGAAUGCUGCUUUGCUUCUCUCUCUCUCUCUCUCUCUCCCCCCCCCCCCCCCCUUUCUCUGCUGUGUAUUGCCUAAUUAGUUAUUUACAUUUGUUUAUUUAUCUCUGUAAAGCUUUCAUGCUUGGAUUUUAAAUGUACGAUUCAAUUAGAAACCUUUAUAAUGUUGAUGUUAUAGAACAUUCAACAGAUAUAUAUUCAACAUUAGGUAGCUCUGGCAAAAUCAUAUAGAUUAAGAUUUGGUAAUAUAUGGAGGUGAGAGUGAAUCUGCCUUGCUUGCCAUGAUAUAGGCUUGCAAUGAUGGCUUUCUCUUUGUAGUACUACAUUCUACUCUUACAUGUUAACAUCAGAAAGCAGACUAAGAUAGAUCCAAACCCAAUCUUAUUAAUUAAAGUUAACAGAAAGAAAAUGAUUUAUGCAUGCCUUUGUUUGUUUGUCACUUGAUUUUGGUUUAGGUUGACCAUAGCUAAAACAUUCAAGACUUGCCUAACACCUAAUUUGACGAAGACCGUAUCCUUUUUAGCCUUUAGUUGUGUGUUUGCUAGCUAGAUGGGUGGUGGGUGAGUCUUGGAUGUUAUCUUGGAUGUCUUGAUUAUUUUGGUGGGCGAGUCUUGGAUGUUUUGGUUAUGUCUUAUUUGACUCUUAUAUCUUCCCUUUUUCUGAAUUUUCUUUAUUUCUCAUCCUUUAAACUUUGUAUUUUUUUUAAAUGUAUAUAUUUUUUGGUGAUGCAGAUAGAUGAACAUGUUCAAGGGAAAAUCAUGAACCACAGAUCACUGCAUCUGAAUAUCGUUUGAUUCCAAGAGGUCAGUGAUCAUAAACUUUUUCAUUUUGUAUUUUAAGAAUGAAUUUGGCAAGUUGUGUUUGAAUUUUUUAUAAGUAUCUGCUGAGGGUGGGUGGAUGAAGACAGAACAUGCUAAAUUUGGCCUUUGGUGUGCUUAAACUGGUAUAGGGGAUGGUUAGAACUUUGAGCCCGGAAUGCAGUAGGACUAAGAGAAAAUGCCCUACCCACCGGGGCAAUCCACCACUUGCAGAAUAGUUGUCCAAAUAACUCUGCUAAAAAUAUGAUCUAUACUUCCUGCACUUUGUUUUACUGUGAAGUGGAAAUAGUCUUUAGAGUGGCUUAUUUGUGAUAAUUGAUAAAUAGGUUUGUGUUUAAGACUUGAGAGUAGUGCGGUGUCUUUCUUGCUGGUUCUGCUCACACCACCUCUGAUUUUAGUGUAGAGUCUCAAAUAUGGGAUCUCUGAAUGUCCCCUGAAAUGGAAUCCAUCUCGAUUUUCGUCUAGUUUCAGAUAGGGAAAGUUAGGUCUGAAGCAUUUUUACAUAAAUAGUCAGUCAUAAUAUAACUAAAACUUACAUACUUUUUCAAUUUAAUUGUUGUUUUGCAUCAGGCAAGGUUUUUCAUCCAGCAGUUGAUAUCCGGAGUUGGUUGCUGUCAUUUGAUUGUAUGUAAAUCCUAUAAUUCGGAUUAAAAUUUACCUGUAUUUGAUCAUUAGUGGGAAAAUCAACACAUCGCCGUCGGAAAAUUCAGUUCCUUCGCGUCCUUCAAUUACUGUCAGCAACGUCUAUCAAAAACCAAGAAAAAAGUGAGUAAUGGGGUUAGCUCAACACCAGAACUCAGUAGCUCCGGGAAAUAAGAAACGGUAAGAAAAAGCAAUCAGAAACCCCGACGAAUUGAGCUGGAAAGGGGACCUUAAAGGUGAUGUCGUUCUUGCGAGCUUUGAGAGCAGAUGCGAAGAUUUUAGGGAGUGGAUCGGACUCAUAGCCUUUGAUGCGCCAUGGCCAGGCCUCUAGGGUCUUGUAGCAGAGGAAAACGUGGCGAUAGUAUGACAGUGUAUCGUCAUCAGUGUCUUCAUCAGACUCAUAUGACACAGUAGUGUCUUCAUCAGACUCAUAUGACAUAGUCUCAUAGUUGUCCCAAUUAGUACGAUCAUCGGACAAAUCCCAUUUUAGAAUAUCCACUCCAGUUUUGUUCACCUUAAUAAUUGUAUUAUCUAGUCCAUAAAAUUGUGCUUGUACAAGAACCAUGUCGCCGCCUUUCAAAUUGAGCUUCUUGUUUGAAAGAUUUCCCAACCAAAGAUAAUAUUCAUGGGAAGCAGUUACGGUGGCCUCAAUUGGCCAGAUACGAAAAUUAGUUUGCUGGGUACGAUUAACAACAUCAAUGGUUAGAAACCCACUAGAGUCGGAGUUGUCCGAAGAAUAAACGAUGCCCAAAGCCAACCCUCCUAUAUAAUCAAUACAUGGCGGCACUUCAAAUUUGACUGUUUCAUCCUCUCUCGCGACAUAGGCUAACCGCUUCGGAAUAUCAUUUCUAGAGAGAAAAUUCCACCAAAUGCAUUUUUCUACAGCAUGGGGUGCAAAGUUAGUAAAAGCAACAAUACAAAAAGCAGAGAGAGAGAGAGAGAGAGAGAGAGAGAGAGAGAGAGAGAGAGUACCAUACCGUUUGGAGGUUCUCCUUAAAAGUAUCAGUGAGACUGGUACACCCUUCCAUAUAAAUUGAAUCCAUGUAGUCCAAUGAGUUCUCCAAGUUUGGAAUAUCUUUGAGUUUGCGGCAGUCUUUCAGUUGCAAGUGUUUCAUUUUCGACAUCUCUGAAAAGUCGGACACUAUUUCCAGUGCAGUGCAGUAAUUCGCUUCCAAUACACAUAAACUGUUGGGCAAAUCUGGGAUUGCCUGAAGGUUUGUGCAAUGAUUUAGACAUAAACUCCAAAGCUGAGAAAGACCACUGAGAAUGGGUAGCCUAUUAAAACCAUUCCCACCUAGAUCUAAAAUUGUUAAAGAAGAUAGACUCCCAAUUAUUUCGAGAAGGGCACCAUCUGUUAUAUUGCAGUCGCUGAGAUGUAAUUCCUCAAUCAUCUUCAGUUGUGCUAAAAAAUGGUAACCCCCACACAAACCCUUACAGUCUCUGAUGGUCAAGUACCGGAGAUGUGGGAGUUUUGAAAAGUUUGGUAAUUCAGUCAGGUUACGGCAGUGUACAAGAACGAGAAACUUCAACUUCUUAGGCAACUGUUACUCAAAAAGAGAAAACAAUAAUAAAAAUCCAAAUAAAUAAAAGAGAUAAUACAUGAUGAUGACUGAUGUUGAUAUUUACAAGGACAUUGAUAUUUAGAUUGUACCAAGUCCGAAUCCUCCCAAACUCGUACGAUCUUGCUGGACCAUAAUUCCAUAUAAACUAGGUUUCGUUGAUCAAAAUCUGCUGGUAUGGCUUCAAGAGGAAAUCCAAUCCAAUACAAUAAUCUUAACUCCUUGGAAAGAUGUUUGUAGCUUCCAGUCAGCUUUACAUUUCCCAGCCAGAGAAUUCUCAGUCGCCACAUCUUCUUAAAUGCUUCUGUACUGAAGCUUUGCUCGUCAUCAGAAUGUUCUGGCAAAAAUAAUUCUAGUCCUUCAACUGCUUCUGUUCCCUGUUAGAGAUAAAAAAAAAAAAACAGAAAAGGAUAAUAUUCACAUGAAGCAAAGCCAUGAAUCGGAUGAAUGAACUACUAACAAGGUAGGGCAUACAACAUAAUUAUGUAUUUUCUCUUUCAAAUUACCCAGUGGAUGAAAGCCUUUUCUUUUCUUCUUUUUCUUCGAAUAUACUAGGUAUGUCAUACAUUAUAUAGAUGCAGGAUAUGCGUAUAUACUUCUCUUUCUUCAUAUGUACUUAACAUCUUUUUUAUUGCAAAAGUACUUACAGAUUCGUUCCAUAGCACACUUUUUGCAUCUUCCAUAUGCCACAAUCGACUACGUUUUCCCAGUUCCACAGGAGAUUCUGCCCGCACAAUUUCUCUUCCCAUAUCUCGAAUCAAAUCAUGCAUCCUCAAUGCUCCCCCUUUAUCAAUAUAUAAGAGACAUCGAUCACAAAGUGUGGUAAUUUCUGCUUCUACAGAAAAAUGACUACAACCAUCCAAUAUUGUCGCGACCACACUUAUAGACACUCCAAUAAAGAAAUUAGAUAUGUCAAGGAACACACCCUUCACAUGAUCGUCACGUAACCCAUCGUAGCUUAAUUUAAGCGUUUGAUGAAUUUUUCCAUCUGGAAUAUUUCUUAAUUUAUUCAAUGUACUUUUCCAUAUGCUUUUACUCUUUUUCGUAGCCAACAAACGGCCAACAACUUCAAGAGCUAGGGGCAAUCCUCCACAAUAAUCAACAACAUCUCUUGCGAGUUCAAUAUAUUCUUCAUCGGGACAAUCAUUUCCAAAGGCAUGCCAACUAAGAAGCUUAAGAGCUUCGUCAUCAGUCAUUCCUUGUGCUUUAUACCUUUUAUCCACCUUUUGUAUAUUCAGCACUUGUUCAUCUCUUGUCGUUAUAAUAAUCCUACUCCCUGGACCAAACGAGUCAUGUGCUAUUGCCAAUUUAUCUAAUUGGUCCGCAUCAUCUAUGUCAUCAACCACGACAAGUACCUUCAUGCUUCCAAGUCUUUUCUCUAUCUCCUUGGUUCCUUCGGCAACAUUGCUUACCUUAAUGUCAGGCCGUUUCAAAAUAUCUCGAAGAAGUUGUUCUUGCAGACUAACCAUAUUUUUCUUGUUACUCCUCACCUCUUCAAGGUAACAUUGACUGCUGAAACUAUGACCAUAUUUGCUACAAAUGGCUUUGGCAAGCGUUGUUUUACCUAUACCGCCUGUACCCCAAAUUCCAAUUAUUUGAACAUCAGGUGAACCUCCAAUGUCUAAGUAUUCAGUGCUGAAUUCUUGCAUGCGAAGAGCUAUUCCAACUGAGUGCUUGGCUUUUAAGUCUAUGGGUUUCAAUAUUCCCUUGAUGUCCCCAGUAAUUUUCUCGAUAAACACUCCUUCACGCCUACAAGUAGAAAUUCCAAAUUACGAGAGCCAUACUAAAUGCCUUAUUCAUCAUGCCUUUAUAUUUACAUAUUGAAACAAAUUGGAAUAAAUUGUGAUUUACUGAGCUCAAUUCAACCACGUAUUUAAUCUUCGAUUAUAAUGUGAAUAACCAAUUGGACUACUACACAAUUGUAGCUUUCAGUUAUAUAAUUAAGAAUCCAUUACAAUUGGUAUUUUAAUUUGAUAAAGUGUGGAACAUUUGUCCUUCACACACCUAUAAAAAACAAUCACUUCCUUAAUUUUGACGGAAAUUCUUAUGCAAAUGCUCUACCUUUUAUAAAAUUCAUAUACCAAUUCUAAUAAAUUUUUAUGUAGUGACCAAAAUUACAGUUCUAUCAUAGUUCACGGACCAACGAUCCAAUUUUUCUUAUAACAUAUAAAAUCAGGAUUCAAUGCCUUAAUUAUAAUAUCUUAAUUUUGGUUGAUUAGUGAAAUAUGGCGAUAUGAAAUUUGAAGUAAACAAAAAAUUAUACCCGUCGGCCGUGGUUUUGAGGUUCCAACCGGCCAAAUAUGCAGAAGCCUUAAGAUCCUCUCUCCACUGCUUGACCACAUUUGGAUCUUCAUCCUUUUCAUGCUUCUGAAAUGCUUCCCCAAAACUAUCUUUCUGUUUCCUGACUUGAGAAGGGUCAACGUCGUAGAAUAUUGGACAGACUAUUUUCCCCUCUUGAUUUUUUAGGCACCUCAUGAUCUUCGACAGCUCCCUCAGGCACCAUCGGGACUCGGCGUACCUCUUUGAGAAGACGAUGACGGCGAUUCUCGACCCUUCGAUUUCUUGGUCAAGUUCACUUUGUAUGUUUUCCCCCCUUCUGAGCUGUGUGUCUAUAAAUGUGUUAAUUCCGGCAUUGCGUAAUGCAAUGAAGAGGUGGUCUGUGAAGGUGUUGCGGGUGUCUUCACCUCUAAAGCUCAGGAACACCUCGUACUUCCAGCGGUUUGAGCUCCGCGAGGAAGACGAAGAGGCGGCAGCGGCGGCUCCAUGAUCGGAGCUGCUGGCAUCCAUUGCAGCCUGUAGAAGUGCAGCUUGACUUUCAAAUAACCAAAAUCAAUCUUUCCCAAGCUUCCCCAGUGUAGGCGACCCUUUUAAAUUUUUUGCAUAGGGCAAUGAUGUCACUGCCGUGUCGAUAACGCGUGAGUGGUAUUCCUCCCACAAUUUAAUUUGUAUAAAUGUUACCAUCAAAUUUCAAAAAAAUAAAUUGUAUAACUGCUUUACGAUGCAAUUUCCUUUCUUUUGUAGUUUUAAGGGUGGUGCGCAGGUAGGUUCAGCUGCGGCUGCUGAUGGACGUCACGACAGCGUUAUAAGAAUCUUCGGUGCAAAACAGGUCCACAAACACCACAUCUAUUAUCUCGACACCAUGUGCACAUACAUUACAUGGGAGCCAGUCAACGCCUCUUGCACUCCGGAAGCCCAUGGUUUGUGAUUCACAAGGACCUCAUCAACAAAGCUGUCCACAUCCGACUCUUUCAAGCCCCUUUGAUUGAGAAACAAAAACAACCACAGAAUCACAAAGUUAAAAAUCCCCAAAUACUUAUCGCUAACACGCCCAUUUAGUGAUCACAAAUACUUAUCGAAAACUAGACAACAACCUUCACUAAGUUUUUGUGCUGCACUUUCGACAUCAUUGCCACUUCCCCCGCAAACCGCGCUUCUCUCUUGGCAAUCUGCUCUGGGGUUUCUCCUCUAUGAACAUUUUUUACAGCAACAUUUUGACUCUUAUAUCUAGAACAAACAAAACGCAACCAACAAACAGAUUAAGAACACAACAGAACAGAACAUCAUCGUUGUAACUCGACACGAAAAACACAUAUUCGGCAUCAUAAACACCAUAAUUGCAGAACACCAAAUCAAGUUUUGAUCUUUGAUUAGUUCUGCUAAAACCCAACUCAAAUUUGCAUUUAUAUUUAACAAGAUCUAAGGCAUCAUAUUAAAUUGCUAAACUUGAGAGACCAGAAAUUCAGAAUUUAAGACAAAACAAACACAGAGGUUGUACCUACUUUCCUUCAUACACUUUGGCAUGUGCGCCUUCCCCAAUCCUCGGACCAACAAAAGAUGUUUUGGAUCAAUCAGCCACUUGGCAUCCAAAUCGAAAUCCCCAACUGAAUAAACCCCAUUACCAGAUCCCAUAAUUUUCUCUCUCUAAAAUUCUAAAACAAGAACAACAUACACUGACUAAUUAACCAAAACAAAGGGUACCCUUUAUUUGUAGGACCACAUUUGAAGUAAAGAUUAAAGCUUUGGUCAGGAUAAAAAUGGAAAAAAGUAAUAAAAUCAGUAGACUUUGUAUGAUUGGAGAGGGAGAAAGAUGAAGACUUUCUAUAAUAAAAGGACUUGCUUGGUACUGUAGGUUUCAGAAAACAGACCCAUCCCCGGAAUCACGGUUGAGUAUCCUACAAAUAUAGGGUGUGCCUUUUGUGUAGGGGGCAAAGAAUAAAAUCCCCGAGGCACCCACCAACAACCCUACAAUAUAAAAAGGAGAUGGAUUGUUUGUCCUCCCAUUUCCAUACUCUCUCAAUUCCUUUCUGUUUGUGUGGUCAUGGUUAAACCACGUAAACAUUUUAUAUUCCUAUUACUUUUUGUUUUAUUAUUUUUAUAAAAAUUAAUAUAAAAUGUUGACGUGACUUAACCAUGACCAUACAUAAAGAGAAUGAAAAAAGUAUGAAAAUAGGAGGACAGACAAUCCACCUCCAUAUAAAAAUGGUCACUGAUGAGAGCUCUAUCAGUGGGAGUGGAUUAGAUUUAUUAUUGGGAAUUAGGGAGAGAGAGGAAUCAGUAGAAGAGCAAGCAGAUAGAGUUGAGCAAGGCAGAGGAGGAUGAAACUGAGAGGAUCCAGGUGGGGAUUUGGGAACUUGGUGGCGGCGACGGAGGCGGUGGGCGGGUGGUAAGUGAGUUCAGUUGAGAUUAAUCUAUUGGCCUUCUCCGCGAGUGGAAUAUUAUUGUCUUGUCUUCUAGAUCCAAAGAUAAACUAGUCUCUGUCAGAGAAUAGUGUGUUUCCUUUGUUUUUCUUCCUUUCUAAUUAAUUUUCCCUUAUUUAUACUAGCAACCGUAAAUAUUUAUAAUAAGAGAAAAUGUAAAUUGAUUUCUAGAUUUUUUUCUUUAUGAACUUCAAAUGAUUUUGCGUCGCUGAAUGAGACUGUUCAUAUAUUUGAUUACUAGUUCUGAAUAAAUAUUUCUUUAACUAAAAGUUUACAAGGCAACUGAUAUGAUUACUUAGUUAUAAGAUUUGGGAAAAAAAAUUAAAAGUAUUUUGUGUGCAAUUUACUAUAUUAUCCAUAACUUUUAAUUUAUUAAUUUAUUUAAGUUAAUUUGGUCUUUGCACUCUCUUUUGAUUGAUUAAGAGAGUUUCGUUGAUAGGUAAUUUAGAUUAUAAUAAAGUAAAAUAAUUACUCAAUAAAUAUUUUUUUUUAAUAAUAUGAUAUUAUGUACAUUAAGUGGUGGAGGGAGUGAGUUAAGCUUCACAAUGAGAUAGUCAUAAUAAUUUGGUUCAAAUUUACCUUGACGAUAAUUGAACUUAAGACUUCUCAUGUAUGAGAGAUUUUUCAAUUUACUAGAAACACGUUGUAAAAAUACAAUUGGUUGGAAACUUAAAAAAUAAAAUUUCAAACUAUUUUAUUAUGACACUUGGUGUAUCGAGUCAUGUUCAGUGUUCGCACCACACUGAAAAAUUUCUCCUCAUUUACUAGUCAAAAUGAAUAUUAUUAAAUCGUAAUAUAAGUGACUACUAAAUAACUGAUUUAUAUAUUUGAUUUUUAAAAGUUUAGGGGAAAGGAAAGCUAAUCCAUCAAGGCCAAGGCAUACCACAAGUAUCCUCGAGAACUUACACAAGGGGUCUUAGUCCUUUUUUUGUUUUUAUAGAUCUUGCACAAAAAAUGGUUGCUUACAAUGGAACUCAAACAUAGACCUUACAACUCAACCAAUCCUCAGUGGAAAAUACACAUGUAUUUGAGCAAUCUUUUAAUUAAUUUAAACUAAAUUAUCGAGUCAAAACUCCAUGCAAUAAACAUAUUGUUUUAAUUAAAUUAUUCAUAUACAAUAAUAAAAUGUCUAUUUAUAUCAUAGAUUCUAAGAUUUGAUAAAGAGAAUAUUUUCAAGAUGUGCAUAGACAUAAAACACAUACACACUACUCUAACUAAAUUAACCAAGAACAAUUCUGCAAGAAAAUGGAAGAUAUGUGACUUUUAUUUAUUUCCUAGAUUCUAUGAAGGAUAAGAAAAUGUUGUCAGAGAAAAAGAAAGGUAAAUGGGCGAUAAGAAGACGAAUACAACACAAUGAUACAAUUGGGGCUUCCAGAAAGUGCCCCUUUGGUAGCCACUAAGGCCAAAAACCCAUCACAAUAAUUGAAUUACCAAUGUCUUAUUAGAAAGUAAAACACAUUACUCUGGCGUUUCCGAAACUUGAAUGUGACAAAUAUGACAUAGACAAUAAGGAUGUGUGACUUAGAUAUCAGGUUGGAGGAAAAUGGACUGUAGUAUAGAGGUUAAGGCAAAUAGAUAUGUGAGAGGUGUUGCACAAGUUCGAUGUCAAAUUAUUAUGACAUAUUUUAUCGCGAUUCUUAUGAGAGAUUUUUCAGUGUGCCGAAAAUACAACUUGAUACAUCAAGUGUCAUCACACAAGUGAUUGGAUACUUGAAAAAAAAAAAAGUCAACCACUUGUAUGAUGAUACUUGAUGUACCGGGUUGUAUUCUGGCACACUGAAAAGUUGUCUGUCUCCUAGUUCAAAUCUACUGCUCUUUAUUUUAAACACAUCUUUGGAUUCAUUAAAAGACAAAAAGACAUGCUAAUAUUUUGGUCCCAGUAUGCAAGAACCAUACCAUAUACUUAGAAAUAUCAAGCAUCCCGCUGGAAAUCAACUGUAAGGCAAAUAUUAUCAACGAAACAAAAGAAGGAAUUGCACAAUUCAUUUGGUGAUUAGGCGAACUAACAACAAAUAAAAAAUAACGAGUCAAUAAUUUAAACACUGAACUAAAUGAUCCUUACAAAGAUGUGGGUUGUUGAAGAGUUGUAUCAUCACUUUCCUUAACUAUACCAAACAACAUACUCCAAAUGGCUCUUGCAAUCGUUAUUUUACCUAUACCGUCCAUACUUCAACUUCCAAUUAUUUGAACAUCAGGUGAACCUCCAACAUCCAAGUAUUUAGUACUGAAUUCUUGCACGCGAAAAGCUAUUCCAACUGAGUGCUUGGCUUUUUUAAGUCUGUAGUUUCAGUAGUCCCCUAAUGUCUCCAACAAUUUUCUCGAUAAAUAAUCAUUCAUGUCUCGCAGUUAAAAUUCAAAAUUAUACAAAAGUAAGAUUCAUCAUGCAACUGCAAGAUUUAUUUCAACUAAAUGCCUCAUUCGUCAUGAUUAGAUAUUUUGGUAGCGAAAACAUUUUGAAUAAAUUAGAUUUGAUCAAGAUGAUUAGUUAAGUUCAAUUCAACUGUGUUUCCGAAAUGCAUUGUAACCGUGUAGUUAAGCCCAGUUAAAUUGCUCCUGAACUAUAACAAGGUGUUUGUUUGCCCUCACUAAACCAUAUUAUAGCUUUUAGUCAUACAAUUAGAAAUCCAUUAGAAUUAGUAUAUGGGUUUGACAUACGAAGGAUUCGUCCUUCACGCAUUACCAAUGCUCCAAAGUUUUUUCCUAUAAACGUAUGAAAUCAAAGUCUGAUCAUAAUCUCCUUAUUUUUGGUGGAUUAAUGAGUCUUAGAAGCUAAUACAAGACGUUGGAAUUAAAUUUAGAGGAAGAAUUAAAACACCUGUCCGCUGUGGUUUUAAGAUUCCGGCCACCCAAAUCUGCAGAAGCCUUUAGAUCCUUUCUCCAUUGCUCGUACUCAUCUGGAUCUUCAUCCCUUUCAUGCUAACAAAGUUAAAAGAAUAAAGUAAAGUGAGAAACCUAAUAAAAGUUUAGGUGGUAAAGUGAACAAAUCAGCAUAUAGGGCAAGUAAAAUUUUGUCUACGUAAGUGUCAUAGAAAUGCCUUUGAUAUUUUGUACAUAUAGAAAACAAAUAGGGUUAAUUACAUCGAUGUUUCCUGAAUUUGUCAUUUAUCUUCAUUUUAUUUGUUUUAUAUGAUCUUCAAACUCGCUAUAGCAUGACUUUUUUUUAUAUCCUUUUUGUCGACUUCAUCUAUUUUUUUGUUAAGUAAAGAUGAUAAAUUUAAAAUUCAUCCCACAACCUAUAAAAUGAAAGAAAAAAAAAAGGAGGUGGAUGUACAAAUCCUUGCAAUGUCAUCUAUAUUUAACAGAAAAAUAAAUUGAGUUAACGGAUAUAAUUGAAGUACCACAUGAGAUUGAGUUUGAGAACCACGAUAAGAAUAAAAGAAAAACUAUUCUAGAAUGAAGGUAAAAUUUGUGACAACAAUGCAGUAUAUCUGAAAAAUAGUUUAAGCAGAUUAAGAUGUUAGCACACAGUCUUGUAUCUCGUUUAUUGAAUAAACGACGAGGACAACAAUGUUGUUUUCUCUCUUUCGAAAUUCAUAAACAACAAAAUUAAGAUUCUUUCACAAAAUUACCAUAAAUUUUGAUAGAAUUAGCAGCUGAAUUAUAAGUCCAACGGGCAAAUCGAAAACAAUCACAAGAACUUAGGACAUACCACGUCAACAUUUAGCAAGUAGUCACAUAACAAAUCCCAAUCAAGAUAAAACCAUUAAACAGUUUAUUCGAUUUCUCCUUUCAUAUGAGUACGGUCCGGAGGGUUAUUUAAUUGACGUUAUAACAUCUUUCUACCAAGAAAAUCCAUCAUGUGCAAAUUAGGUACACCAUUUCCAUAAGUAUACCACAAUAAAACCAAAAAAUAAAAAAGCACACAAUUAAUAAAAAAAUAUUAAAAAAACUGCCUAGGAUUGCCUAGGUGCCGCCUAGCUCUCCGCCUAGGCCCGCUUAGCUUCCAGACGAUUUUUCCAAACGCCUUGCCCAAAAUAAGGGCGGGGCUCCACCGCCCAGCGCCAUAUAGGCGUCGCCUAGGCCAAUUUUUAGAACAAUGGUUCUGCUCCAAACUUACUUCUUUGCAGCAUGUAGAUCCAUUACUAUUAGCACCCUGGUAACAACGCUUCUCCUCGAUUUUCUUUUUUUUUUCUCCAUUUGGAAGCUCUCGAUCAUUAAUUUCUUCAGCUUCAUCGGAAGAUGCUCUAGUUUGGCCCCUGUAAGGAAUGAAAUUGAAUUUCUUGUUCAACUAUUUAAGGAUUCAUCUCUAUGUUUCAUCAAUAGCAGUUGAGCAAGGACAUGGUCAAGCUUUAUAAACAAAACAACAUUAUAAAUCAGAAACAUAUACAGGAUAAUGCAAUUAUAUCCAAUUCUUUUGUGAUUUCUCCACAAAAGUUCCUCCAUGUUAAUGUAACUCUAUAUCAAUUAAUCUAUCAUACAAGACCAGACACAAUCAGCAAUUGAAAAAUAUGACAACACAAGCUUCCGUCCAGUGAAAUUUUCAUCUAAAGAUAGUAGGCAAAACCAAAAAGGGACAAACCUCCGAUGUCGUUCUAUAAUCUCUCCCUUCCCAAGCCGACAUUCUCGCUUCCGCUUCGUCCCCCUCUGAUUGCCAUUUUCUUGGGGCUUCUUGAUUUUCUUAUUUUCUCCUCCAUUUGGAAGCUUCUGGUCAUUAGAUUUUUCAGCUUCAUCAAAAGAUGCUCCGAUUUGGCCCCUAUAAGGAAUGAAAUUGAAUUUCGUGUUCAGCUAUUUAAAGAUUCAACUAUAAGUUUCUUCAAUAGCAAUUGAGUAAGAACAUGUAUGAUCAAGCUUAAUAAACAAUCUAACAACAAUUAAUCAAAAACUUAUACAGGGUAAUGCAGUUACAUCCAAUUCAGAAACAUAUACAGGGUAAUGCAAUUAUAUCCAAUUCUUAUGUGCUUUCUCCACUAAAGUUCCUCGAUGUUAAUGUAACUCUAUAUCAAUAAAUGUAUCAUACAAGACUAGACAUAACCAUCAAUUGAAAAAUAUGACAACACAAGCUUCUGUCCAGUGAAAUUUUCAUCCAAAGGCAGUAGGCAAAACCAAAAACGUACAAACCUCCAAAGUCGUUCUGUAAUCUUUCUCUUCCCAAUAUGCUUAUCAAGUGAUUUCGCCACGUCAAAAGGAGUGACGAAGGGAUACCUGCAAUUAAAAAUACAUAAUAUUCAAACUCCUUCAUCUAUCCCAAUACGAUAAAUUUUAAAUUUUUAUGAUCCGGAUAUUACCAAUGGCAUGUCAUGCUUCCAUCUGAAUCUCGGCUGUAGAUCAUGAGUUUUCCAGCAUACUUGUGGCCUCCAAUGUGAGAGCAAGCAGUAACAAAUACCUGAUCCGUCAAUCCUCGCAGCUCAGCCUCCUCUUUGAACUUAUCAAUGAGAACACGUGCACGAUAACGAUUCCAUUCAUUUUGACUCAUAUGUGCGCAUAUGAAUACAUGGGGGCCAGUCAACGGCUCUUGCACUCCAGAAGCCCAUGGUUUGUCAUUCACAAGGACAUCAUCAAUAAAGUUGUCCACAUUUGACUCUUUCAAGCCCCUUUGAUCAAUAAACAAAAACAACAUCAGAAUCACAAAAAAAUAUUUACAGGAAACAAUAACCUAACACUCUUUAACACUGAGCUAUUAAAUUCAAUUUCUAGAACUAAUUUUAGAAGCUAACACAUAUCUAAUUAUCUAUUUAGUUUGGUAAAUUCAGCGUAAUCAAAUGAGAAGUCGAAACAUAAAUUACUUCAGUCUAAGCUAGGAAAAUAAAUUGCACUGCUCAUGUUGGUUAUGGAAUGGGCCCUCGAUUAUGAAUUAAUUUCGGUUUUCCAUUCUGUGUUAGUGUGGGCGGUGCUUAACAGCUGGGUUGGGCUGCUGCAUUUGGGCCCAGGGUGCAGCUCUCACUUGUUUUGGGCUGGGUUUCACCGAAAGAUCAAAUGACUAUUUUGCCCCUUUAGUCCUAAUCCAACGGCCACCAUUUGGGGCGUUUGUGUUCUGCAAUUCGGUUGGGGGUGUUAGCUUGCUUUCGAUCUCGUCAAGGAGAUCGUGCAGAGAGGCAGAGGGUGUCAUCGAGUUUAGGGUUGAUGGGAAGGGUUGGGGGUGGACAGAGGGUUGAUGGGAAGGGUUGGGGGUGGAGAUAGAGGGUGGGUUCUGUCCGCUGACGUUGGUUGCAGAGAGAGAGAGAGAUGGGGAAAAGUAUGGGGGUGGGGUUGAGGGGAAGGGGUACAGAGAGAAAGAGUGAGGGAGUAAGGGACAUAGGAGCUAGAAAGGCGACUACAUGAUUCUCUUAAGGCUUUUCCUCAACUCGGUUCUCUGCUUUUCUCUUUCGUUUCAAGAUUUGGUUGAAAUUGAUAAAAAACAAUGCAUGCACUCAAGGAUUUGUUCGGAGUCUUUAUUGAGUUUCAGAACUUUCCUCUCUGGUUUUCUGAUUAUUUUCUCAAUUGGGAUUAUCUCUUACCAAUUUCCUUUGAGAAUUGUGCGUGUGGGUUUGUUAAUGCUCUGUUUCUUCGUUUUUACAGGAAAUGGAAUUGCUUUCUUCCUUUUCUUGGCAACCAUGUAUGCCCUCUCUCUCUCUCUCUCUCUCUCUCUCUCUCUCUCUUUCUCUCUUUUCUGUUGUGUAUUGCCUAAUUAGUUAUUUACAUUUGUUUAUUUAUCUAUGUAAAGCUUUCAUGCUCGGAUUUUAAAUGUAUGAUUCAAUUUGAAACCUUUAUAAUGUUGAUGUUAUAGAACAUUCAACAGAUUAGGUAGCUCUGGCAAAAUCAUAUGGACUAAGAUUUGGUAAUAUAUGGAGGUGAGAGUGAGUCUGCCUUGCUUGCCAUGAUAUAGGUUUGCAAUGAUGGCUUUCUCUCUGUAGUACUACAUUCUACUCUUACAUGUUAACGUCAGAAAGCAGACUAAGAUAGAUCCAAACCCAAUCUUAUUAAUUAAAGUUAACGGAAAGAAAAUGAUUUAUGCAUACCUUUGUUUAUUUGUCUCUUGAUUUUGGUUUAGGUUGACCAUAGCUAAAACAUCCAAGACUCACCUAAUUUGAUGAAGACCGUAUCCUUUUUAGCCUUUAGGUGUGUGUUUGCUAGCUAGCUGGGUGGUGGGUGAGUCUUGGAUGUCUUGAUUAUCUUGGUGGGCAAGUCUUGGAUGUUUUGGUUCUGUAUUCUUCGACUCUUAUAUCUUCCCUUUUUCUGAAUUUUCUUUAUUUCUCUCAUUCUUUAAACAUUGUAUUUUUUUUUCUAAAAAAAAAAAUUGGUGAUGCAGAUAGAUGAACAUGUUCAAGGGGAAAUCAUGAACCACAUAUCACUGCAUCUGAAUAUCGUUUAAUUCAAAGAGGUCAGUGAUCAUAAACUAUUUUCAUUUUGUAUUUUAAGAAUGAAUUUGGCAAGUUCUGUUUGAAUUUUGUAUAAGUAUCUGCUGAGGGUGGGUGGAUGAAGACAGAACAUGCUAAAUUUGGCCUUUGGUGUGCUUAAACUGGUACGGGGGAUGGUUAGAACUUUGAGCCCAGGAUGUAGUAGGACUAAGAGAAGGGGUGUGAUAUCCACACACCCCAAAUUACUUCCCACACACCCCUUAUUAAUUUUUGUCCCUUGAUCUUCUUCAAUUCAUCCGAUCCGACGGCCGAAAAUUAGAAGGGUGUGUGAGAAGUAAAAUGGGGUGUGUGGAUAUCACAUCCCCUAAGAGAAAUGCCCUACCCACCGGAGCAUUCCACCACUUGCAAAAUUGUUGUCAAAAUUACUAUGCUAAAAAUAUAGCUAUACUUCUUGCACUUUGUUUUUACUGUGAAGUGGAAAUAGUCUUUAGAGUUGCUUAUUUGUGAUAAUUGAUAAAGAGGUUUGUGUUUAAGACUUGAGAGUAGUGCGGUGUCUUUCUUGCUGGUUCUGCUCACACCACCUCAUCUAGCCAUUGUGAUGGAGUACAUGGCAGGGUGAGAACUCUUUGAGAGAAUAUGUAGUGUUGGCAGAUUUAGUGAGGAUGAGAUAAAGUAGUUUCAAAUGCAGAGAAAAUUUCAUUGGAAAUGAUUUUAGUGUAGAGUCUCAAAUAUGGGAUCUCUGGAUGUCCCCUGAAAUGGAAUGCAUCUCGAUUUUCGUUUAGUUUCAGAUAGGGAAAGUUAGGUCUGAAGCAUUUUUACAUAAACAGUCGGUCAUAAUAUAACUAAAACUUGCAUACUUUUUCGAUUUAAUUGUCGUUUUGCAUCAGGCAAGGUUUUUCUUCCAGCAGUUGAUAUCAGGAGUUAGUUGCUGUCUUUUGAUGGUAUGUAAUGUGGCACUUUUCUGCUAAUGCGUCGUAUACUAAUAUUUCUUUCUCUUUUGAUAUUGGAAGUGUUGGUUGUAGUAAGGAAAUAAUUCGUUUCAAUAGCAUACGGCUUAGUUUUAAUAGUAUAUGGCUCAGUUUUUGAAUAGCAAUCGGUGGUUUUCGAAUAACGGUAUUACGACUUAGUUUUCUAAAUGCCAAUAACAGCUCUAGAUUUUGUCUCCAGUGGAGUAUUCUUACUAAUUUAGCAUUUUGUUGGCACAUGAGUUUGUUUUGAUUGUUUCUCUGCUUGAACAGAGAAUUGUUAACGUCCGGGUGGGAACGUGGGUCGGUUCAUGUUUUAGUCUCUUGUCGUAAGCAAUUUUACAUGGCAUUCUUCAAUGUAGCUAUAGGUAAGACAACACUCUCAGUAUUCCAUAAUCAAACCACCAUUCGAACUCUUUUCAUCCACCAAGUUAAGCUUUUAUGUGCCAUCUUGAAUAGUUAUAAGUUAUUGCUUCAGAUUACUCCAGUGCGACAUUGUUGUUCCCUUGCUUACCUCUCAAGCUUGCUUAAUAUACUUAUUCUUAUUACUGUUGUAUUGUUAAGAAAUACUCAACUGCGGUUUCAAUUCAUUGUUAUGAAUCAGAUUAAAAUUAACCACUCACUGGUUAAUUAUCUAAAUCGUAUGAAUUUUGAUUAAAAUUAAAGCAACUACAGAACAAAAACCUCGAGAAAUCAACGCGAAUUUACCUGUAUUUGAUCAUUUGUGGGAAAAUCAAUACAUUGCCAUUGGAAAACUCAGUUCCUUCGCGUCCUUCAAUUAUUGUCAGCAACGUCUAUCAAAAACCAAGAAAAAAGUGAGUAAUGUAGUCAACUCAGCUCAGCACCAGAACUCAGCAACUUCAGGAAAUAAGAAACGGAAAUAAAAAGCAAUUAGAAACACCGACGAAUUGAGCUGGAAAACAGACCUUAACGGUUAUGUCGUUCUUGCGAGCUUUGAGAGCGGAUGCAAAGAACUUAGGGAGUGGAUUGGACUCGGAGCCUUCAAUGUGCCAUGGCCAGGCCUCGGGGGUCUUGUAGCAGAGGAAAACGUGGCGAUAGCUCAACUUUGUAUCGUCAUCAAUGUCUUCAUUAGACUUAUAUGAUAUAGUCUCAUAGUCCUCCCAAUUAGUAAGACCAUUAGACAAAUUCCAUUUUACAAUAUCCACUCCUGUUUUGUUCACCUUAAUUCUAUUAUAUCCUCCAUAAAAUUCUGCUUUUACAAGAACAAUGUCGCCGCCUUUCAGAUUGAGCUUCUUGUUUGAAAGAUUUCCCAACCAAAGAUAAUUUUUAUGGAAAGCAGUUAUGGUGGCCUUAAUUGUCCGGAUGCGAAAAUUAGUUCGCUGGGUACGAUUAACAACAUCAAUGUAUAGAUACCCGGUAGAGUCGGAGUUGUCUGAAGAAUAAACGAUGCCCAAAGCCAACCCUCCUAUAUAAUCAGUACUUGGCGGCACUUCAAAUUUGACAGUUUUAUCCUCUCCGGCGACAUAGGCUAACCAGUUAGGAAUAUCAUUUCCGGAGAGAAAAAUUCCACCAAAUGCAUUUUUCUACAACAUGGGGUGCAAAGUCAGUAUAAGCAACAAUACAAAAAGCAGAGAGAAUGAGAGAGAGAGUACCACACCGUUCGGAGGUUCUCCUUAAAAGUAUCAGUGAGACUGGUACACCCUUCCAUAUGAAUUGAAUACAUGUUGUCCAAUGAGUUCUCCAAGUUUGGAAUAUCUUUGAGGUUGCGGCAGUCUUUCAGUUCCAAUUUCCUCAUUUUUGACAUCUUUGAAAAGUCGGACAUUAUUUCCAGUGCAGUGCAGUAACUCGCUUUCAAUGUUUGCAAACUGUUCGGCAAAUCUGGGAUUGCCUGAAGGUUUGUGCAAUGACGUAGAUAUAAAACCUGAAGAUGAGAAGGCCACUGAGAAUGGGUAGCCUAUUAAAACCAUUCCCACCUAGAUCUAAUUCUGUUAAAGAAGAUAGGCGCCCAAGGCUUUCGAGAACGGCACCAUCUGUUAUAUUGCAGUCUCUGAGAAUUAAUCUCUCGAUCAUCUUCAGUUGUGCUAAAAAAUGGUAACCCCCACACAAACCCUUACAGCCUUUGAUGGUCAAGUUCCGAAGAUGUGGGAGUUUUGAAAAGUCUGGUAAUUCAGUCAGGUUAUGGCAGUUUCCAAGAGUGAGACGCUUCAACUUCUUAGGCAACUGUUACUCAAAAAAGAGAAAACAAUAAUAAAAAUCCAAAUAAAUAAAAGAGAGAAUGCAUGACGAUGACUGAUGUUCAUAUUUACAAGGACAUUGAUAAUUAUAUCGUACCAGGUUCGAAUCCUCCCAAAUUCGUACAAGCUUGCUGUCCCACAGGCCUAAAUAAACCAGGUUUCUUGGAUCAAAAUCUGCUGGUAUGGCUUCAAAAGGAAAUCCAAUCCAAAGCAAGGAACUUAACUCCUUGGAAAGAUGUUUGUAGCUUCCAGUCAGCUUUACAUGUUUCAGCGCGAGAAAUUUCAGACGUCGCAUAUUCUUAAACGCUUUCGUACUGAAGCUUUGCUCGUCAUCAGAAUGUUCUGGCAAAAGUAACCUUAGUCCUUCAACUGCUUCUGUUCCCUGUUAGAGAUAAAAAAAAAAAGAAAAAAAAAGAAAAGGAUAAUAUUCACACGAAGCAGAGCCGUGAAUUGGAUGAAUGAACUACUACAAAGGUAGGGCAUACAACAUAAUUAGUUAUUUUCUCUUUCAAUUUACAGUGGAUGAAAGCCUUUUCUUUUCUUCUUUUUCUUCAAAUAUACUAUGUACGGCAUACAUUAUAUAUAUGCGGAUAUGCGUAUAUACUUCUCUUUCUUUACAUGUACUUAACAUAACAUCUUUUUAUUGCAAAAGUACUUACAGAUUUGUUCCUUAGCACGCUUUUUGCAUCUUUACUAUGCCACAAUCAACUACGUUUUCCCAAUUCCACAGGAGAUUCUGCACGCACAAUCUCUCUUCCCAUAUCUCGAAUCAAAUCAUGCAUUCUCAAAUUUGUAGCUUCAUCAAUAUAUAAGAGACAUCGAUCGCAGAGUGUGGUAAUUUCUGCUUCUACAGAAAAACGACUAGAACCAUCCAAUAUUGUUGUGACAUCACUUAUACUCACUCCAUCAAAGAAACAAGAUAUGUCAAGGAACACACCCUUCACAUGAUCAUCACGUAGCCCAUCGUAGCUUAAUUUAAGUGUUUCAUAAAUUUUUCCAUCUGGAAUAUUUCUCAAUUUAUCCAAUGUAUUUUGCCACAUGGUUUUACUCUUUUUCGUAGCCAACAAACGACCAACAACUUUCAGAGCUAGGGGCAAUCUUCCACAAUAGUCAACAACAUCUCUUGCGAGUUCAAUAUAUUCUUCGUCGGGACAAGGAUUUCCAAAGGCGUGCCAACUAAGGAGCUCAAGAGCUUCUUUCUCUGUCAUUGCUUAUGCCAUAUAUUUUUUAUCCACCUUUUGUAUAUUCAGCACUUGUUCAUCUCUUGUUGUUAUAAUAAUUCUGCUCCCUGGACCAAACGAUUCAUGUUCUAUUGCCAAUUCAUCUAAUUGGUCUGCAUCAUCUAUGUCAUCAACCACGACAAGUACCUUCAUGCUUCCAAGUCUUUUCUUGAUCUCUUCGGUCCCUUCGGCAACACUGCUUACCUUAAUGUCAGGCUGUUUUAAAAUAUCUCGAAGAAGUUGUUCUUGCAGACUAACCAUCUCUUUCUUUUUACUCCUCACAUCUUCAAGGUAACAUUGACGACUAAAACUAUGCUGAUAAUUGCUACAAACAGCUUUGGCAAGCGUUGAUUUACCUAUACCGCCCAUACCCCAAAUUCCAAUUAUUUGAACAUUAGGUGAACCUCCAACGUCUAAGUAAUUAGUACUGAAUUUUUGCACGCGAAAAGUCAUUCCAACUGAGUGCUUGGCUUCUUUAAAGUCUGUGGUUUUCAGUAGUCCCUUGACAUCCCCAACAAUUUUCUUGAUAAACACUCCUUCACGCCUACGAAUAGAAAUUCCAAAUUACGAGAGCCAUACUAAAUGCCUUAUUCAUAAUGACUAGAUAUUUACAUAUUGAAACAGAUUUGAAUAAACUGGAUUAAUUGAGCUUCAACCACGUAUCUAAUCUUUGAUUAUAAUGUGAAUACAUUAGAUCAUUGGUGAUUAGACUAUUAUGCAAUUGUAGCGUUCAGUAAUAUAAUUAAGAAUCCAUUACAAUUGGUAUUUUAAUUUGAUAAAUUGUGGAGCAUUUGUCCUUCACACACCCAUAAAAAACAAAGCAUGUACUCUGCGUUUCACUUCCUUAAUUUUGAUGGAAAUUCUUAUGCAAAUGCUCUACCUUUAAUAAAAUUCAUAUAGCAAUUGUAAUAAAAUUUUAUGUAGGGACUAAAGUGACAGUUCUAUCAUAGUUCAGAGAUCAACGAUUCAAUUUUUCUUAUCGCAUAUAAAAUCAGAUUCUAGCCGACCCCACUUAGUGGGAAAAGGCUUUGUUGUUGUUGUUGUUGCAUAUAAAAUCAGAUUCAAUGCCUUAAUUAUAAUAUCUUAAUUUUGGUUGAUUAGUGAAAUAUGGUGAUAUGAAAUUUGAAGUAAACAAAAAAGUGUACCCGUCGGCCGUGGUUUUGAGGUUCCAGCCGCCCAAAUCUGCAGAAGCCUUAAGAUCCUCUCUCCACUGCUUGACCUCAUUUGGAUCUUCAUCCUUUUCAUGCUUCUGAAAUGCUUCCCCAAAACUAUCUUUCUGUUUCCUGACUUGAGAAGGGUCAACGUCGUAGAAUAUUGGACAUACUAUUUUCCCCUCUUGAUCUUUUAGGCACCUCAUGAUCUUCGACAGCUCCCUCAGGCACCACCGGGACUCCGCGUACCUCUUCGAGAAGAUGAUGACGGCAAUUCUCGACCCUUCGAUUUCUUGGUCAAGUUCACUCUGUAUGUUUUCCCCCCUUGUGAGCUGGUUGUCUAUAAACGUCUUAAUUCCGGCAUUGCGUAACGCAAUGAAGAGGUGGUCUGUGAAGGUAGUGCGCGUGUCGUCUCCUCUGAAGCUCAGGAACACCUCGUACUUCCAGCGGUUUGAGCUCUGCGAGGAAGACGAAGAGGCGGCAGAGCCAGCUCCAUGGGCGGAGCUGGUGGUAUCCAUUGCAGCCUGUAGAAGUGCAGCUUGGCUUUCAAAUAACCAAAGUCAACUCUUUCCCAAGAUUCCCCAGUGUAGGCGGCCCUUUAAAUUUUUUUUGCGUGGGUCAAUGAUGUCACUGCCGUGUCGAUAACGCGUGAGUGCUAUUCCUCCCACAAUUUAAUUUGUAUAAAUGUUACCAUCAAAUUUUAAUAAAAACUGUAUUUUAAGGUUGGUGCGCAGGUAGGUUCAACUGCGGCUGCUGGUGGACGUCACGACAGCGUUAUAAGAAUCUUCGGUGCAAAGCAGGUUCCAACUGUUGGAGUCAGUCUAGAGAGUAUCAAUGGGAAGAGACCUCAUCUCCAACAACCCAUCUUAACAAAAUAUGCAAAAAAUUAAGCUCCAACAGGCUAACUAAAUGACCAUCUGUCUUUACUUUGUGAAUAGUAACUAACUAAAUUUAGCUACGAGGAGACAUUUGUAGCUUACGUCAAAAGGAUCAAUGUCGUAAAAUAAGUCAUUUACUUGCAUAAAAAAUGAUUAAUUUAGCUACGAAAGCAAGGCGAUGGUCGAGCUCACUAUGGCAGCUUUUUUGAUCCUAUCGUCUUGCAAGGGAAACAAGCUACCAAUUGCACCACACGGAGGCAUCCAACUAAUAGUUGAAUUUCUCGAUCAAGAUUAUGCUGCAGGCAUCGGUGCAAGCCAGACUCGAAAGCAUAGCCACACUACACAACCUCUCGACCUGCCAUCAGACUACGUCUCUUCAGGCUUAGUGUUUUCGUUGUUCCAAAUAAUCCACGGCUUGGAAAAAUCAAGCCAACUGGUUGAGAAGGCAAUUGCGCUACUUGACGACAUUGUUUCUUCAUCGAAGACUGUGCUCAAGGAAACUGCAGGUAUGUGCGACACAAUCUGGGGGCUGGUUGAGACCAUUGAAGAGGAAUCGAUGAAAUGCAAGGAGCACGCUGCGAGUAUCUUCCUGCUUCUAUGCCAGAGCUGCAGGGAGAAGUACAGAGGACUAAUACUGAGAGAAGAGCAAUGCCCAGACUGCUUCAGCUGAGCGUGGAUGGGACGUGGAGGGCUAAAUCCACGGCACAGGAGUUGCUGUUUCUCUUGAAAGACUGUUCCAAUUAUGGUUCGAGAAACAAGCAGUCGGGAAUAAGGAUAUAGAGCAGAUUAUGCAGGACAUUGAUACCGGGGGGAGGGGGGGAAUUGAUGGGAUGAGUACAACGGUAUUGAGGCUGGUGGAGGAGAUGCUUGCAAAGAUCAGCAGUGGACGAUGAUCUCGACCAAACUCUGAGCUUUGCUAUCUACGAGGCCUUUUUCUCUCUUUUGAAAUUUGAGAAUUUUUUGACAAAAAUUAUCAUAAAUUUUAACAGAAUCGACGGUUGAAUUAAAAGUCCAGCAAGCAAAUCGAAAACAAUCACAAGAGCUUAGAAAACACCACAUCAAAGCAGUCUCAGAACAAAUCCCACUAUCAAGAUAAAACCAUUCAAGUAUACAAAUCAGUUGUGUAAGCAAUCAACUACGGAAAGGAAUGGUGAAUACUUUUGUAACUAUAUACAGCUUAGCCCCGGGAAAUCAUCCCACCCUCCAAAAACGAACGUAUACUGUAGCUACCAUAUUCUCCUAUCAUAUAGAGUACGUUUCAGCCUGACCUUCUAUAAAAGCUAUAGGCCACGGCCACUGUUGCCACUGCUCCAACCAUGGCAGCAGCUGCAAGAACAUCGCUUUGUUCCCAGUUCCCAAUCAAGCUUGACAGCUUCCCUAAGGCAUCCUUCCUGGCACACGACUCUCUGGUUUCUUUCAGCUUCUUUUUCUCACUUCCACCAUUCUGCUCCAAACUUACUUCUUUGCAGCAUGUAAAUCCAUUACUAUUAGCACCUUGGCAACAGCCCGAAAAGUUCUCGUUUUUCUGAAUCUGAUUGCCGUUUUCUUGGGGCUUCUCCUGGAUUUUCUUACUUUCUCCUCCAUUUGAAAGCUUCAUGUCAUUCAUUUUUUCAGCUUCAUCAGAAGAUACUCCCAUUUGGCCCCUGUAAGGAAUGAAAUUGAAUUUCGUGUUCAGUUAUUUAAAGAUUCAACUCUAAGUUUCGUCAAUAGCUAUUGAGUAAGAACAUGUAUGACCAAGCUUAAUACACAAUUUGACAACAAUUAAUCAGAGAACAUUACAAAUCAGAAACAUAUACAGGGUAAUGCCGUUAUAUCCAAUUCGCUAGAUCUAUUUCGCUUUCUCCAUCUCUGUAAAGUGCCUACUUGACCCCAUCCCCUGUUCCCCAAACCACCUCUGGUUUGGUUUAUCAACAAAAAAAGGUAGUUUGAUUUGGUUCACACUAGUUUGAUUUGGUUCCUCGAUGUUAAUGCAACUCUAUAUCAAUAAUCUAUCAUACAACACUAGAAAUAAUCAGCAAUUGAAAAAUAUGACAGACGCUUCAGUUCCAGUGAAAUUUUCAUCAGAAGGGGGUAAGCAAAACCAAAAACGCACAAACCUCCAAAGUCGUUCGAUGAUCUCUCCCUUCCCAAUAUGCUGAUCAAGCAAUUCUGGCACAUCAUCAGGAGUGACAUAGCCAUACCUGCAAUGAAUAAUACAUAAUAUUCACAUUCCUUCAUCAAUCCCAAAUCCCAAUACAAUAAAUUUUAAAUUGUUAUGAUCCGGAUAUUACCAAUGGCCUGUUAUGCUUCCAUCUGAACCUGGGCUGUAGAUAAUCAAGUUUCCAGCAUAUUUGUGGCCUCCAAUGUGAGAGCAAGCAGUAACAAAUACCUGAUUCGUCAAUCCUCGCAGCUCAGCCUCCUCUUUGAACUUAUCAAUGAGAACAGGUCCACAAACACCGCAUCUUUUAUCUCGACUACCAUGUGCACAUACAAAUACAUGGGAGCCAGUCAACGCCUCUUGCACUCCGGAAGCCCAUGGUUUGUCAUUCACAAGGACAUCAUCAACAAAGCUGUCCACAUCCGACUCUUUCAAG